AAUAUUUUCAAGGGACUUUAACUUGACUCAGUUAGGGUUUUUGCAUUUGGACAAUAAUCAGUUCAGGGGAACACUGUCAAAUGUAAUCUCCAGAAUCUCUAGGUUGUGGGUGUUAGAUGUGAGUAACAACAACAUGUUAGGUGAAAUUCCAAGCUGGAUAGGUAACAUGACCGAUUUGACUACACUGGUGUUGGGCAACAAUAGUUUUAAAGGCAAAUUACCACCUGAGAUUUCUCAAUUGUCGGGGAUGAUAUUUCUUGACGUUUCUCAAAACGCUUAAGAGCAUGAAGUAUUUAGAGCAUUUACAUUUGCAAGGGAACAUGUUUACAAGAUUGAUACCCAAAGAUUUUCUCAAUUCCUCAUAUCUAUUGACUUUGGAUAUCAGAGACAACAGGUUAUUUGGAAGUAUUUCCAAUUCAAUCUCUAGACUUUUAGAGCUAAGAGGAAACCUUUUAAGUGGUUUCAUUCCAUAUCAGCUUUGUCAUUUGACUAAAAUAAGUUUCAUGGAUCUUUCAAACAAUUUUUCUGGGUCAAUUUCCGGAUGCUUUGGUCAUAUCGGAUUUGGAGAUUUCAAAACUGAGCACAAUGUGUAUAUACCGACGUUGGAUUCGUAUUCAGAAAGCAAUCCUUCUAUAUAUACGGGUUACUUAAUAAAAUAUUUAUUUUUCUCUAGUGAACUCCCUGAUGAAGUAGAUGAAGUUGAGUUUGUUACCAAGAAUAGGUAUAGCUCCCACAGAGUAGAUAAAAAUAUUUGUUGGGAAUUUAGAUAUUUUUAUAGGAAAGUAGGCAAGUAUUCUAAUUUAUAAAAACAAUGCAUUUCUUUAGUUUGGUAUAAAAAAAAAAUGAAACGAUAGGUAUUGGUAAUUUUUUUUAAAGUAACAAACGUUUUAUUUUAUUUGUAUUUAAGAAAGAUGUCUUUUCUUAUACUAGUUAUUUUAAUUUUCUUUUGACAGUUUUUGCAAGCUUAAGCAAUUUGGAGAUACUAGAUUUGAGUUCUAAUUCCUUAAGUGGGAUUAUUCCAUCAUCUAUAAGAUUGAUGCCUCAUCUCAAGUCUUUAUCCCCGGCCGGAAAUUAUCUCAAUGGUUCUUUACAAAAUCAAGGUACAUAUGUUAUGAUUUGUUUGUUUCAUAUAGAUUAGAGAAGAUAAAUAUUGUAAAAAAAAAAAAGUUGUAGUUAAUGUAAGCUAGAAAUAAGUAUCUUGCCUUAUAAAUUAUAUAAGCAUGUGUUUGUUCUUAAUGAAUCUUUACAACAUUUAGAGUUACCAAUGUUUAUAAUUCAUAAAGACCUCAUUAACAGUGAAUAACAACUAAUUGUAAGUAAUUGUGGAAAAAGUAAGGAAAACAAAAUGAGGGAAAAGCAAGGAAUUAGGAAAUUAUUUUGUUCCCAUUAAAAAAUGUUAAGGAAGAAAAAGGUAAAAGAAAGUUUAAAAAAAGUAUAUUUUUCAAAAAUUUAUUUCUCUUUCCUUUAAUUUUGCUAUGGACAACCAAACAAGAAAAUUAUUUUAUAAUUCCUUUUUUAUUUUUUUCAUUCUCUCUCUCUUUUUUUCCCUACUCUAUUUCUUUUCCCUCAAACUUUCUUGGUAGUAAACACAACCUAAGAUAAAUGGGGAAGAAAAUUUUCAGUUUUAUUUUUUUAUUUUUUUAGAAUGUUUUCUUACUUUUUAGUAUUUUAUGCAAAUAUAGGAAAAUUAUUUUUUUUUUCUUGCUCCUUUUCAUACAUGAAUCACACUUUAAAAGAAAAUUAAUUUUUAAUUAGGAGUUAAGAUAAAUUUAAGGAGAAACAAUGAAUCACGAAUAACAAAAAAUUAAGGAAAUUGAAUUUUUGAAAGUAAGUAUAAUCAAAUUGCUUCAUUUGAUACAAAAUUUGAAUAAAAAUUCUUUCAAUGAAAAUUCAAGGAAAGGAAUAAACAUUUUUGUCUCUAGAUUAUAAUACUAAAUCAUGUAAAAAAUCUCUUAACAUCAUUUAUAUUCAUAUUUCUUUUUAUAGAUUUGAAAAAUUCAACAAUUUGGAAUAAACUUAUUCAAUGAAGAAUAAUUUUUAGAUUUAAAGAUUAUUAUUUAAGAUCAUAAAUAUUACCAUCAUUGUUGAUGUCUAAGAAGAUCAUAUUCAACAAUUUUUUUAAUAUGUUGUUUUUUAUGGUAAUUAAUUGAUGUCUUGUAAUUUUUAAUAUUUAAUGAAAAACAUUAAUUUAAUUCAUCUAGAGCUCUUAAUUCAUGAAGACCUCAUUAAUGUAAUGGUGAGUAAUAGUUGGCUGUAAGUUUGGAGUCAAAGACAAGUUAAGGAGAUGAUUAGUUACAUGUCUUAUUCUCUUUUGUAGGUUUCUGCCAAUUGAAUAAGCUUCAAGAGUUAGAUCUUUCUUACAACUUAUUCCAAGGGAUCCUUCCUCCAUGUUUGAAUAAUUUCACAUCUCUGAGGUUAUUGGAUAUCUCUGCCAACCUAUUCUCCGGAAAUCUUUCUUCCCCUUUAUUACCUAAUCUCACAUCCCUGGAGUACAUCGAUCUCAGUUAUAAUCAGUUUGAGGGUUCAUUCUCUUUCAGCUCUUUUGCUAAUCACUCCAAGCUUCAAGUGGUCAUACUUGGAAGGGAUAACAUCAAAUUUAAGGAAUUUGGAAGGGAUAACAAAAAAUUUGAGGUAGAAACUGAAUAUCCAGUUGGUUGGGUUCCCCUGUUUCAGUUGAAGGUUCUCUCUCUAUCCAGCUGUAAGCUCACCGGUGACCUUCCUGGUUUUCUUCAAUACCAAUUCAGGUUAGUGGGGGUUGAUCUCUCCCAUAAUAACUUGACAGGAAGUUUCCCCAAUUGGCUGCUUGAAAACAAUACGAGACUGGAAAUUCUACUCCUGAGGAAUAACUCUUUAAUGGGUCAACUACUUCCCUUGGGACCUAAUACCCGUAUCAAUUCAUUGGAUAUCUCACACAAUCAGUUGGAUGGACAACUUCAAGAAAAUGUGGCCCAUAUGAUUCCAAAUAUUACGUCUCUAAAUUUAUCCAACAAUGGUUUUGAAGGUAUUAUCCCAUCCUCAAUAGCUGAACUAAGAGCCUUACAGAUUUUGGAUUUGUCUACCAAUAAUUUCUCUGGAGAAGUACCAAAGCAAUUGCUUGCAGCAAAAGAUUUGGAGAUUCUGAAAUUAUCAAAUAAUAAAUUUCAUGGUGAAAUAUUUUCAAGGGACUUUAACUUGACUGGGUUAUUGUGUUUGUAUUUGGGCAAUAAUCAGUUCACGGGAACUCUGUCAAAUGUAAUCUCCAGAAUCUCUUGGUUGUGGGUGUUGGAUGUGAGCAACAACUACAUGUCAGGUGAAAUUCCAAGCUGGAUAGGUAACAUGACAUUAUUGAGAACAUUGGUCAUGGGCAACAAUAAUUUUAAAGGCAAAUUACCACCUGAGAUUUCUCAAUUGCAACGGAUGGAGUUUCUUGACGUUUCUCAAAAUGCUCUUUCAGGAUCUCUUCCUUCUUUGAAGAGCAUGGAGUAUUUAGAGCAUCUACAUUUGCAAGGGAACAUGUUUACAGGAUUAAUACCCAGAGAUUUUCUCAAUUCCUCAAAUCUAUUGACUUUGGAUAUUAGAGAAAACAGGUUAUUUGGAAGUAUUCCCAAUUCAAUCUCUGCACUUUUGAAGCUAAGGAUUCUUUUGCUGAGAGGGAACCUUUUAAGUGGUUUUAUUCCAAAUCAUCUUUGUCAUUUGACUGAAAUAAGCUUGAUGGAUCUUUCAAACAACUCUUUUUCAGGGCCAAUUCCUAGAUGCUUUGGCCAUAUCCGAUUUGGGGAGACGAAAAAGGAGGACAACGUGUUUGGACAGUUCAUGUAUUGGUAUGAACUGAAUUCUGAUCUUGUAUAUGCAGGUUACUUGGUGAAACAUUGGGAGUUCUUAAGUCCAACAUAUAAUGAAAAAGAUGAAGUUGAGUUUGUCACCAAGAACAGGCAUGACUUCUACAGAGGUGGCAUCCUUGAAUUCAUGUCUGGAUUGGACUUAUCAUGUAACAACUUGACAGGUGAAAUUCCUCAUGAACUUGGAAUGCUAAGUUGGAUUCGUGCAUUGAACUUGUCUCACAAUCAAUUGAAUGGCUCCAUUCCAAAGAGUUUCUCCAAUCUUUCUCAAAUAGAGAGCUUAGACCUUUCUUAUAAUAAACUGGGUGGAGAAAUUCCUCUAGAGCUAGUUGAACUCAAUUUUUUAGAGGUGUUUAGUGUGGCUUACAACAACUUCUCUGGUAGAGUUCCAGAUACCAAAGCACAAUUUGGGACAUUUGAUGAAAGAAGCUAUGAAGGUAAUCCUUUCCUUUGUGGGGAACUAUUAAAGAGGAAAUGCAACACAAGUAUUGAGUCACCAUGCGCACCAUCACAGUCUUUUGAAAGUGAGGCAAAAUGGUAUGAUAUCAAUCAUGUUGUUUUCUUUGCAAGUUUUACUACUUCAUAUAUCAUGAUCUUGUUAGGAUUUGUUAUCAUCCUUUACAUCAAUCCUUAUUGGCGUCAUAGAUGGUUCAAUUUUAUCGAGGAAUGUAUAUAUUCCUGCUAUUAUUUUGUUUUUGAUAGUCUUUCCAAGUUAUCGGCAUAUUUGUAUAAUUAGAUACUUUUAAUUGGAUGAUAUUUGCAUAAUUAACUACUAUUUGUUUCCCUGGGAUAGAAAGAAAUGGGAUGUAUAAUGCUAUGAGCUGAAACUUACAUACUUUGCUCAAAUUCUAACAUCUUUUGAUUUUAUUUUCAAGUUCCGUUAUUUAUUAUGUAUUGUUAAAUUCAAGAUUUAACCAUAUUACGUUACUCUUAUAAAAGAAAAUUCAAAUUUUUAGGAACUUUUAGCAUUAAAAUAAUUUCAUAGUCAGAUUUUAAAAAAUAAAGAAGAAAGAAAAUAAUAAAUAAUUGGAAAAACAAUUCAAGGAAGUAUUAAAUUAUUAUCUUAGAAUUGUUUGGCGUAGUAUGGGAAUUCAAAAAUAAUCUUUCAAUUUGUUAGAAAUGUUUAUUUAUUUAUUAUAGCAAUGAUUGAAAUAUCAAUCACAAAGUAAUGUUUUCUUUUCUUUUGUAGGGCACUAACACUUUUUCUUUGAUUGUAAUAAUUGAUAAAUAUAUUACACAAUUAUUUGUUUUAAAAAGGGGAGGGAUGACAAACAUAAUAACAUGUAAAAUAUUUCUAAAACUGUGAUGGGAAAUAAACCAUCUAAUUAGGGUGCAAUAUUAUUCAUUUUAAUUUAUAUGAAUUUACUUAUUUUUAUUUGCAUCAUAUUCUGAACUAUUUUAUGAAAUUAAGAGAGAUUAAAACAUCAUGAAUUUCUUAGUUUAAUUUAUAUUUUUAAUAAUAAAGCAUGAAAUAUUUAAAAAAAGAAAAACAAAAUCAUGAAUUUCUUUAAUUCAUUAGGAAACCAAUAUAUAAAAAAAGUUGAAUAUAUUAUUAUUUUAUGUUCUAAAUUUCUAAAUUUGUUCAUCACGUAUUUAUUUUUAUAUUAAAUUUAUUAUCAAUAAUUAUUUAUUAUAUAUUAUUAUUUUAUGUUUAAAAAUGUUCAUAAAUAAUUAAAAUUAAUAAAUAUAAAAAAUGAAAUAUUAAAAAAAUAAAUUAAAAAGAUUUCAUCAAGCUAACAAAUUUUUAUAAAAAAAAAAAAGAGUAAAAAAGAAGAUGGGGAUAUUAUAGAGGUGGGGAAAAAGAUAAAAGAAAAAUCAUGUGGUAUAAUAAUUGCCACGUGUUAAAGUUAUUUUCUUUAAAAAUUAAUUAUAGUAAUGAUGAACUCAUUUGUCUUAUCAAAGUAAAUAAAAAUAAAUAAAUAAAAGAAAAAAAGAAAAAGAAAAAAGGUGGUAGUUGGCUGGAGGUUAGAGAGGAGGGUUUGAAGGUAAAUUUGGAAUAUUGAUUAUUUUCACUAAGUAGAUAUUUUGAAAGUUAUUUUGCCUGAAACCCAUAUUGUUUGAAAAUAAAAAAUCAAAGUUUAAAAAAAAUACAAUUUUUUUGAAAUGAUGCAUGAUUACAUCAUUCCCCUGAUAGAUUAUUUAUUCCUUUAAACUUUACUUCAAAUAAAAUAAUUUUAAUUAUUUUCUUUUUGGAAUUAUAUUUAACAUAUUAUUAAAAAUAUAAAAAAACAUUUUAAUAAUAUUGUUAAUGAGUUUUUUUUAUAUAUAUUUUGUAAAAUAAUUAAAUUUAAAAAUAUUUAAAUUUAGUUAUGGGCUGCCCAUUUCAAAAUAAUAAGAAUCUAGUAACCUAAUUUUUCCAAAUUCCAGGUAAAUAUGCUAAUCUAAAAAUAAAUAAAAAAAUAAAAAUUAGUUUUUAUGUGCUGAUUGGGUUUUUUUUCCUUUAAUUAAAAAAAAAGGAAAAAAACAAAAGUGUGUGAUCCUCUUUCUCGAGUCUUCACAUUUAGAGACACUGAACCCAAAUCAAAAUUAAUCCUUCAAAUUAAUUUUCACCUCCAAACAUAGCUAUCCGAAAAACCCUAACCUCUGCCUCCUCUUCCUCUUAUCCCGGAAACCUAAAUUCCGUGACCCUAACCCCUUCUCUUUCCGAAAACCCUCCGGAAUCGGAAAAUUCAUAAUUCUUCAGAAUUAAUUUUCACCUCGAAGCCAAACCCUAACUGCCUCAUCUUCCUCUCAUUCAUAUCCCAAAAGUAGCUUCAACAGUCAGGCCUGUAGCCAUGAAAGCCGUAGUGAUCACUACUUCCGGUGAUCCCCAAGUUCUCCAAGUGCAAGAAGUCGAAAACCCUGAAAUUGGAGAUGAUGAAGUUCUAAGUAGAGUGGACGCCGCUGCCAUUAACCGAACAGAUACGCUUCAGAGGAAGGGCUUGCACCCUUCCUCAAAGGCGGCAGUCCCUACCCGGGUCUCGAAUGUUCUGGAAUCAUCGAAGCUGUUGGAAAAGCCGUCGUUCGAUGGAAGGUUGGCGAUCAGGUAUUUCAAUUGCCUAAUAUUUUGAUUUCGUUUCUGUUCCUCUGUUUUUCUCGGCUAUCAAACACUAGGAACGUGUAAAUAAGGAGGUUAGUUGAUUGCGAAAACGGGAAUUUUUUGUUCGUGUCUGUGUUAAGGAGUCUUUGUUGAGAAUUUUGGGGAAAUUUAUGAUAAGUUUGUGAUUUUAUGAUUAAUUUUGUGUAUCAAUAUAGGUUAAAUUAUUGAGCUUAUUGGUUUUCAAAUUUAUGGUUGUAAGAAAAUUGGUCAGUGUAAGGUUAUGGGAUCAUUACCAAUUUGCUUACUGAAAAUUUUUCCAGAUAUUGUGGACCGGUUUGGUAGCAGAAAUAAGAACUGUGUUUUGUUUUUCAAAACGGAAAUGGAUGCAGAAAACAUGUUUUUCUUUCAGAACUUGUUUCCGAAAAUAUUUCCUGAAAAUGAAUUAUUUCAGAACUUGUUUUAAAAAAAUUCAAACACUUUAUCAAUUUAAAAGGUUCUGAAAUGGACAUGUUCAUGGUCUUCAUUUUUUAAAAUUAAAGCUUUUAUGAAAAAACCAUUUUCCCUUCUACUAAACAAACAGGCUCUAUAUUGUAACAGAUCGAUUGGCCAUUUCCUUUGUCAUGUUUUGUGAAUCAUGGCAACACUGGAAUCCACUCCAUUACCAUCUGUUAGUGAUUAGAAGACAAAGCACCAAUUUUAAUGAUAUCCUUUAUGUGAUUUUGCUUCCUCCUGAGUACAAGUUCAUAGUAUACAUGGUACAUGGUGAAUCUGUAUGACAGUUCAUGGUAUACAGGUGUGUGCUCUUCUUUCUGGUGGAGGGCAUGCUGAAAAAGUGGCUGUUCCAGCUGGGCAAGUUCUCCCUGUCCUAUCUGGUGUUUCUCUGAAGGAUGCUGCUGGAAUUCCUGAGGUUGCAUGUACUGUUUGGUCAACUGUUUUAAUGAUGAGCCGACUGUCUGCAGGAGAAACAUUCCUGGUGAAUUUUUUGUCUUUUUUAUUUUCUGAUGCCUGAUAUAUUUACCAGCACAAAUUUACCCUGUUGCUGUUUAAUGUGUGUGCAUCAAUAUUGGAUUAGGGAGGUAGAAGAGCCAUGGUUCUAAUUAAAUCAUUACAUCAUCAUAUUCUUAUUUAGAUACAUUGUAUCCCACAAUUUCAUUGCAUCCAAGGCUAUGUUGUUUUUUAUUGCACGGUUUGUGUCAUGGUAAUUUCUCAACCCUUCUCUGGAAAAUUAUGUUGGAUGGCUGCUAUUAAUUACCCCAAAAGAAGAAAUUUUAUGUUGAAGUAAGAUGAGUAGCACAAAGAGUUACUUGUGGUUGAUCCUAUCAUCAAAUGGGCGAUUGAUGCACAAUCCAAAUGGUAAAUUUUUUUCCCCCUUUAUCCAGAUGGAAUUUUUAUGCAUGGUUGAAUAGUGAAAUGAGGACUGAUAAUAUUUCAGGUUCAUGGGGGUUCAAUUGGAAUUGGUACCAUCUAUUCAAAUAGUGAAAUACUGAGGAGCAAGGGUAUUUGUUACAGCAGGUUUGCCAUCACUGUUCUACCUCAUCUCACAGAAUGCUUAUCUCAUGGCACCAAUUCCUUUUCUUCACAUGUUUUCAACCAUUUUUUCCACCCAGGAACGAGGAAAAAUUAGCUGUUUGUAAGGAUCAUUGAGCAGAUGUGUGCAUCAAUUACAAGACUGAAAACUUUGUUGCAUGGGUGAAGGAGGAAACAGGAGGGAAAGGUAUAAUCUAUUGUAUCUUAACGAUAAUUUCAAUUGAAGGUGGAAUUGCUUUUUAAUUUUUAGUGCACCAAAUCCACUAGUCUGGAAUGUUUGAAAAGAUAAAUAGUCAUCUUCCACUUGAUACCGAUUGUGAAGAUCUAACCCCAAAAAUGUUGAAUGACAGGUGUUGAUGUUAUACUGGAUAAUAUUGGAGGGGCCUACUUUUGGGGAGACAUCAAUGGUUUAAAUGUUGAUGGAAGGCUUUUUAUUAUUGGUUUUCAGGGUGGAACAGUGGUACAAGUAAAUCUUUCAGGUUUACUUGCAAGGCGCCUUACAGUGCAAGGUACCGCUUUCUCUGUAGUUUUGGAGUUGAAUCAAUUUGAUUAAUCUCAUCCAAGUUCAGAACUGAGGUGGAUUCUGGCAAGCCAAGGAAAAACCAAAUUACCAUAAAUUCUUUUUUUCUUGGAAAUCCUGUUUCUCAAUCUGGUCAGUAUAUGGAAAUUCCAAGGAAAAUAUGUUUUACAUUUUCCAUAAGGCUCAAUGGGUUUUAACUCCACUCAGCUACUUUAUGUCUUGUAUUUAAUAUUGCAAACCAAAAUAAUAAUACGUAGAGAUUGAGCUUGGAGGCCAAUCUAGCAAAUGUGGAGAUUAGAAAUAGUUUACCAUCUAGAUAGUCAAGCAUAGCAAUUUACCAAACCCUUACCAACCAUCCAUACUAACCAAUUGUGGUUAAAUGUUUACAAAAAUGUACAUUAAAUCAAAGAGAAAAAAGAUUAAAAACGAACAAGAGAGAAGAAGUACGUCACCUAAUUUUGGUAAUAAAUGAAAUUAAAAUAAAUUCAUAAAUUUUUUAAAUUAAAAUGAAUUUGAACUCUAGAGAUUUGUGUAGAUAUCUUAUUAAAAAACCAAAAAGUUUGUUGCAUAUAUAAUUUCAACAAUGCAUAAAUAAUUACAACAUACGCAAUACAAUAAUAUUACACAACUAUAUUUUCAAAUAUAGUAUAAGAUCAUUAAAGUGAUAAAUUGUAGUUGUAUAAAAUAUUUAUACAAGUAAAGAAGAAAUUAUGAGAUUGAAAUGCUUGUUGGAUUCUAAGUAAAAAGGAAAUGAGAUAUAGAGAUUGUCCCAUCAGACAUAGAAUUUCAUAUACAUAAUUUUCCCUUCAAGAAAAUUUAGGGUCAAAUUGAAAAAUUUUCAUUCAUAGAUUUUGGUAAAACCUCUAUCUAGUCCUCCAAAUCUUGUAUACAAAAGGAAAUAACAUUGGUAUGAGGGGUUUGAAUGCUUAAUUUUAGAUUGAAAAUGCUUGAGAUAAUUUUUGAUCGACUUCACAUGUGUUUUUGAUAAACUUGGAACAUUCAAACUUGUAUUUGAAGAAUCUUCAAAUCUUCAAUUUGAUCUUAAAUAAUGUUGAAACCUUCGAAAUUUGAAUAGAAGAAUCUUUAAGCAUUUGAAUUUUGGUUUAAAGAAUUUUGAAAUUUGAGAUUGAAGAAUCUUCAAAUUUGGGCCUGAAGAUCAAAGGCUAAGCUUGAAGAGUUCUUGAAGCUUGAGUGGUAUCUCCGAUUUUGUUUUGUAUUUCAUAAAAACUUUUAAGUAUACUAUAUUUAUAGGUUUGAAGAGACAUUGAGAUUUUGUAUACAUGUUUGGAGUUUUAAACCUUGAAAUAUUACUCUUUUAUGAAAUUAACAUUUAUAAAAUUUGGAAGAACAUAAUUAGAUAAUAUUCUAAGUUAUUUUUAAUGAAAAUUGAUAAUUACCUUUUAAUUAUCAAAUUCACUAUUUCUAUUUAUUUUUGUAAUAUAUAUUAAUUACUAAAAUCAUUUAUUUCCUUUAUUUAGUUUGAAAGCAAUUAUAUAUCUUUUGUUUGUGUAGAGCUCAUGUGACACGACAAAUUUUAUUUUGUAACUUGCUCUGGAUGAAUGGCCAUUAUAAACUUCAUUUUAUCCUCAUCUGAUUUUGAGGUGGGAAUAGGAGAGAUGAGGAUUUGACAUUUGGACCUAAGCCUCAGAGGGUUUUAACUCCACUCAACUACUUUAUGCCUUGUAUUUAAUAUUGCAAACCAAAAUAAUAACAGACAUGAUCCUUUUCAAAAUUUUUAUAAUAAUAGAAGUGUAAAUAAUAUAAGUAAAAAUAAUAUAAUAUUUUUUAAAAUGAUAAAAUAAUAGGUUAUAUAAAUUUUAAUAUAUAGGUAAAAUUAAUUAAAUUUUAACAAAUACCUUCACACUUAAACAUUACAUAUCUUUUAUUUAAUAAAAUGUUAAAAUAUUAAUAUAUUUAAAAUUGUAUAAUUAUUUUUUAUUUUAAUACUAUAUAAAUUAUAUAUUUAUGAUAUUACUGGUUCAACUAUAAUUCAAUCACUGAUCCAACCAUUGAACCAUGAAUUAGUAAAUUUUUUUAUUCAAUGAUAGGUUUGAUUCUAAAAAUAUUAUGACUAUGUUUGGUUCCAGAAAUUUUUUUUUGAUGGAUUACAUCAAUCUAGAUAAUGACAAAGAUAUUACCAAUUUGAUAUCACCAAUUGAUAACACAAUUAAAAAAUAAUAUGCAUUUUAACAUAUUUGAAUUCAUUGUACUCAUAUCCAUGACCUAAUUUUACACAUCCUUAAAUCAUGGUUGAUUUAUGAAACAAAUCUAUACCAUCAAUAGAAAAUAAAUAAAUAAAAUAAUACAAAAAAAUAUAUAGAUAGUCAAGCAUAGCAAUUUACCAAACCCUUAGCCACCAUCCAUACUAACCAAUUGUUGUUAAAUGUUUACAAAAAUAUACAUUAAAUCAAAGAGUAAAAAGAUUAAAAACGAACAAGAGAGAAGAAAUACAUCACCUAAUUUUUGUAAUAAAUGAAAUUAUAAUAAAUUCAUAAUUUUUUUAAAUUAAAAUAGAAAUUCAAAUACAUGUAACUAUUGUUUUUGUCUUGUAAAUCAUCCAAUUUUUCAAUGAAUUUAAACUCCACAUAUUUGUGUAGAUAUCUUAUUAAAAAAAACAAAAAGUUUUCACUAAAAUCAUAAAAUUUAGAUUAGAAAUGAUUUACUAUAUUAGUUCAAAAUUCAUCUCCACAAAAAUUGAAAUAAAUUAAUUAUCUUGAUCAAUUCAAAUAAAAUUUCUCCAAUUAAAUUUCCAAAUAUGUGCCUUAAUACCUAUAAUGGAAUUAGUAAUUUUAAUUAAAAAAUAAAUAAAAAUAAGGAUUUGAUCUUUUUCUUACCAUUUGAUGAAAAUUAUAAAAUAUACUAAAAUGACAAGUGAUCAGACAUUUGAAAUUUGCAUCAUUUCUACCAUUGCAAACACCACCAACUCCAUAUUUCCCAUUUUUCUACCUACUGCCAAUUCACUCAUCUCUCUGGGAAGAUUUUUGAGGUUAUCGCCAUGCUUGAGAUAAUCCAGAAAGUUGAGCGGCAUCACUCUCUGAAAGGUGCCUUACAGCAUGGGUAAUGUAUGGGAUACAUCUGAUAGCUUGCCAUAUCCAUAAACCACUAUAUUAAACCAUGGUUCAUAUCCCCAACGCCACACGAGAAUCUGUACUCAUCCCAAGCAGCUUGGAGAUCAUAAAAUUAGGUUUUGAGGGCCUCCCGAGACAUGCACAGCUUCACCUUUGUGCAUUCCUUUGAUUUGGAAAAUUUCUUCUGUAAAAUCCCCCAUUAUCAUGCCCUGAACCAAGACAAUUUCACAAUAUCCAAUAGCAUAUCAUUUACUUCCAUUUUGUCAAUGGGAAUUACCAUUUUGCAUGGGAAGCACCAACGGAGAUAGGGGUUUUCAAAUUGGAUCACUAGCAAAGAAACCCACCGCAACGAUCUGAAUAAUUGAGCACAACAUCCACUUUAGAGAACCCCUCCUGAAGGCGAAAUCGUCAUCUUGGCUAAACGUAGUCAUAGUUGGGUUGUGAGAAAUGGAGAUGAAUCACAGAAGGCUUUCAGUUUGAUAGCAACGAAAAGGUAAAUGUACUCUAGAGAAGUUUUGACCUUGGGAGAAGCGCUUUUGAAUCCAAGUCAAGGUCUGUUCUGGAUCCCUUUUCGACUCUCUCUAUUAAAGGAAGAUAAUCUGCCCAGGAUUUGGAUGCAAGCCUACAAGGCCAUGUUUAGGAGACUUAUGCAAAAUAUUUAUCCAUAGCUCCCCGCCUGAAACAUCUACAUAAAGCGUCUUCCAAGUGUGAACCAUCGUCUUGGGUCCUUGAGAUGAACAAAAACUGAGACAUGUCGUGAGUUAGAUGCAUUGCCUGAAAAUGCCGAGCAGUAGUAUGGCCUUCUUUCUGAUCAACUGUUUUGUCAAAUUCUAGAGCUCUCAUUCCAAAUCCAUCAGUUUUCUCAAAUGAUUGGCCAGUGGAGAUCCAUGGAUAUAACAUAUGAAAUGUGCACAAUAAAAGUAAUCAAACGGUUGGUUGGUUUGGCUGAAUCCCACAAUCGCAAAGACUUAUCAUAUGAAACUGUUACCAACUGAGUUGAAUUUGGCCUAAAAAGGAUAUCCGUUACUACAAACUAGCGUUCUUUCGUGGUGCUCUCUCUUUGCAGGCUAUCCAUGUUCCAAAGAAAAACUCUCUUGUCAUGUCUGGCACUGGGCACUGAUUAGAGUGUGGGACGUUCAUUCUCCAUUAUCACCAAACACAUGCAGGAUAUAUAUAUAUCAAUUCAUUCAAAAUAUGCCUUUAUUUUAUGGAACAUACCCGAAUCCAUUUUGUUUGUGUUGAAGAGGUAUAGAUCUUCUAAGGCUAUGGAGGGCACCACCUUUUCUCAGAAUUCUCUCUGACGAUGGGAAGCCGAAGAGAACGGGUUUUGUUUUUAUUUUGAAAACGUUGUUAUCCUUAAAGAACAAACACUAUUCUUUGGAUUUAUACCCUCCUACCUUAGGGACCAUACCGUUUGGCUACUGGGCCUCACGAGUCUUAGGCCCAUCAUCUAAGGCCCGUGAUGGCACUGGGCUCUACACAUAAGGUGGCCCAUACUCUAGAACGAAUAGAAAUCAUAUGUAUAUAUAUGGAUAGCUAAAUCCUGAAUAAUGGUUAAUAUGAUGUCGGUCCACAUUUAUUCUAUCAAUCUCCCACUUGGACCACAUAUAUUACAAAACAAUGUUCAUGAUAGUACUUUAUUGAGCUCAUCUUUGCUAUCCUAUCUUAAUAUCCUUAAACAAUCUGGUCUACUAGUUAUGCUAACAUAGGAUCAAAGUGGCCUUCAUUAAUCAUAAUUAUAACUAGACCCAUCAAUGAUCACAACAUUAACAAAAUUAGCAACAUAGAUCAAGUAUGGAUGUGUAGCAUGAAAAUUACAUAAAAUGUGAUCUUUAUUAUGUCUAUUUCCAAUUGGUCCUACUUUAUGACUAAAAAAUAGUCAAAUUCCACUUUCAACACUUGAUGCUAAACUGCUUCUGAAAGUCAUCAUUUCAAUUCAGAGAAUUCAAAUACAAUAGUCUUUAAAAUCAAGGUUUGUUGCGUACAUUAUUGGAAUGUUCAGCAAAUAUUUGAGUAACCCAAGUAUGGAUUACUGGAAAAAGGCAAAAUAGGUUAUGCGGUAUUUACAAAGAACUAAAGAUUAUAUGCUCACAUACCGUAGAUCCAGUCAUUUAGAGAUCAUGGGAUAUUCGGACUCCGAUUUCGCGGGAUGUCUUGACAACAAGAGAUCCACUUCAAGCUUCAUCUUCAUGUUGGCUAGAUGAACAGUUUCAUGGAAAAGUGUUAAACAAAUACUUAUUGCUUCUUUCACCAUGGAGGCAGAAUUCAUAGCCUACUACAAAGCAUCAAACCAUGGGAUAUGACUGCGGAAUUUUGUCACUCAGUUGCGAAUCGUUGAUGAGAUUGAGAAAUCAUUAAGAAUAAAUUGUGAUAAUAAAGCCAUAGAAUUGUAAUUCUAAGAACAACCGAAGUUCGUCAAAGUCCAAACACAUUGACAUCAAGUUCUUGGUUGUGAAAGAAAGAGUUUAGAGUCUUCAAGUAUCAAUUGAACAUACAAGCACAAACUCCAUGAUUGCGGAUCCGCUCACUAAGGGUUUGCCACCCAAAGUAUAUCAUGAGCAUGUCACACAUAUGGGUGUUGUACAUAUUGAUGAUGUUCCAGUAUAGUGGGAGUUUGUAUUUAGAUUUUGUGUUUGUUUUCUUGAUAUGAUGUUAUAUUGUGUUAUCGUGUACAAACUUGUGCAUACAUGAGACUUCCUAUUGUUGAGGCAUAGGGAAACCUCUUCAUAUCCUUCUUUUUAAGUUCAUUUUUCGGACAUUGGUGCAAACUAAAUUUAUCGCCUUUUGCUACAGGCAUGUCUCCUGGUGUACAAUUGCUCAUGCCAAAUCUACUCAACACCUUAUCGAUGUAGGCCUUUUGUGAUAACCCAAGUAUACCUCUUAAACGAUCCCUAUAGAUCUGUAUACCUAGCAAAAAAGAUGCAUUACCAAGAUCCUUCAUGUCAAAUUUACUAGACAAAAAUAGCUUAGUUUCAUGCAAAAGUCCCACAUCACUACUUGCAAGUAGAAUAUCAUCAACAUAUAGCACCAAGAUAAUGAAUUUGCUCCCACUAAACUUGAGAUAUAUGCAUUGAUCAAUGGUGUUUUCCUUAAAACCAAAUGAAGUAAUCACCUGAUUAAACUUUUGGUACCAUUGUCAAGAUGCUUGCUUUAAACCAUAUAUGGACCUUUUUAAUCUGCAUACAAGUUGCUUUAAAUCAUUAGACUCAAAGUUCUCCGGUUGCAUCAUGAAUAUUGUUUCAUCAAUGUUACCAUUAAGAAACGCAGUUUUAACGUCCAUUUGAUGCAACUCUAAAUCAUAAUGAGCCACAAGUGCCAUGAUGAUUCUAAAGGAGUCAUUUGACAAAACCGAUGAAAAAAUCUCCUUAUAAUCAAUGUCUUCCUUUUGAGUGAAACCUUUUGCGACUAGACGUGCCUUAUACCUAACAAUGUUGCCUUUUGAAUCCCACUUGGUCUUAAAAAUCCAUUUACAACCAAUCGAUUUUACACUUUCAGGCAACUUUACUAGGUCCCAAACACCAUUAUCUUUCAUUGAUUUCAUCUCAUCUUUUAUGGCUUCUAUCCACUUUUCAGAGUCAGAACUUUGUUUGACUUGACUAACUGAAAUUGGAUCAUCUUCCAAACCCAUGUCAAACUCUUGUUCCUGGAGAUGUACAACAUAAUCAUCUGAAAUUGUACUUCUCAUUUCUCUAGUGGAUCUCCUUAGUGGCACUUGUAUUUGAGGUUCUUGAGGCUGUUGAGUUACCUCUUCAUAAACUUGAACCGGUUCCAUAACUUGAGCAGGAGGAAUCUCAAGUGUGUUUUGAAUCUCUGUUAUUGAUUGUACAAUCUGGAUAGUGUCAUCAAACAUAAUAUGACCAUGUCCAGUCGUAAUAAUAGGAAUACUAACAGAUUCCUCUUCAAAUACCACAUUUCUUAACGGUUCUCUCCCAUUUAACUCAACAUCCUCAAUAAAUUUAGCUUUGCCCGUUUCAAAAAAGGAUCUAGUUGAGGGGUCAUAAAACUUGAAACCUCUCAACCUUUUAGAAUAUCCUACAAAGUAGCAGCUCACUAUUCUAGAGUCCAAUUUCUUUUCAUUUGGUUUUUAAGGCCUAUCUUCAGCUGGACAACCCUAGACAUGCAAGUGCCUAAUACUAGGUUUCUUGCUAGUUCAUAACUCAUAUGAGGUUUUGGCUACUGCUUUGCUUGAGACUCUAUUCAAAAUAUAAAUUGUUGUUUUGAUGGCUUCGCCCUAAAGUGAUUCUGGUAAGGUGGAAUGACUGAUCAUACUUCUUACCAUAUCCUUAAGAGUACGAUUUCGCCUAUCUGCUACACCAUUUUGGAUUGGAGUCCCCAGCAUGGUGUAUUGAGGAACGAUACCACACUCCAUCAAAUAUUUGGCGAACAGCCCUGGACGUUGUUCACUAGAUCCGUCAUAUCUACCAUAAUAUUCACCUCCACGGUCAGAUCUGACGACCUUUAUUUUCUUGCUUAGUUGGUUCUCAACUUUAGCUUUGAAAUUCUUGAACACAUCUAAUGAUUGAGACUUCUCAUGAAUCAAAUAAAGAUAGCCAUAGCGCGAGUAAUCGUCAAUGAAAGUGAUAAAAUAUUAUUGUCCAUUCCAAGAAGGGGUAGGAGAUGGACCACAAAUGUCCGUAUGUAUCAAUUCAAAGACGUCACUGCACUUGUUAACAUCAUUUUUUUUCUCAUAUUUGUUUGUUUACCCUUAAUAUACUCUAUACAGACUCGAAAGUAUAAGAAAUUAAGUGGAUCAAGAAUUCAUUCUGACACAAGCCUUUGAAUACGUUGAUUUGAAAUAUGACCCAAAUGCCUGUGCCAUAACAUCGAUGAAUUCUCAUUUGUUAAUUUCCGUUUAAUGUCAUAAUUACUUGAAUUCAAGGUUUCAUUUUCAUUAGUGGUCUUUAUGUUUAAUUUGUAUAAUUUGUCUGUUAGAUUACCUGUACCAAUAACAUUUGAAUUUAGAUAAAGACUAACCAUUCCAUUUCUAAAUGAACAAUAAUAUCCAAAGUACAUCCAGAGUCUAACUGUAAUCUAAAAAGACCAAUAGUCUUGACUGCAACCUUGUUGCCAUUUCCCGCAUAGAUGUAUCUUUCACCAUCAAUUGGCAUUCGGCUCCUUAGGCAACCCUACAUCGUGACACUUAUGUGAGUAGUUGCACCCGUAUCUAUCCACCAAGUGUCAGUAGGCACUACGACUAAAUUAAUUUAUGAACAAACAAAGUUGAGAAGUGUACCUUUCUUUUCACGCCAAGCAGCGUAUUUGGUACAUGUCUCUUCAUAUGACCAACCUUCUUGCAAAAGAAACAAGUCAUCUCCUUAUCUUGUUUCUUCUACACCUUUUGCAUUGAUGUCCCAAAAAUUGCAGUUUGUUUUUCUUUAUUGUCCCUUUUUCUUUUCUUGUUGGUACCAAAUCCCUGAGAUGUGGAAGCCAAGUGAGCACUUUCUAUCUUUUCUUGUUUCAAUCUCUCAUCCUUUUGUGCACAUUGAGCAAUAAGCUCAUUCAAAGUCCAUUUUUCUUUUUGUGUGUUGUAACUGAUUUGGAAUGGACUGAAUUGUGUAGGCAGAGAGAUCAAGACCAAGUGCACGAGUAUGUCUUCUGAAAACUCUAAUUUUAGUACCUUUAGUCUAGUCACAAGAUUAGACAUUUCCAUAAUAUACUCCCUUAUAUUCUCUUUCCCUUUGUACCGCAUAGAGACAAGCUUACUAAGAAUAGUGCUUGUCUCAACCUUUUCAUUUGUAGUGAAUCGGUUUGCUAUCUGGUCUAAGAAUGCCUUGGCUCGAGUUUUCUCAGGUAUUGCACUUCUUACAGCUUUUGGAAUUGAGUGCUUUGUUAUCAUUAGAGUCAUGCGAUUGGAUCGCUCCCAUUUUUCCAUAGUAGAACUUUGCUCAGCAGUGCUGGCACUAGUAAGAUCUGGAGGGCGAUCCUCUCUUAAUGCAUAGUCUAAAUCCAUGCACCCGAGCACAAUUAUAGCGUGUUUCUUCCAUUUCUUGAAGUUUGUGCCAUUAAGUGCAGGAAUGUUAUUAACAUUUGCAGAUAUAGAAUAUGUUGAAUUCAUAAUAAUAAAGCUCACAAUCAGUCACAUAAAUAUCAUACAUACAUGAAAAAUAACAUCAUACAAGAUACUUAGCACAAACAUUAAUAUUCUGUCUUUGGACAAUAAAUAUUAACUUGUAAUUGGUAUCCUUAUUCAAAAUUAUUCAUAAAUAUUGACAAUAAAACCAAAAACAAUAUGCUUGUCUUUAGACUAACAUAUCGAAUGCAAGAUAAACUUUAUAUGUCACAUAUUUAUGACUACUUUAUUUAUUAUUAUAUUAAAAUAAUCUUCCUUUGGGCCAAUUAUUUUAAAUAAUAAUAAUAACAUGUUUAGAUAUUAUAAAAUAAAUAAAUUAUAUAAUAUAAGUUACUUUGACAACUAACAUACAUAAUUCAUUUAUUUUAAAAUAUUAAACACAAACAUAACAAGAAAUAAUAAAUUCAAUUAAAAUUAUUUAUUUAUUUAUGCAUAAACCCAUGUAUAUAUAUAUAUAUAUAUAUUAAUUGAAGCAUAAAAAACCAUCUACAUGUGUAUAUAUAUCAAUUGAAGCAUAUAUACAAGCUUUAGUCUAAUGGUUUAAGCAAAAAAUAGGCCAUGGUAAAGGGUUUAAGCCAACCCGCCCCUUUAGUUUGGUUUUUGUUUUUUUUUUUUUGUUUUAAUUUCUUUUGGGCUACUGACCAUGCAUUCUCUCAUGGCCCAACGACCACUUAUGGUCACUUACAAGCCAAGCCCCUUCCAUAUAUAUAUAUAUAUAUAUAUGUUUUUAUUUAUUUAUUUAAAUUUUGUCCAUUGCAGCCCAAAGCGACCAUCCCUUGUAAUGGCAUCAUCAACGGUGCCAGAGCUGUCCUCGAACGACACCGAUAGUGAAACGCUGCCACCAUCACCGGAACGGUGAUUUCCCAUCGCCAAACGACGGUGUCACUACCGGAAUGAUGCUGUAACAGCAUCGCUGGGAAGCAACCUAACUUGUGGCGUGACACCAUGACAAGCAAUGCCACUAGCAGUGAAACGCUGUCGCCAUCACCGAAACGGUGAUUUUCCAUUGCCAAACAAUGGCGCCACCACCGGAACAACGUUGAAACAACAUCACUGGGAAGCAGCCCUACCCGUGGCACCAAAAUGGCGCUUGGAUGGCAUUUGGAACACUUGCAACAACGUUCAAAUCAGCGCUUCUCACUGGCAAAUGACGCUUGAACGACAUCUGGAAAUAAUGCCUACAACGCCUAAAAAUUGUGCUAUUUUGAACUCUUAAAACAACGUUGAAAUGACGUCUACCAAAGUCUGGAAUUGCACCGCUGUCUAGAACGAUGCCAUGAUGGUGUCUCACUCGCCUUAAAUGGCACCAACCACCAUGACUUGCAACCUAAAAAAUGGCACUUGAACAGCGCCUGAAGCGUGCCUGGAACGACGCUACAAACGAUGCCUGAAAUGGUGCCUUUUGUAUGCCUGAAAACGACAUAGGAAUGACGCUUAAACUACGUCCAUUUUGAACGCCUGAACGGUGUCCUAACGGCGCCUGAAACGAUGCCUGAAUGACGCCUGGAAUUGGCCCAGAUUUAUUUUAUGUUGUUUCCUUCCUCUUGGAUCUUUUGUUUGUGUUUUAAAAAAAAAAAUGUUUUGGUGAAAAUGGGAAAUGCAACCAGGCUCUGAUACCAUUUUGUGGGACGUUCAUUCUCCAUUAUCAUCGAACACAUGCAAGAUAUAUUUAUAUAUAUCUAUCAAUUCAUUCAAAAUAUGCCUUCAUUUUAUGGAACAUACCCGAAUCCAUUUUGUUUGUGUUGAAGAGGUACAGAUCUUCUAAGGCUAUGGGGGGUACCACCUUUUCUUAGAAUUCUCUAUGACGAUGGGAAGCCAGAGAGAACAAGUUCUAUUUUUAUUUUGAAAACGUUGUUAUCCUUAAAGAACAAACACUAUUAUUUGGAUUUAUACUCUCCUACCUUAGGGACCAUACCCUUUGGCUAUUGGGCCUCACGAGUCUUAGGCCCAUCAUCUAAGGCUCGUUAUAGCACUAGGCUCUACACAUAAGGUGGCCCAUACUCUGGAAAGAAUAGAAAUCAUAUGUAUAUAUAUGGAUAGCUAAAUCAUGAACAAUGGUUAAUAUGAUGUCGGUUCACAUUUAUUAUAUCAUAGAGACUUCCCAUAUGAAGAAAAUCGACAGCAGGUAGCUUUGCCAUUCUUAGUCUGUAUACAACCAACCUUAGCAAGGAUUGAACCCUUUUAUGCUUAGUUGUGCCAUAAAGAUCCUUACCACUGCCUAUAACAUGUAAUCAAAAUGAUUCGAUAAUAUCAUCUAGUGAACCAAUACCUCCAAAUGAGAGACCAUUGCCUUGGUAACUAGGGCUCAUGACUGAGAAUUGCUUGAACCCCUUUGCUUGGGUUGGAGCUUGACUGAUGCACAAAAUAUUCAUAGGCCUCUUCCCAUAACUGGCACCUUGUGUUUGCAACAUAAUUGAACAUGUAUUGAAGUGAGUUUUUUUGCAUCUUUUUGUAAGAAAAUUCUAAACAACAGAGAUUGCUUAGUGUGCCCGGCUCCUCGGGGAAUCAAGGUUCAUUCCUGUAGGGCCAAUUUUUUCACAGUCGAACUAGAUAACAUGGAGAGUAUGUUGCAAUGCUUCAACGGGGUAUUUCUUAGGAAAAUCCACCUGAAGCUAGUACAAUUCGUUGGCGUACUGAGUUCCUGGAGCUCUAUUGACUUCAAUCACCCAUCUUUGUAGAUUAUCGGUGACUUAUGCUCGGAUCCUGUAGGAGGAUUGACCUGACAUUCCACUAGCUCUUUCUGGAAGGCGAUCUUGUUUAACACCUUGUGAGAAGAGGCAAGGGAACUGGUCAUUGUUUCUUCGAGAAGAUCAGUGGCCGAGGAUGGGUUUGGAUCAGAAUUGCUAUAUGGGUUUUCUUUGGGUGAACCAAUUAGUGAAGUGGGUGGCUAUAUAGCAACUGAAGGGUAGUCAUACUAACGAGGAACUAUUAUUUCAUGCAUGUGGAGAGGAAAUGAGUAGAUUCUUCAGGGAUAUAUGAUUAUUCAUCUCUAGCUUACGUUGAAUAUCUCCUAACAAAUUUAUGCUUUGAAGCUCCCUUAGUUUCAUUACAGCUAACUUGGCCAACUUGGUUUCAUCAUGUUUCCUACAACCUCUAAGCAAAGCACGCCAGAUCACCAAAUCAGGUUCUAUUCGCAUUUUGUCCAUAAACUCCUUUGCCUAUUGACAAUAGACUGCCCCUCAAAAUUUGAUGAGAUAACAUCAACGCUGACAGGUUGGCCAUCCCCAUAAGCAUCUUUAUAGAGAUUGAUUCUAUGUUUAGAUAUUUCUCUCUCCUCAAGUGAGUUCAAUUUUUUUGUAACAUCCUUCUCCUUCUCUACUAAUAGUCUUAGCUGAACAUCCAACCUAUGUUCCUAAAGUGCCAGCAUCUCAUAUCUGAUGACAAGCCAACAACCUUGCCCUUGCUGAGACCAAUGUUUUUAAGGCGUUUGUGGGGCGCGCCUUGAGGCGAGGCGCAGCGAAAACGUGUUGAGGCGUUAAAAAUAAAAUGAAACACCUGAAAGGCGUACGCUUUUCCGAUGAGGCGUGAUUGAGGCGUGCUUUGAUCGCGCCUUUCACACUCCAAGAAGAAGGUGUAUGCUUCCUCGGAUCUGAUGUGGCAAUGAACAGAGAUUUAAAAAAAAACCCUAAGUAAUCCCUAAAACCCUAGUCCCGACUGAAAACAAACCCAAAACGAAACCCUACCUCCAACGACUCAAGUGGCGACGGAGUGCUCACCCUCGGCUGCGACCAAUCGCAAUGCAUCUUCUCCGGCGACGAUCCCUCUCAUUCAUCUCCAGGUAUGUUGCGAACUCCUUCUUCCAUGGUUUCUCCCUCUUCGUUUCUCUUUCUGCAAUCCACACGGGCUUCGUCGACUCUUCAUCCAAAUUUUUUUUUUAUCAAAUCAGUUAUGUAUAUCUAUUUAAAUUUUAAACCCUUUUUUCUCUCUCUUACAGUAUAUCUAUUUAAAUUCUUUCUCGGCAAUCCACAGCCCACACUUCCAGUCCACACUUUUCUCUCUCUCCCAAUAGGCUUUUCAUUUUCCUUUUUUUUUUUUUUUUUUUUUUAAAUUAUCAAAUCAAAUGUGCCUUUUGUUAAUAAGAUUUUUUUUGAAGUUUUUUAUAUGUUUGCUUAUAGUAUCAACAAAAAAAUAUAAUUAAAAUUAUAUAAAAGACAAUUAUUUGUGAAUUUUGAAUUUUUUAUUUCUGGUUUAAUUUUAAUUUUCACCUCAAUUUUCUUUAUUUCAUUAUUAAAUUCCAAUUAAAAUUUAUGUGUAUAAUUUUUAAACUCUUUUAAAAAAAAUUGGUUUUUUUUUAAUUUAAACCAAUUAAAUUUUGUAUUUCAUUUUUAAAUUUCUUUCAAUUGUGCUUUGUUAUUAUUUUUUUAGUCAAUUAUAUUGUUAUAUGGAAAUUUGAAUAUUAUUAUUGGUGAUUUUUUUUAGAAUGAGUUCCUCUGAUUCAAAAAAUUCAAGAAAGGAUUUUGUGUGGAAGUAUGUGAUGGAAGUUUCUAGAGAGCAAUAUUUAAUAUGUAAAUUUUGCAAUCAAAGAUGUACGGGAAGGGUGAAUAGACUAAAACAUCACUUAGCCGGAACUCAUCAUGGUAUGAAACCAUGCAACAAAGUUAGUGAAGAUGCUAGAUUGGAAUGUAAAGAGGUAUUGGCUAAUUUUAAGGAUCAAAAAACGAAGAGAAAUGAAUUGCUCCAAGAAAUUGGUAUGGGUCCAACUUCAAUGCAUGAAAGUGCCUUGUCUAAAAUAAUAGGGACAUUAGGGAGUGGGAGUGGGAGUGUAAGUGGGAGUGGGGAACCUAUUCCUAGGGGACCCAUGGAUAAAUUUACCACUUCACAACCUAGACAAAGUACUUUGAAUUCAUAGUGGAAGCAAGAAGAAAGGAAGGAAGUGUGUAGAAAAAUUGGUAGGUUUAUGUAUUCAAAAGGUCUCCCAUUCAACACUGUGAAUGAUCCUUAUUGGUUUCCUAUGAUAGAUGUUGUUGCAAACUUUGGGCCCGGGUUUAAGCCUCCAUCUAUGCAUGAAUUGAGGACAUGGAUUCUUAAAGAAGAGGUGAAUGACCUAAGUAUCAUUAUGGAAGAUCACAAAAAAGCUUGGAAACAAUAUGGAUGUUUAAUUAUGUCAGAUGGUUGGACAGAUGGAAAAAGUAGGUGUCUUAUCAAUUUUUUGGUGAAUAGUCCUGCUGGAACUUGGUUUAUGAAAUCAAUUGAUGCUUCUGAUACAAUAAAAAAUGGGGAAUUGAUGUUCAAAUAUCUUGAUGAGGUGGUUGAAGAAAUUGGAGAGGAGAAUGUUGUGCAAGUCAUCACUGAUAAUGCCUCUAAUUAUGUGAAUGCUGGAAUGAGGCUUAUGGAAAAAAAGAGUAGAUUGUGGUGGACUCCUUGUGCUGCUCAUUGCAUUGAUUUGAUGUUAGAGGAUAUUGGAAAGCUAAAUGUUCAUGCUACUACACUUUCUCGAGCUAGGCAAGUUGUGAAGUUUAUAUAUGGGCAUACUUGGGUUCUUAGCUUGAUGAGAACAUUUACAAAAAAUCAUGAACUUAUUCGUCCAGCAAUUACACGGUUUGCUACUGCAUUUCUUACUCUCCAAAGUCUUUAUAAGCAAAAGCAAGCUCUUAUAGCAAUGUUCUCCUCAGAAAAAUGGUGUUCAAGCACAUGGGCUAAAAAGGUAGAAGGUGUGAAAACUCGAAGUACAGUGUUGUUUGAUCCAAAUUUUUGGCUUCAUGUUGCUUUUUGCAUAAAGACCACUGUUCCAUUAGUUAGUGUCUUGAGAGAGGUUGAUUCAGAGGAAAGACCAGCCAUGUGUUAUAUUUAUGAGUUGAUGGAUUUAGUUAAGAAGAAGAUUGCAUUUAAUUGUCGGGGCAUGGAGAGAAAAUAUGACCCAAUUUGGAGAAAAAUUGAUGCAAGAUGGACUCCGCAACUUCAUCGACCUUUACAUGCAGCAGACUAUUAUCUUAAUCCUCAAUUGCGGUAUGGAGAUAAGUUCUCUAAUGUUGAUGAGGUGAGGAAGGGAUUAUUUGAAUGCAUGGAUAGAAUGUUGGAUUAUCAAGAACGUUUAAAAGCUGACAUUCAGUUGGACUCAUAUGACCAAGCAAUGGGUGAAUUUGGGAGUCGUAUUGCAAUUGAUUCUCGAACAUUAAGAAGUCCUACAAGUUGGUGGAUGCGUUUUGGGGGUUCAACACCGGAGUUGCAAAAGUUUGCUAUUCGAGUCCUUAGCCUUACUUGUAGUGCUUCGGGAUGUGAAAGAAAUUGGAGCACAUUUGAAUCGGUAAUACUUCUAUUUUUGUAAAUUUUUAUACAUAUAUUUCUAUUUCAAUGUUAGAGAACUUUAUUUCAUUUUAACACAUAAAAUUGUUUCUUUUAUUAUUUGUAGAUCCAUACAAAAAAAAGAAAUAGACUUGAACAUCAAAAGUUGAAUGCUCUAGUGUAUGUAAGGUACAACACUAGAUUGAGAGAGUGAAGUCUACAAAGGAAACAAAAUGUUGAUCCAACCUUGGUAGAGGAGAUUGAUUCUGAUGAUGAAUGGAUUGCGGAGAAAGAAGAUCUCCUCCUCCCCCUUGAUCUUUGUUGGCUUCAAGAUAAUGAAUUAUUCAAUGUUGAUGCCAUUAGAGUUGUGUCAUCCAACUCCCAAGAGACGCAAGCAUCAUCGGAUCAUAUGGUUUCUUCACAUUCCUACAAAAGGAAACAUAAUGAAGUACCAAGUAAGUACUCAAAAAUUGAAAUCAUAAAUUUGAUUAAAUUUAAUAAAAAAAACUUUUAAUAUUUAAACAUAAUUAAUACUUUAUGCUAGGUACAAGUGGAGGCAAAGGCAAAGAGAAGGAAUUGAAUUUGACACCAAUUGAUGAAGAUGAAGAUUUAGAUGAAAUGGGGAUACAUGAUAGUGGACAUUUUCCUACUAUUGAUACAUUGGAUGAGGAUGAUGAUGACCUUGGAGAGGAGGAUUUAAGUUGAAACAAUUUACUCUAGUUGUUAUUUCAUGACUUAGUUAUGGAUUUUUUGUAAAAGUUUAGAACUAUUAUUAUGGUUGACUCUAUUUUCUAUUUCAUGACUUAGUUAUGGCUUUUUGUUAAAGUUUGAAACUAUUAGUAUAGUUGAAUCUAUAAUCUAUUUUAUGAAUUUGUUAUGGUUUUUUGUGAAAGUAAGGAACUAGUAUGUUUUUUUUUAUGAUUCUAAUGAAUUGUUUUCAUGUUUUUAUUUAUGCUAUUUUAUUUUAUAUAUUUUAAAAUAUUAAUUAAUUAUAUAAUGUGAGGCUCAAAAAGCUUACGCCUCAAUGCCUCGAGGCUUACGCCUCGCCUCACGAACACAAAAACGCCUCGCCUUACGCUUUCGCCUUUAAAAACUUUGGCUGAGACCCAAAUAAGUAUCCAGAACCAUCAUCAUCAACCCUUUCACAAGCCUUUGUAUUUGAAGGUCAGAUUGGGAUUGCUUUGAAUGCACUGACACUGACACUGCAAUACACAAUUGUUUCUUCUCCAAUAAAAACACCACAAAGAGGUGAGGGGACUGGUAUUAGCAAAGAAGUGUUGUUAUCUAUAUUGUUCUGAGCCCGAGUACCAAAAACAAAAUCCUCAUCCUCAUCUAUACUCUUCCAUUACAUCCCUAGGCUUUUCAAUGUGAUCCACAUGGCUUACAGGAAUCCAGAAAUAUCGGUCUGUAUAAAAGUUGCUCUUAUGUGGCUCUCCUAGAAAACAUCCCAAUCAAGAUGAUCAACCUAGCUUAGAUGCUCAACACCCCAAACUUACGAGAAAUAGAGGAAUAAAAAGCAAGGAUAGGAGCCAAAGUAAAAACUGAGGGAAGAGCAAAUAGGAAAUCAAGCAAAACAUGAAUGUACAGAGCCUCAUUUCAGGUGACAUCUUUGGGCUAAUAAUAGGUGGAAUUAACAAAGUAGAUAAGCAUGAUUGUUAUAAAUAUCAAGUUCAAGGAUGAAGUCGUGCAUCAGCUACUUAUAGGGGGAGUCAAGGAAACCAAGAUAAGAUCAAAGAGAGCAUGUAUGCAAAUAAACAGAUUUGACAAAAUAGACCAAACAGCUUGUGAAUAUCCUCCUACAAAAAACUACUACACGUGGCAAAAAGUGAUGAAGCAAAAAGAGUCGGGUCCGCAUAUACAUAUCCUAUGCUAUCCUAUUCCUUCAAAUCCAAAGCAACCUGUAUUUUCAAUGGGAUUUGUUGUGAUGAAUUUUACUGGAUUGUAACAUGUAAAUAUGUUAAAAAAGGCUUGGGACAUUCCUAUAUAGUAACGCAUAAAGGUACUUCCAUUGUGAAGUUGUCAAAAUUGCAAAUUUAAAUUACAAAAUUUGAAAACAUAGAGAUGAAAGAUGAUGAAACCUUCUUUGAAAUUUUAUAUUGAACUCAUUAAUAUUAUUAAUUUUCAUUUCAGUCUAAGGGAAAGAAUUCUUUACUCUAAAGUGGUCACAAAAAUAUUAAAAUUCCUUGUCGAGAGAUUUAGAUCUAAAGUGAUCAAUAUAGAAGAAAGUAAAAAUAUUCUAAGUGUAGGUAAACUUGUAGACUCAAAUGACUCUACCUUCUCAUAAAAAAUCCUCAAUUUUAUAAAUUAUAUAGAUUUCUUCAUUUGAUACAAAAUUUGAAUAAAGAUUUUUCAAAUGACAACACAAGGAAAGGGAAAAAAAAAAUCUAUCCAGAUCAUAUUAUUUAAUCACUUAAAUUAUUUAAAAAUAAAAAUGUUUACUGCUAACAUUAUUUAGGUUCAUCUUUCUUUUGAUGGAGGUUAAAAUUCAUAAUUUUGAGGAAAAAGAUGAGGAUUCUCAUUUUUUUUUUCCAUGUAUGAAUGGGAUUCUCAUUGUGUAUAUGUGGGUUACUAAAUGGCAAAUUUGGGGGCCAAUAUGAGGGAAAAAAUGAAGUUGAGUUUGUCACCAAGAAUAGACAUGGUUCCUACAAAGGUGGCAUCUUUAAUUUCAUGUUUGGAUUGGACUUGUCAUGUAACAACUUAACAAGUGAAAUCCCUCAUGAACUUGGAAUGUUAAGUUUGAUUCAUGCAUUGAACUUGUCUCGUAAUCAACUAAAAGGCUCCAUUUCAAAGAGUUUUUGCAAUCUUUCUCAAAUAGAGAGCUUAGACCUUUUUAAUAAUAAACUAAGUGGAAAAAUUCCUCCAAAAUUGGUUAGACUAAACUUUUUAGCAGUGUUCAAUGUUAGCAUAUUCGGAAGAGUUUUAGAUAUGAAUGCAUAAUUUGCAAAAUUUGAUGAAAGUAACUAUGAAGCUAAUCCUUUCCUUUGUGGACCACCAUUAAACAGAAAAUGUAGCAUAAAUGUUGUUGAACCACCUUACCAACCAUUAGAGUCUUCAGAAGAAAGUGAUGCAAAAUGGUAUAAUAUCAAUCUUGUUAUUUUCUUUGCAAAUUUUACUACAUCAUAUAUCAUGAUAUUAUUAGGAAUUUCAACCAUUCUUUACAUUAACCCUUAUUGGUGUCAAAUAUGGUUCAAUUUUAUCGAGAAAUAUAUAUACUUUUGCUAUUAUUUUGUUUCCUAUACUCUUUCCAAGUUAUUAACAUAUUUUGAAUAAUUAGAGAUUUUUGUUUUCAAUAAUAUUUACAUAAUUAACUACUAUUGGUUUCCAUGACAUGGAAAGAAAUGCGGUGAAGGCAACAACCACUUUUUUUUCUCCUCUACUAGUGCAUGAUUGAUAUGAGUUAAAACUUGCACCCUUAUCUUUACUUAAAUUUUCUCAGCUUUUGUUUCAAUUCUUAAUUAUCAUUUCUUUUAUGUAUUGUUUAAUACAAUAUCCUAAACACAUUGCUUUGAAGGUUACUUAUUUAUUAAGCAUGAUAUUUAUUUUCAUAAAGACAAAUUCAAGUUUUUUAGGAAUUUUUAGAAUUAUUAUAAUUUGGAGUUCACAUUAGAGGAAAAAAAGGAAAGAAAAGAAUAGAUAAUUAAAAAAACAAUUUUAGUAAGUAUAAUUUGUCAUCUUCGGUAUAACAAAUGGGAAUUCCAAAAUAAUAUUUCAAUUUGUUAGUCUAUUCCUUAUAAUAUUAAUUGAAAUAUCAAAUAAGGAGUCACGUUUUGAUUUUUUUAUUAGCUUGAAUUGCAUGUCACAUAUAUUUUAAAAUCAAGCAUACCUCAGCAGGGAAGUUCUUGUAACAUGCAUGAACAUGAUAUGAUGAAUUAAAUAAUUUUCUUAAUUGUGUGAGACACAAACCCUCUUUGUUUAAUAAUAAUAAUAAUAAUAAUAAUAUACUACACAUUAUUAAAUCAUAUAUGUAUAUUUAUAGUCGUAUAAUAUAUUUAUAUAAGUAACAAUAAAUUAUAUUGUAUAAGGUAUCGGUAGGAGUUUUCAAUUCCCUCAUAUAAUAAUAUCUAUCAAUAAUUGGAUUGGACACCUUGCUGGCCAUGAGAAUGGACUUGACAUUAACACAUAGCCUUGAGUGGUGUUGAUAUUAUUACUUUGAACCAGAACUGCAGUCAUCUCAAAAACUAUAUUAUAUAGAAAAGCAAAAUAAAAACAUUAGUUAAAAAAAAUGUCAAGAUCCUUGAAAUCACGUUUCAAUAUGUUAAAUUACCAUUUUUUUAAAUAAAUUUUUGAUAGGUUGUGUGAAUAAAUAUAAUUGCUAUGAAGGGUUUCAAUUUAAUUUUACUAGCAAAUCCAUAAUAGGUGAAAAGACAAAACUACCAUUUUUGUUUUUUUUCUUUAUUUACCUUUUUUCUCUCGUAACCUUACUCCUUUCUCCUUUUUGUUUUUUCCUUUUUUAUUAUUAAUUUGUCUUUUUCCUUUUUCUCAACUAACUAUUUUUUUUCUUGUAAUUGUUAUUAUCAUUCUUAUUAUAAAUAUUAUAACCUUAUAUUAUAAAUUUUUAGUUUAGAUUAUAUUUAAACUAACUAAUGUUGUGGUUUUAAUUGACAUGGAAAAGAAUGUGGUUAUACAUGUGAUUGUCGCCUUUUUUUUUUUCAAUUAGUUAACUAUUGAUACAAGUUAAAAGUAAAAAUUGCAAUAUUAUCUUUACGUCAAUUUCACCGAUCUUUUGUUUUUAUUUUCAUGUAUCAUUCCUUUUUUGGUUAUUUAAUUAAAAGGAUUAAAAAAAAAUCACAUAUUCACAAUAAUAACCUUCAUAUUUUAAAAACAUAAAAUAAACAUUUUUUUUUUUUUAUAAAAAUACCCUCCAACUAUAUUUUUUAUAUCCCUAUUUCAAAUCCAAACACUUCUUUUAAAAAUAAUAAUAAUAAAUAAGGGCAAAAAUGUCAAACUGGGAUUAUAUUUAUAAUUUUCAAUAAUUAGAGGUUGUUUUUCCAAUGUAAAAAUUAUUUUGUUCCUUUGGCACAAAUAUUUCUUUCUUUUAUGUAUUUUUUUUAUUCAAAAUAUUAAACACAUUACCCUCAAGGUUACUAUUUAUUAUGAAUGGUGUUUACUUUACAUAACGAGAUAUUCAAAUUUUUUAGAAUUUUUUAAUGUUAAAAUAAUUUGGAGCUUAAUAGGGAAAAAAAAGAAGAAAGAAUAGAUAAUUAGAAAAGCAAUUCAAAAAAAUAAAAUUUAUCCUCUUAAAUUGGUUUUGUGUAAUACUAUAGAAGCCAUUUCUUGAGUUUGAUAUGGUAGAAUUUGGAUUCAUAUUUAUUUUAAAAUCAAGAAAUUCAAGUGUUGGUAGCAUCAAUAGAAUCUUAACAAAUUUGAAAAAAAAUAUUUAGGUAGAUCACAUUUAAAUAUAGCUAAUAGAAUAAAAAAUUAGUAUUAUUAGAAAGACAUGAUCAAUUAAAUCUUUUUUCUUAUCUAUGACACCGACUUUAUUUUUUUACAUAGUCAAUACAAUUUAUUACAACUUAUAUGUCAUUAAAUUAUAUACGUUUAUAUUAAAUAUAAUAUAAGACCAUUAAUGGAAUAAUUAUGCAAGUAAUAUAAAUUGUAUAUAAUAUAAAAAAUUUAAACUCCAUCAAACUAAUGGAAUCUAUUAUAAUAAGUAGACUAGACACCAUGUUGGCCCGAGUUGCAGGCCUGGGCCAGAUUUUAAAGGCUGGGCUUUGAGUUGCCCGUGGGCCUGAGCCAAGGCCUUCUCUUGGUAUCAUCAUUUUGAAGAAAUAAAUUGCUGAUACAGAGAAAAAAACUAUACUAAAUAGAAAAAUAAAUAAAAGCAUUGACUAAAAUGAAGGUCAAGGUCCUUGAAAAAUAAUCUUUAAAUUGUUGCAUAUAUAAUUUCAAUAAUGCAUAAAUAAUUGCAAUAUAUAUGAUAUGAUAAAGAAUUUGGAAUUAAAAGAAGAUUGAUCUAUUUUAAAUGUGGUUGGAAUAUUUCUAAAUUUGUGAUGGGAAGUUAGACAGCCAAUUAGGGAUCCAUAUUAUUUAUUUUCAAUGAUAUGAAUUUAUUUACUUUUAUUAAUAUUCUUAAUGCAACAAUAUAAAAUAUGUCAAUUUUCUAAAAUUUAAAAAGUAAUUGUAAAAGAAUUUUUUUUAAUUAUUUUUCUGAAAUUGAGUUUAUUAUAACAUUUUUCUUUACAUAAAUUUCUUUUUUAUUUUUAUUUUUUUUAAAAUGAGAUAUGAAAAAAAGAGAUCAAUAUUAGUACAAGUAAAACCCAAUAUAUAUAUAAAAAAAAUGAAUAAAUGUUUAUGAAAUAUUUUUUCUCUUUUAAUUCCUAUUCAAUUCAUUACACAAAAUAUUUUUGGUUUUUAUGCUAAAAUUUAUUGUUUAUUCAAAAAUUCUAGUAUACCUAGCUAUCAUAGAAGAGCCCCAAAAUUUUAUUGUUUAAGAGAAUAUGUGUUGCCACUUUAAAAGAUUUAUAUGCAAAAGGGAUUGAUAUUUUUUUCCUUUGGAUAUAUUUAGUUCCCGGAAAAUUUGAGGGAAAAUGUGAGGGAAGAAAAAUAGAGAAGAAAAGUAUAACGAAAUAAAAAGUGAAGGAAAAUGAAAAAUAGAUUUAAAGUUAAUAAAUUAUUUUCAUUGGUUUUUUCAAACUUAUUUUACUUAUUUUAUUCUAUUAAAUAAAGAUUAGCUAAUUUUAAUUAUAUUUGGUUUGAUUUUUAUUAUUUUUCAAAGCAAAACCAAAUAUGAAAAAAAAAACAUUUUUUUUGUUCAUUUUUUCUUUCCUUAUUACUUUUCAAAACUCAAACAUAGCUUUUAGAUUUGGAGCAUGGAAAGAUAAGAGUAUUGAAUAAAGGUUCUAUAUAUGCCCAUGCCCAUGAUACCAUUGAAAAAAAUGGAGAAAGGGUGAAACUUUUUCUCUUCAAUGGAAAUCAAAUAUAAUUAUUUUUAUCUUGUAGUAAUUGAAUGUUAUACUCCAUAAACUCAAAAUUAAAAUAAAUAAAAAAUUUAAAAACUAGGACAAUCCCAUUUUUUUUUUCAAUUUCUUAAAAAGAAAUUAAAUUACAUUUAUUUAUAUCUAUUUUCAUCCCUACCCAAAAAAAUAAAAAAAAAAUUAACAAGGUGGGACAUGUAUGAGAAAUUCUCACACUAACUCUCUCUAGUUUAUUUUUUAUUUUUUAAAAAAAAUCAAUUUCUUUUAAAAAAAUUAAACUAUAUAAAAAAUAAAUAUAAUUUAAAAUAAAAUAAUUUAACAAUUUUUUUUUUAAGAAAAGUAAAUUUCUUAUUUUAUAUAUGUUAAAAAUAAAUAUAAUCUUUUAUUUUUUUAUAUAUAUAAUCGGGUAAGGUAGAGUGGGACAAAGAAAUAAUCCCCUUCGAUUCCAAUAUGAAUUUUUAAAAUAUAAAAUAAAAAUCUUAAACUCAUCCCUAAUCCAUUUAUUUUUAAUCCUAAACUCGUCUUAUUAAGAAUAAGGCAAAGUGAGUACAUGAAAACACUUCUUUUAUCAUCAUCUCUACAAGUUCUAAUGUUUAGACUGCAAUCCAUAUCAAAGAUUUAUAAAGAAAGGACAACGAUGAAUUUCAUAAACAUUUGAAAGCAUAUACGUACAAAGUUUUAAAUAAUAUUGCUUGAGGUGCAAAUAUUAUUUGGCGCACAUAUUGAGGGACUUCAACUUGUUUUUUACAUUAGUAAGUAAUCUUGAAUAUCUAGAGUAACUUGACCAAAAUCUCUUUAAUUUUAUUUUCUUUGAUGGUUGUAUGAUGAAUUAGAAUGCUUAUAUAACAUGAUUAAAAAUUUUAAGAAAAAAAAAACUAAGAAGAAAGAAAGAAGCACCGAUCUUCCAAAUAUUGCUUCCACUUUAAUAUCUAGAAGGCUCUAAGAAAAGAACUUUUUUCAUGAAUCAUAACCCAAGUCGAAAAUAAAUUGAACCCAUUUUCUAAGUUAAAUUUUGAAUUUUUUACUAGUGAAUGCAAAUUGGGAAAAUGUAUAUAAAUAUAAUUAAACUAGAAUAGUAGGUUAGGUUUGUAGGUGGAGUUUGUUUGAAUUGUUGGAACUUCCAAGUCGUUGUGGGUCUAGUGGUCCCAUAGCUCUCUAUUAAUUUCCACCAUCAAUUUUCUGCAAUAAAGUCAAGUCAUUCCUAACCCCUAUAUUAAGUUGGCCUUAAAAGUCAAGUCAUUGAUCAUAGUUACAUUCAUGAAUCACAACCUAAGUCGAAAAUAAAUUGAACCCAUUUUUCAAGUUCAACUUUGAAUUUUUUACUAGUGAAUGCAAAUUGGGAAAACAUAUAUAAAUAUAAUUAAACUAAAAUAGUAGAUUAGGUUUGUAGGUGGAGUCUGCUUAAAUUGUUGAAACUUCCAAGUCAUCGUGGGCCCAGUGGUCCCAUAGCUCUCUAUUAAUUUCCACCAUCAAUUUUUUGCAAUAAAGUCAAGUCAUUCCUAACCCCUAUAUUAAUUUGGCCUUAAAAGUUCAGUCAUUGAUAGCUAAAUCCCAACCCAAGUCAAAAAUAAAUUGAACCCAUUUUCUACGUUCAACUUUGAAUUUUUUUUAAUUGGAAAAAUGUAUAUAAAUACAAUUAAACUAGAAUAGUAGAUUAGGUUUGUAGGUGGAGUCUGCUUGAAUUUGUGAAACUUCCAAGUCAUCGUGGGUCUAGUGGUCCUAUAGCUCUCUAUUAAUUUCCACCAUCAAUUUUCUACAAUAAAGUCAAGUCAUUCCUAACCCCUAUAUUAAUUUGGCCUUAAAAGUCUAGUCAUUGAUAGCUACGUUCAUGAAUCCCAACCCAAGUCAAAAAUAAAUUGAACCCAUUUUCUAAGUUCAACUUUGAAUUCUUUUAAUUGGGAAAAUGUAUAUAAAUACAAUUAAACUAGAAUAGUAUAUUAGGUUUGUAGGUGGAGUCUGCUUGAAUUUGUGAAACUUUCAAGUCGUCAUGGGUCUAGUGGUCCCAUAGCUCUUUAUUAAUUUUCACCAUCAAUUUUUUGCAAUAAAGUCAAGCCAUUCCUAAACCAUAUAUUAAUUUGGCCUUAAAAGUCAAGUCAUUGAUAGUUACGUUCAUGAAUCACAACCCAAGUCUAAAAUAAAUUGAACCCAUUUUCCAAGUUCAACUUUGAUUUUUUUACUAGUGAAUGCAAAUUGGGAAAACGUAUAUAAAUAUAAUUAAACUAGAAUAGUAUAUUAGGUUUGUAGGUGGAGUAAGCUUGAAUUGUUGAAACUUCCAAGUCAUCACGGGUCUAAGGGUUCCAUAGCUCUCUAUUAAUUUUCAUGGUCAAUUUUUAUGAAUUAAGAUUUAAAAGUGAGAAGGGAAUAAAUUUUUUCUUUUUCAAUUCAUUACAAAAAAUAUUUUUGGUUUUUAUGCUAAAAUUUAUUGUUUAUUCAAAAAAUUAAAGUAUAAAUAUAUAUAUAUAUAUCUUGCUAUUAUAGAAGAGCUCCAAAAUUUUUGUGUUUAAGAGAAUAUGUGUUGCCACUUUAGAAGAUUUAUAUACAAAAAGGAUUGAUGUUUCUCCUUUGACUAUGUUUGGUUCCCAAAAUUUGAGGGAAAUAAAAAAAAAAUAGUAAAAAAGAAAAAAUGAAAGAAAAUAAAAAAUAGUUUUAAAGUUAAUAAUUAUUUUUAUAUGUUUUUUCAAACUUAUUUUACUUUUUUUUUCAUUAUAUAAAGAUUAAAUAAUUUUAAAAUGCAUAAAUUUCUAACUAAUUUUAAUUAUAUUUAAUUUUUCUUUUAUAUUUUUUAGAUAGGAUCCGACACAUGAAAAAUCCUUUUUUUUAGCAUUUUUUUUUCUUUUCUUAUUACUUUCCAAUAACCAAAUAUAACCUUUAGAUUUAGCCUUUAAACUUGGAGUAUGGAACGAUACUGAGUAUUGAAAGAAGGUUUUGUAUAUGGCCAUGAUACCAUAGAAAAAAUGGGCGAGAGAGAAAAAACCUUUAUUAAAUGAUAAAUUAUUUUUUUCAAUGGAAAUCAAAUAUAAUUAUUUUUAUAAUAAUUACUUUAUUUUUUUUAAAAAUAAUAAUUUGUUGUUGCAUUAAGUAUUCUUGCAUUUGGAGAAGCAUGUUACUACUUACUACAUAAAUAGAUAUUCAUGGAGUGCAUUCUCUAAAAAGCUCCAGUCUCAUGAAAAUGGAAAGAUGGACCGGCCGGUGAACCGGUUCGAGUUUGGAUUUAUUGGCUGCCUCAGCCUUACACGCAUGAUAGGCUGUUGCAGGUGAAGAACUAAUUAAUUUAAAGCCUUCUUCUAUCCUCUCCUAUUCCUCUAUCACUCCAAAUGUUCCACAUGAUAAUGACAAUUCUUUUGUUAAAUGGUAAAAAAAAAAUUUAAAUAUUAUUUAAAAUUUUUUUUAAUUCUAAAUCCAAUGGAAAUUCGACUCUAAGGUGUGUAGAAGGCCCUAGUGCCCAUGUUGCUAAUUUGAUGAUAGUUAAAUUGUCAUUUUGGGAGAUUCCACACACUAGUAUUCUCAUUUAUAAAAUCAUGAACUUUGGCAUCCUAAUUAAUGCAAUUUAAACUUUUUUUGUUUACAAAUGAAAUAAGAGGCAACAUAUAAACCCAAAAGUUAAUUUUCCUACCAUCUCUAUGCACCAUUUUAGCUUUACUCCAAUAUAUUUUCUAUGAUUAAUUAUUUUCAUUCAAACAAUAAUAUCAAAAUAUUUUAAAAUUAGACAUAUCAUAAUCAAAUACCAUUAUAUUAUUACCGAAUAAUAUUUAAUGUAAUUUAAUUAUCAACGUAUACUUAUAAAAUUUAUAUUUUUUAUUAAUGCAUAUAAUAUUAUUAUCAAAUAUGAUAAAUUAUAUAUAUAUAUAUAUAUAUAUAUAUAUAUUUCUUCAACAAAACAACUUUAAAAUAUCUAUUAUAUUUCUAAUUUCAUUUCUAAGAAGUUUUUUUUUUUUUUUUACAUUUUUAUAAGUUUUGAUCAAUUGUAGGCUAACUGAUAUUUUUUAUAUCAAAAUAUCCACCAAUAUAUCUCUGAUAUAUUAGAUAUAUCCGUAAAAUCGAAAUACCAAUAUAUCCGUGAUUAUCGAUAUUUUUAUCCUUGAGGGAUAAUAACUAAUCUAGUUUUUGCACUUAUUGAUAUUUCUCAACAUUUAGAUUGAUUUGACCAAAAUCUUUUUAAUUUUAUUUUCUUUGAUGGUUAUAUGAUGAAUUAGAAUAGUCAUAUAAACAAAUUUAAGAAAAAACGAUAAAAAAGCUCACAUUUUUCAAAUAUUGGUUUCAACUUUGAAUAUUUUUAUUGGUAAAUGAAAAUUGUGAAAAACCUACUAAUGCUAAUACUUUUCACCACAUAAUUAAAUAUAAUAAACUAGAAUAGUGAUUCAUUGAUGUCUUAUAAAGCUACAUGCCUACUUUGACUUGUUAGUUGAUUUUUGUAGGCAGAGUCCAUUUCCAUAUGAAUUGUUGAAACUUCCAAGUCCUUGUGGGUCUAGUGGUCUCUCUAAUAAUUCCCACCAUUAAUUUUUUGUGAUGAAGUGACGUCAUUGAUAGCUACUAUAUCAAUUUGCUAUUAAAAGUCAAGUCAUUGAUAAUUACUAUUCAAUCUUUUUCAAUAUGGAAAUUGGAAUCUCUACUCUUCUCAUUGUUCAUUUUUAGGUAAUGUGAGAAUGUGAGAAUGUGUGAACAUAAAUGUCUUCUAAUCAACCAAUUUUUUUUGAAAAAAACAUGUACAAAAUUGCAAACUUGCAAAAUCAAACUUUCUUGUUGAAUAACCAUAGCUUGAUGGUUUUGAAGAAUCAAAGGAUGAAUCAUAAAAGGGUAUUUGAUAAAAAAUAAAAAUUAAAAAAAUUAAAAGACAACUACUCCCUUAGGUGUAAUAAGUGUAUUUGGUAGCACAAAUUUCCUACCACUUAUUAUUUUUUCCUUUCUUAAAAAAUUAUUUACUCUAUUAAAUAAACUAACCUUGGCUUAUCACUUAUAGCAAAAUAGGUUAAGUACUUUUUAAAAUUUUAUAAUAUUAGAUUUACAUUUUUAUCCUUCAAAAUUUCAUUAAUGUUAGAUUCUUCUAUAUGCUUAACUAAUAAAUAAUUUUUAGCAUUUUUCUUUUCUUAUAAACAUAAAAAAAUAAAAAUAUUAUUAACUUAUUGGUAUAUUUUAAAAUUUUAAUUAGAUUUAAGCUUUUAUUUAUUUGGAUUACCAAUUAUACAUAUAAAUCCUUUAUUAUUAUUGUUAUUAUUGAAAGAAAGGGGUUGAAUAGGUAGUCCCUCAAUCCCCAAAUUAAAUUCUUUAUUGCCUACUUUUGGUUUAUUCCUUUACAUGAAUUCCUUGGUGAGAGUAAACAUUUCAUUAAUAGAUAAAUAAAAUUGAUUCCAUAUCAUAGGGUAUAAUGUGGAAAAAUCACCAGUCUCAUGUGUUCCUUAGUGGAUCCUUUGGAGCCCUUAUCAAAGUUUCAUGAUGAAACCAUUGACUUUUGUUUAACCCAAAUGUGCUUUCAAGACAAAUCUUGAAAUAUUUGAGAGAUGGAGGUUCAAGUCUUUUAUGAACGACCAUGUUCUCUUAGGGUUCAUGAAAAUUCACACCUUUUGAUAAAUAAAACUUAUCUAUUUAUACGUCUAAAACCCAGUAUUUAUUUAUUUAAUUAUAGAAAGUUUCUUAGUUUUAAAAACAUUUCAAAAAUCAUUUUUAGAAUCAAAUAAUAAUUUUAGAGAUAAACACAAUAUUAAAAUUUAACAAAAACAAAAUUUCGAAUUAAAAACACAAUAUAAACUAAAUUACAAAAUAUAAAGGAAUUUUUAUCCUAAUUUCUUGUUUCAAAACCAAAUGGAACACCUAGAAGGGGAGUGAAUGGGUGAUUUUAAAAUUUUUCAAUAAUGAUUUAUAAGUUAUACCCAAUUCUUUUACCCUGCGAGUUGUUAGGGACUAUCAAUUCUUUCCUUUUGGCAAUUCAAACAAUAUAUCAAAUAAUAAAAAGAUAUAAAUAAUGAGACAUAAAGAUUUUUACAUGGAAAACCCCCCACACUAACCAUGGAGAUAAAAAGCCAUGGAGUCUAAGACCUAUUAAUCUAAAUUCACUGUACGAAAUCAAGUUACACAAAUUUAUUUGAUAGCUUUAACUUAAAGACUUACUCUCCGGUACUGACAACUUGAUUCACAUCCACAACGUAGCAACCCUCAAUUACUCCAAUGGAUCACUUCAAGCUUACUAAAAGGAUGAAGGCCUUCAAACCAAGAUUCAAAAAUCAAUUCCUUGAAUGAAAGAUCAGGGAUGGUGUGCCACUUUAGGCUUUCUCUCUAAGAACUCUAAAAUGAUCUCCUCAAUGAAAACCUCUUAAACAAAAUGAGAUAUUUCCCCACAAUCUCUAAUCCUCAAGGGGUUAUAAUGAGAUAUUUAUAAGCAACUAAGUUGAAGAGUUUCAGUUUUGGAACAUGACCGCUCGAGCCAACACACUUCCUACUUGAGCGUUUCGGGCACUUGAGCGGUAAGGCUCGCUUGAGUUGUCCUAAGCGCUUGAGCAUUCCAAGCUACUUGAGCAAUCUUGCUCUAUUUCAAAAGUUAAUUUUAAAUCAUUUUAAGUUCAAAACAAAAUUGAUUCCCUUUAUACCUCAAAGUAGCCUAACUUACAAACCAAACUUUUUUAGAUAUACUUGUGACUUCCUGGUUGGACGAACAACUCUUAAUCUUCAAUGGAAAGCAAGUCAUUAUCUAAAAAGAUUUAUAUGGUCAAACAUAAAAAAACAAAAACAAAAAAAUUGCCAACAUAACAACAAGACUCAAUGUCCUAACAAUCUCCCCCUUUGGCAAUUUUAUGACAAAAACAACAUUACAUAUACCCACUUGAACUCUCAUAAUGGAGUUUAAUAAUACACAUUAAUGUUCAAUUAAAAAUAAACUAAGGGAAUACUUUGUAUCACUUUGUAGUAUUUGUCUUCCAACUUUGUAACCUACACACAUAUAGAAAACUAUACCAAAGGUAAAGCAAUGUGUAGGAUAAGAUAUGAUCAAGAAAGCAAAAUAGGAUAAUUGAAAAUUUUGCUUGAUGCCUUGUGAAAGCAUGAAAAGGGAACAAAUUCAUAUAGUAAUACCAAGGGACAAAGCAAAACUAGAGAAGAAUAUAUAUGUAUGCAAAUCAACCAAACAUAAUAAAAGCUACAUAAGAUGCAAUAGAUCAAUAAUAAUGCCUAGGGGUCUAUCUCCAACCAGAAAAUAGGGAGUGAAAAUCAUAGGAAGAACCUUCUGUGACUUAGAAAGGUUCUAGAGAGAUAGUCAAUUCAAACAUAAAUAUCUUGCUAGAAACAUCUAUGUUAUGUAUCUCUCUAAACCUUCUAAGUUAUGCUUUCAUUAGUUGAUUUGGUUUUUCUCCAAUGUCUCAGGUUUAAUUUCCUCUAAUAUUUCAAUUAGAGAGAAAUUGGUAGUCGAUUGACUUAGUGGGUGUUUGGUAAAACUUAAUACUUAUUAUUUAAUGAUUAACUUUAAGUUAAAUUGUUCUUAAGUUAUUAAUUUAAAAUUUAUUACUUAUUUUGUAUUUAAGUACUAGGGUUAUUUGAAAAAAUCGACUUAAAAUUUAUUCUAAAUCAUCAAAAUGACACAUUUACCCUUAUUAAUUUUAACUUAUAUUUAUUUUCAUUAAUUUUAAACAAUAAAUUUAUUCAUAAAACAUCUAUAUUUUUGUAGAUACAUAACCAUAAAAUAUUUACUAUAAAAAAUGAGUCAUGGAUGUAGAAUUAUAAUUCUAAAAUAUACACUUAUGAGUGUGGGUAAAUAAGGCAAAAAUGAUUUGAGAUUAAGAGUAAAGUUAAUUAUUUUGACUUAAGACUUCAAGUUAAAAAUAACUUUAAGUUGCAAUAUUAAGUUAUUUUAUCAAACAUGCUUAAUUUACUUAACAACUUAAAUUAAGUUAUUAAGUUGAAUUAUCAAACACCCCACUAGUAGUAUGUUGAAAAUUCACACCUUUUGAUAAAUAAAACUUAUCUAUUUAUACGUCUAAAACCCAGUAUUUAUUUAUUUAAUUAGAGAAAGUUUCUUAGUUUUAAAAACAUUUCAAAAAUCAUUUUUAGAAUCAAAUAACAAUUUUAGAGAUAAACACAAUAUUAAAAUUUAACAAAAACAAAAUUUCGAAUUAAAAACACAAUAUAAACUAAAUUACAAAAUAUAAAGUAAUUUUUAUCCUAAUUUCUUGUUUCAAAACCAAAUGGAACACUUAGAAGGGGAGUGAAUGGGUGAUUUUAAAUUUUUUCAAUAAUGAUUUAUAAGUUAUACCCAAUUCUUUUACCCUACGAGUUGUUAGGGACUAUCAAUUCUUUCCUUUUGGCAAUUCAAACAAUAUAUCAAAUAAUAAAAAGAUAUAAAUAAUGAGACAUAAAUAUUUUUACGUGGAAAACCCCCCACACUAACCAUGGAGAUAAAAAGCUAUGGAGUGUAAGACCUAUUAAUCUAAAUUCACUGUACGAAAUCAAGUUACACAAAUUUAUUUGACAGCUUUACCUUAAAGACUUACUCUCCGGUACUGACAACUUGAUUCACAUCCACGACGUAGCAACCCUUGAUUACUCCAAUGGAUCACUUCAAGCUUACUAAAAGGAUGAAGGCCUUCACACCAAGAUUCAAAAAUCAAUUCCUUGAAUGAAAUAUCAGGGAUGGUGUGCCACUUUAGGCUUUCUCUCUAAGAACUCUAAAAUGAUCUCCUCAAUGAAAACCUCUUAAACAAAAUGAGAUAUUUUCCCACAAUCUCUAAUCCUCAAGGGGUUAUAAUGAGAUAUUUAUAAGCAACUAAGUUGAAGAGUUUCGGUUUUGGAAGGUUUCUUAAUUGAAUUUGUGUGAAAAACUCAACAGAAUCAACAUGACCGCUCGAGCCAGCACACUUCCCACUUGAGCAUUUCGGGCACUUGAGCGGUAAGGCUCGCUUGAGUUGUCCUAAGCGCUUGAGCAUUCCAGGCUACUUGAGCAAUCUUGCUCUAUUUCAAAAGUUAAUUUUAAAUCAUUUUAAGUUCAAAACAAAAUUGAUUCCUUUUAUACCUCAAAGGAACCUAACUUGCCACAAACCAAACCUUUUUAGAUAUACUUGUGACUUCUUGGUUGGACGAACAACAACUCUUAAUCUUCAAUGGAGAGCAAGUCACUAUCUAAAAAGAUUUAUAUGAUCAAACAUAAAAAAACAAAAAAAUUGCCAACAUCACAACAAGACUCAAUGUCCAUGCAUGGUCACCUGAAAGUUGACUCCAACCACAAUAUAAUGCAUGUUCUCAUAGAACAUGUGAACAAGAUGGAGAUAGAAAGUCCCUUAGAGAGAAAACAGAGUCUUCUAACCCUACUCUUGAAUGAUGAUAGGGAAGACAGUGUCCUGAAAAGCUUAGAGGUUAAUGGCAUGUUGAGGCUCGACACACCGAUAUGUGAAAGAAGCGUAAUAAUGGUCCCAUGCCACCUGGCAGUGAAAGCGCUCAAUCGAAAGUGCAUCUAGGUUAAAAAGACCCUAGAGUGGGAUGCCCUAGACGGUUUUCAGUGACCUAGGAAAGGUCACCUCCCUCUGAAAUCUAUGACUAGCCAUAUCUAAGGUAUAUAAUAUGAAAAAAAAAAAGCUAAAGAAAAACUAAAGAAAAUCCAAAGAAAAGCUAAACCACUAAAAAUGUUAAACUCAAUGCGUCGAACAAUACUAUACAAAUGGAAAUGAAAAAUAUGAAGCGAACUGACCUCAGAAGACAAAAGGACAGUUACCCAGAGGGCUCGAAGAGGAAUAGGAAAGUUUGAAAUGAAUAUUGUGUGAUGGAUGACCUUUAUAUAGCUUAUAGGAGUGCUUGAUGCAGAUUAGCACUUGAGCGUCAUGACUAACUUAAAUCAAAUUAUUUAUUAAUAUGGAAAUAUUUUAUAAGUUUCAAAGGAAGUAUUCAAUUUAGAACCUUUUUAGAAUUUUUUUGAAAGAAACAAAAAUAAAGCGUGAAAUAUUAUGUGUUAAAGGUGUUAGAAGACAAUAUUGUCUAAUCAAAAGCCUUACACAUUCCCAAAAAAAAAAAAAAAAAAGGAAAAAAAAAGAUACUAUAUAAGAUUUUGAUCACAUCUAAUAGAAACUAAUAUUUAGCAACAUAUCACCAAGCACUAUCUUAUCAGAAAGCUCUAACAUGUUGGAAAUUUAUGUAAGGUUCCAUAACAACUAACAACUUUUUAUGACGACUCGGUAAUGGACCAUUUGCACUUCAACUACAUUAUUAAAUUUAAAUCAUAUUAGAAUAUAAUUGACUUCUCUUUUGUGAGGUUACAUAUCUUGUAGGAUGGGAUAGGUGAUUCAUUUCAUAUAUGAAAUUUUCUUAAUUUAGUAAUGCUUCCAAGUUCAUUAUGAAUCUAAUGGUAUCACAACUCCUUGAAUAUUUGUAAUCUGUAAUCUUUGCUUCAACUUCUCAAGUCUAGUCAUUUUAUCGGCAUAACUAGUUUGCUUCAAUUAUCUCUCAACUUUAUUAUAAAACUAAGGGAAAGGAUUGUCACUCAUUUUAUAUUAACUUAACCAAACAUCUUUAUAUAUAUAUAUAUAUAUAUAUAUUGUAAAUUUAGGAAAAAUUCAUCCAUUAGCCAUAGUAAGUAAGAAUCAAAUAAGGGAUAUGUAAGCCAAUGGUGAUAUUGAUGGCGUUAAAUCAAUGACAUAGUAGAAAAGUGGAUUGUCUAUUUUCAAACCUUUAUAUUUUCAUGCAAUAGUAAAAAGGUUAAGGCAUCACUUGAAAAGUAGUUCGUUUUUUACCUUGGACUAUGAUUUAUGAAUAAAGUUCUUCUGUUGUAUACCUUUUGUGAUGCCCCAACCUAAUUUAGGGGUAAAAAAAUAAUUUAGAAAAAAAUAAAUAAAAAGUUAAAUAAAUUUAAUUAAGGUAAAAAUGUAUUUUUGUAUUUAAAAUUCCUAGGUAUCAAUUAUAUAUUUCUUGUCUUCUCUAUUCAAAAAACCAUAUUACACAAAAAUCAAAUAUCAGAGAACAUAGGACAACGCAGGGUUGAAGAUUUGGAGGUUUAGGGUUGAAGAUUAGUUUUCCAGGUAAGAUUCUAACCCUUAAAUUAGUAUUUUAGAUUCGUUAAUUAGUUUGAACACUUUAGAUAUUCUUUGAAAAAUCUGAAUAUACAUUAGGGUUUGUUAAUUUAAUUUUUAAAUAAAAAAGAUUGAAAAUUUAUGAACAUAAGUAGAGUUAUUAUUAAAGAUUGAAAAUUUUUGAAUAUUUGAAUUAAAAAUCUAGAAAAAAAAGAAGAAAAUAAAUUAUAGCUUUGGACGUGGAAAAAAAUUAAUAUUAAUUAAUAAAUAAAACCUAUGAGUAUGGAAGUAGAAAAAUAUGAGAGUUGAAAGCAAAGAAAAAAAAAGAGAAUAAGGUUUUGUGGUUGUACAUGCCUCCUUAGUGGAAAAAAAAAAUACAAGGUUGCUUGCAAUAGGAUAUGACAAAGAGAGAGAGAUAAAUGCUUAGAUGUUGAUUUUUGUGGGGAAAAAAAGAUUGGGUAAUGUAGGAGAGAAAUAGGUAGCACUUUUAGAGUCGGUGGAGUUGUUGUAAAAGCUCGUAGGGGUAAUUGUUAGGUAGUAGUAGGGUAUGAGAUUAAUUGUUAGGAAACAUUAGGACUUGAAAUAAUAAUAAUUGCUUCUAGUAAAAGUUUUAAUUUAGUUUAAGUAUAUAAAAGAAAUAGAUGAUUAGAAUAAGAUUUGGAAGGAAUAUGAAUUCAUAAAAAUUUCAAAAUUUACUAAUUUAGAUUAUUAUUGUUUUGGAAGUUGAAUAUAAUAUAGGUGAUAAUAUUAUUAAUAUAGGAAAUGAUUAAGAUUCUCAAACCUACAAUUUUAGAUAAAUAGUUAAUAGUAAUAGUUGAUUUUUUAUUUUUUUUUUAUUUUUUAUUUUUUAUGUUAUGUUAAGUGAAUAAUGGAUUCUUUGAUUAAUUCUCUAAGGUUUCUAAGUGCUUCUUUAAGGUAAGGGAUAUUAAUACUGAUUUUGUAAAUGAAAAUAUUUCUUUUUAUAAGUUAUUUUAAAUUAUGAAAAUUUUUAUUUUUAUUUAUGCAUGGAUCAAAUAUAUAUUUUUUCAUGAGAAACAUGUUUGGGCAAUUUCUUUGUUUAUAAAUAAAUAAAUGAAAACUUUGGAAAUAUAAUGUUUUGUUUUGUAAGUUUAAAAUAAUGAAAUAAAGUUUUUGACUCUGGUUUAUAUGACCUUAGUUAAUAGGUUAUAAUUGUUGACAUUUUCAGCUCCAGUCAACGAUUAUAAUUGUUGACAUUUUCGGCUCUCCAAUCAAUGAUUAUAAUUGUUGAGAUUUUCAACCCUAGCCAACGGGUUAUAAUAGUUGACCUUAUAGCCCUAGUCAACAGAUAUAAUUGUUAACCUUUGGCUUUUCCCAUCUUAAAAAGAACAAAUUUAAGGCUAGCCAUUUAUUUGUAAAGUCCCACCUAACUAAGUACCAUUUGUUAUUUAAUAACCAGAGUAAAGAUAUUUUGAAUGUAUUUGAUGUGAAAUUGUUGUGAUAUUAAUAUGAAAAUGUUUGGUUGAAAAGUUCAAAUGUUUAAUGCAUGUUGAAUUCAAAAGUUUUUAUGAAAAUGAUUAUAUGUUAUAUCUCUUAUUUGUAAGUUUGAUCCAUGAAACUGUAUUAAUAUUCCUUAUUGGACUUUGAGCUCAUUCCCCUUUAUUGAGAAUUUUUUUUCGUAUUCUCAGUUUGGGCAAGGAGUGAUGACUGGGUUGGGGAAUUUUCUUUACUAUGGUUUUGCUUCAAUCUUAUUUUGGACAUUGUUUAGAUGUUAAAAUUUAAUUCCCAUUUAAAUUAUUUGGGUUUGGAGUUAUUUGGACGAUAAAACUUUGAUUGAUGUGUUAGUUUUAAAGUUGAGAAUUGAAAAUUAUAGAAUUUAUUUAUCUUACUACUUUGAACAGAAAUUUAGUAAUUGGAGAUCAUCCAGUUACAAGAUGAAUAUUUGAGUCGUUUCAAGUCGUUUCCACUUUGAGUGUUCAGGCUUAGGGUGUGAAAUGAUCGUUAUGCCCUUGGAGUGGGUAUAUUGUUUAUUUGAAUUUAAUGGUCCCCGAACUCCUUAAUUACUCAUAACUUUAUAUCAGCUUCUCAAAGUUAAGUUGUUUUACAACUACUAUCUAGCUACUUUUCUCUACUAUGACAACUUUAUUACAUAGUGAUUAAUUGAAAGAAUCUACAUGUCUUAUUUCAUAGGAUAGUUGAUUUUUUUACUCAAUGAAUUUUGCUUUUAUUAUUGAAAAUUUCAAAUCAUUGUAGUCCAACAAUUUCCUAUCCAUUGGUAAUUUCAUAUUACAUUUCCAAAGUCUAAUCAUUUAAAAACACUUGUAGUUAAUAUAUUGGCAAUUGCAUUGUGGGAAGUUGUUCACUUGAUUUUAAUGUUGAAACUUUCAAAUUUUUGUAGUCCAACAAUUCCCUAUCCAUUGGUAAUUUCAUAUCACAUUUUCAAAGUAUAAUACUUGUAUAUAGUAUAUUUGGUGAUUGUAGAGUGGAAAGUUGAUCAUUUUCAUGAAGACCUCUAAAAUAGAAUUUUUUUUCAUUCCAUUUAUUAAAGAAUUUCAUUAAUUGAACAUAUAUGUUUUUUUAACCGAAAAGUAGAGGCCACAUUAUACGAGGCCUUAGGUGACAAUACUAGGUGAGGGCUUUUUUUUUUAAUUUAUUUAUUACGAAAUAUAAAUAAUAUUAUUUAUUGUAUAAUAAAGAUUAUUAUAAUAUAUUUUUUAUAGAUGAAAAAAAAUAUUAAUUGAGUUUUAUUUUUUUAAAUAAUUGUUUUCAAUAAAUAACGUAUUUGUAAAAAGAAAACUAUAAAAUAUAUGCAUUUGAAAAAUAUUUAAUUUUUAUUUGAUUUAGUAUCAAUUAAUAUUUGUAAUAUUUUUUAAUAUUAUAGAAGUUAACAUACUCAAUUAAGAUAUUCAAGAUCAAGAGAAUAUUUGAGAUUGAAUUAAUUUCUUUAUUGUUUAUGUUUUAGUAAAUUUUUAUAUCCAUUAAAAUUUUUUUAUUGUUUAUUUUUCAUUCAAUGUUUGCAUUUUGUAAUAGAUAUUAAAACAAAUUUUUUUCUUGUAUGUUAAAAAAAUAUUUCAAUGUCUUUAAAAAUAAAAUAUUGUAGUAAAAUCAAAAUUACAUUGUGAAACUUUAAGCGAAUGUUUUAUACUAAAGAAGUGCCAAUUAAAGUAAGCAUGCAUCUACAAUUGUAAUUUAGAUGUCAUAUUGAAACAAUAGUUCUCUUUGACUAUAUCAUAAAAUUUGGUUCGAAUUACUUUAAGUCAUCUUGUAGAUUUUCAAGUUCCAAUGAUAUGCAUCAAGUAUGUGCAACAUACUUGAUAUGACUAAUAUUUUCUUAAGUAAUUGGACACUUUUUUCUAUAAAUUUACUUGAUUAUCAAUGAAUACUUUUAUGUAAGGUAUUGAUAUAAUUCGAUAAAUAUUUUAAAAUAGUAUUAGAAUAGCUUUGCUCUUUCCUAAUUAACAAAUUUACUAAAUUAACUUAUAUAUAUUUGUUUAUUUUAAUUUACUGGUAUUUGACUCAAUUUGUUAUUAUUUUUAAAAUUAUAGGAAAACCAUUAUUUAUAGAGUUUAAUUAUAUUUGGUAAAUUAUCUUUUUAAGUUUGACUAGGAUUAGGAAACUAUUAAUUUAAGAUUAAUCCAUAAGGCUCUAUAAAUUUGCAGUUUUAUAUAACAUUUAAAAAAAGAAAGAAAAAGUAAGAAAAAGUGAAGAGAGAUAGGCAAAGAGUGCAUUGGGUUUUAGAUAGAGAAAGGUCGAGAGAGUUUUGAUUACUACUCAAAAAGAACAUAUUUUAGAUAGUAAUUCUCAUGGGUUUCACAUCUUUUGAGUAUUAAUUAUGCCUAAAAAUGCUCAAUUAACAUGUUGUUGCCCUUGCAAGAGUUACUAAUAAGUUUUAUAAAGUUUUGGAGUCAUUUCAAGUUAUGAUUUUAAUAAAUUGGUGAUGAAAGAGAUGAAUUGAUUUGAAGAAGGAAAAUAAUAUUGAUGAUGAUCCAAAUGCAUAAUGAAAGAAGCAAUAUAAUUAGUUUGAUCGGGAUUUGCUGCUAAUUUGGAGGUAGUUAAGGUGGAGUCAAAAGAAGAAAAUGGAAGAAAUGACAAAGAGGAACUUAAAAACCAAAUGUUGCAGAUUUGUAUGAUCAUUCAAAAAUUACAUGACUAUGCCAAAUGGAUUAGAGAAGGAAAAUUGACUAUAGUAUAAGGAGGAUGCUUAAGUUGAUUUAGCAUGAACAUGAGAAAAUUUCGCAUGAACAUGCGAAAAUUUUGCACAAUCAUGCGAAAUGGUCCAGAAAGCUCUCUAAUGUUGUUGUUGCUCCACUAAUUUCGCACCACCAUGCGAAAUCGAUCUUUUCAUGCAAAAUGGCUGAAGCUCAUGUGAAAUCAUGAUUUUGAUGCUAAACUCCAGAUUUGUGAAUUUGGAAGGUUUUAGAAGACCAAUGAGAGGUUGCCAAGUGUCCACUUGACCUUGGUCUAUAAAUAGAAACUUGAAUUUCCCAUGUAAAGAGCUUUGUGAUACUUUUGAUUUUAGAUUUUUCUAGAAACUCUUUCUCUAAAUAGAAUUCUAUAUUUUCUUUAAUUUUCCCUCAUUUUCUCAUUAGCCAAACAUGCCUAGUGAGACCAAAUUUCCAAGUAUGAGUGACUAAAUCUCGUUUUUCUCAGAGGAAUGAGGAUCUAGAGGCAAGAUCUAUGGUGAAUUAUAGAAAUGAGUUUUAAUUGCAAAUGUAAUUUGAUUCAAUUGAUUGAUUAAUUGAAAUUCGAGGAUUUUUCUCUUCAAAUUGUCCUGAAUGACAAUUACAUUGCAAACUAGGCAGAUUAAUUAAAUUCUUAAAGUUAGAUUUAAUGAGACUGAAUAGUUGCAUUGUAUGAAUCAUUGGAAGAUGAUUUAAGAUGAAUUGAAUAUAUAAUUUAAAUUCAUAUCUUGGAUUAAAUAACCUAAUUUGAAGAGAAAUUAGGUUUAGACUUAAAGGGAAAUCUAAAAUCGGUUUAGAUAAGAAUUUAGGUUUUCAAUCUAACUUGAUGAAAAAUAAAUCUCAACAUUUAUUCACCAUGGAAAUUGUUUUCUAAAAAAUAUUAACUCUGAGAAUUCCUUUUCCUUAUCAGUUUUCUUAUAUUCUACAUUAUAUUAUUCUUUUCGAUUAGAAAUCAUUGUUAUUUUGAUUUUUCGUGAAUUGUCAAAUCAAUUUCACUUGACCAUAAUCAUUUCUUUUCCUCUCAUUUAAACCUUAAUUAUCGAGAAUAAUCCAUCCCAAUAGAAGACACCUAAGACCACUAUACUACUGUAGCUUUUGCUAAAAAACCUUUUUGAUCGGGCAAGAGUUACCUUAGCAUAGUUGAAUUAGGUUAUAAAUUUUUUAUCCAAUAAACAACAAAAAAAUCAAUUGAUCAAGUUUACAUUGUGUAUUCUUGAAUUUUAUUAAUAAAUUUGAUCCCCUUUUUUGAAGCGAUUACACCAAACCAAGUAAAUAUUUUAUCUACUUCAUUUGCUUUAUUUUUUCUAUUAAGUUUAGGUGUUGCAAUUUUUAAGAGUCAUGGUGAGAAGAUUGUGGGAAAAAUUAUUUUAAGGAUGGAGUCGAACAUAAAAUAUGAAAUUGAGUCCUUUGAUGGAAAUAAUAAUUUUAAUAUUUGAUAGAGUAUUAUUAAAGAUGUUUUGAUACAACAAAGACUUCUCAAAGCAUUACAAGGCAAAAAAAACUAGAGAGCAUGACAAAUAAAGAAAUGAAAGAAUUACAAGCAAGAGUUGUAAGUACUAUUUGUUUAAGUCUUAAAAAUGAAAUACAUUGUUUUGAAUGAAAAAAAUAUUCUUUUAGGGGUGUCAAUUGCUCUUUUAGAGACCAAAAAUAUUAAGCAAUCAAGUAGUUCAUCUCAUAUUGGACAAACUGUUAUGAUGAAUUCUAAACCAUAUCAUCAUAGGAGUAAAUCGAAAGAAAAGUAUCUGAUAGGAGGAUGAUCAUUCCAUUCACACUUAUAGAGGAAUAUGAAGUAUUAUUNNNNNNNNNNNNNNNNNNNNNNNNNNNNNNNNNNNNNNNNNNNNNNNNNNNNNNNNNNNNNNNNNNUAGUGAUUGUUUUAUGUUGAAGAAAGGCUAAUUAAAGUAAACAUGCAUCUAAAAUUAUAAUUUAGAUGUUGUACUCAAAUAGUUGCUCUCCUCGAUUAUAUCAUAAAAUUUGGUUUGAAGUCUAAGUCAUCUAAUAAUUUUCUAGUUCCAAUUACAUGCAUCAAACAUGUGUGUUAGGAAGUGUUGCAAAUUACUAAUUAGUAUAUAUUCUUUUUUUUUUAAGAAUAUUGUAUUAAAUAUUUCUAGGUUGAUAUAUUAUUGUAAUAUUAGACUUCUUUAUAGAAUAAGGAAGGUUGUUGAAAAUAUCCCUAUAAAUAUUCUAGUUCAUAAGGGGAAAAAGUUUUGAGAUGAAGAUGGACCCAUAAAGACUAUACAAGGUGGAUAGAGAUGUGAGGAAGAACGAGAGGUACCCGAUGGAGCGAGAGGGCUCGUGGUAGGGUAUAGGUACGAAGAGUGAGGAAACAUGGGAUGUUUUGGGAACUCAAUAUUUGUAUCUAGUUAUGUCCUCUAUAAGUUCUAGUUCUGUCAUCUGCAUUGUUCUCUAUUUUAUAGUGGAAUGAUUCUCUCUUAUCUGUGGACGUAGGCAUGGUUUUCGAACCACGUUAAAACCUUGUGUACCGUUUGUGUUGAUUUUUUUUAUCUUUAUUUUCUUGAUUAAUGAAGUUUGCAUCAAAGCUUCUGUCAACGUAACAAACUUGUAUCAAAGUUUGGGAUAAAGAUUUCUAGAAGAGUAAAAGAUCAUAGAGCACACAAGAUGAAAACAAAAGGAAUUUUUAGUGAAAAAGGAGUCAAUUGCUCUCUCGUGGUGAUAUGAUAUAAAAAGUUUAUGUCAUGGAAAGUUUGAAGAUUUACUUCAUGGAAUCUGGUCCAAAAUGGAGAUUGUUAAUAAGUGUCCCAAAUUCCUAAUUAGUAUAGAUUUUUUUUUUUGUAAAGAAUAUUGUAUAGAAUAUUUCUAGGUUGAUAUAUUAUUGUAAUAUUAGACUUCCUUAUAGAAUAAGGAAGGUUGUUGAAAAUAUCUUUAUAAAUAUUCUAGGUCAUGAGGGAAAAAAGUAUGAGAUGAAGAUGGGCCCUAUAAAAACUAUAUGAGGUGGAUAAAGAUGUGAGGAAGAAUGAGAGGUACUCAAUGGAAUGAGAGGGCUCGUGGUAGGGUAUGGAUACAAAGAGUGGGGAAAUAUGGGAUGUUUUGGGAACCUAUUAGUUGUAUCUAGUUCUGUCAUCUAUAAUGUUCUAGUUACGUCCUCUAUAAUGUUCUCUAUUGUAUAGUGGAAUGAUUCUCUUUCAUCCGUGGAUGUAGGCAUGGUUGUCGAACCACAUUAAAACCUCGUGUACUAUUUGUUUUAUUUUUAAAUUUUUUUUAAUCUUUGUUUCUUGAUUAAUGAUGUGUGCAUCAAAGCUUCCAUCUACGUAACAAACUGGUAUCAGAGCUUGGGUUGAAGAUUUUUGGAAUAGUAAAAGAUCACAAAGCACACAAGAUGAAAACAAAAGGAAUUUUUAGUGAAUGUGGAGUCAAUUGUUCUCUCGUGGUGAUAUGAUACAAAAAGUUUGUGUCAUGGAGGGUUUAAUGAUUGACUCCGUGGAAUUUGGUCCAAGGUAGAGAUUGUUAGGAAGUGUCCCAAAUUCCUAAUUAGUAUAGAUUUUUUUUUUUUAAAGAAUAUUGUAUAGAAUAUUUCUAGGUUGACAUAUUAUUGUAAUAUUAGACUUCCUUAUAGAAUAAGGAAUGUUGUUGGAAAUAUUUUUAUAAAUAUUUUAAGUCAUGAGGGGAAAAAUUUAUGAGAUGAAGAUGGGCCUAUAAAGACCAUAUGAGAUGGAUAGAGAUGUGAGGAAGAAUCGGAGGUACCCAGUGGAGCGAGAGAGUUCGUGGUAGGGUGUGAAUAUGAAGAGUGGGGAAACAUGGGAUGUUUUGGGAACCCAAUAGUUGUAUCUAGUUCUGACAUCUAUAAUGUUCUGGUUCUGUCAUCUAUAAUGUUCUGGUUUUGUCCUCUGUAAUGUUCUUUAUUGUAUAGUGGAAUUAUUCUCUCUCAUCUAUAUAGGCAAGUUGCUAAACCACGUUAAAACCUCGAAUACCUUUUGUGUUGAUUUUUUUUAUCUUUGUGUUCUUGAUUAACGAUGCUUGCAUCAAAGCUUCUACCAACGUAACAAUGUGCAACAUAUUUGAUAUAACUUAUAUUUUCUUAAGUAAUUGAACACUUUUUUCUAUAAAUUUACUUGAUGAUCAAUGAGUACCUACAUAUACGGUAUUGACAUAGUUUGAUAAACAUUUUAAAAUAGUAUUAGAAUGGCUUUUCUUUUUCCCAAUUAACAAAUUUAUCAAAUACACACACACACACACACACACAAAAUACUCAUUAGUAUGUCUUUUAUGAAAAAACUAUGUUUGUUUAUUUGAAUUUAGUAGCCAUUCAAUUCCUUAGUUACUCAUAAACUUUUUAUCACCUUCUUAAAGUCAAGUCAUUUACAAUUAUUUUCAAGUCAUUUACAAUUAUUUUAGCCUUCUCCAUUAUGACAACUUUAUAAGAUAGUGAUUGAUUGGAAGAAUCUACAUGCCUUUGUUGAUAGUAUAAUUGUUUUUCUUUUUUUUCGUAUUCAAAGAAUCUUGCUUCUGUUAUUGAAACUUUCAAAUCCUUUAUGUCUAGUGGUCUUAUAAUUCCCUAUUCAUUGGUCUUUCAUAUUACCAAUCAUUUUGCAAAUGAGUUAAUUUCAUUCACAUCCUCUGAGAUUUGAUGUAAAUUCGCUUAGUUACCAAUGAUUUCAAAUUUCAUUAAUUAGUACCCCUACAGAUAUAAUUCGUGUACAAAAUUUAUUUUUUAAAAGAGUUUAGGUAAAAAUAUUUUAGGUAUAUGUCUUUAACAAUUCUCUAAAAUAAAUUUUACUUGCUAAAAAAUAACUUAUAUAGAUAGAAUACAUCUACAGGAGUUCUAACUAACGAAAUUUAAAACUAAUGGUGGUUUAGUGUAUUUAAACUAAACAUUAGGAAGGGUGACUGAAAUUAACCCUCUAGGUAUAUAUGUUUAACAAAAUUUUUAUUGUUUAUUUUUCAUUUAAUGUUUGCAUUUUUCAAUAAACAUUGAAAAGGAAUUGUUUUUCCAUAUGUUAACAAAAAGAAAUUUGAAUACCUAUAAAAAUGAAAUCUUGUAGUAAAAUUGGAGUUACAUUAUCAGACUUUUAACGAGUGUUUAUGUUUAGAAAGGCCAAUUAAAGCAAGCAUGCAUCUAGAAAUUGUAACUUAGAUGCAUCAAACAUGAGCAACAUAUUUGAUAUAACUAAUAGUUUCUUAAGUAACUAAACACUUCUUUUUCUAUAAAUUUACUUGAUUGUCGAUGAAUACUUACAUACAUUUACAUAGUUUGAUAAAUAUUUUAAAAUAAUAUUAGAAUAACUUUGUUUUUUCUCAAUUAUAUUAGAAAAUAAUAUAAAGUUACUUAUAAACUUUAUAUCAUUUUCUCAAAGUCAAGUCAUUUACAAUUAUUUCUAUCUAGUCUUCUCCAUUAUGACAACUUUUAUAUGAUAGUCGUUGAUUGGAAGAAUCUACAUGUCUUUUUUGAUAAGAUAGUUGUUUUUAUUAUUUUUAUUUUUUUUAUUCCAAAAAUUUGCUUCUAUCAUUGAAACUUUCAAAUCUUUUAUGUAUAUUACCAAUCAUUUUACAAGUGAGUUAAUUUCACUUAGGGUAGAUAUACUUAGCCACACCCCUAUAGAUGUAAUUUGUGUUUAAAUUUUAUUUUUUAUUUAGGUAAAAAUAUCUUAGGUAUAUGUGUUCUACAAUUCUCUAAAAAAUAAAUUUUCUUAUCUAAAAGUUUAUAUAGACAAAAUACAUCUAUAGAAGUCCUAACUAAUGAAAUUUAAAAUCAAUGGUUGUUUAGUGUAUUUACAUUAAACCUUAUGGGGUAUGAUUGAAAUUAAGUCUUUUACAAGCACUUGUAGCUAAUAUGUUUGUAGUUGUAGUCUUGGAAAUUGAUCAUUUUCUUGAAGGCCUCUAGGAUAUUGAAAAUAUUGCCAUAGUUUUAGACUUUUUUUUUAUUACACCUAAUAAAAAAUAUUAUUAAUUUAACAUAUAUAUUCUUGACUUAAAAGUAAAGUCUCUCCAUAUUGUAUAAGCCCUUAGGUGGCAAUAUUAGGUGAAGUUUUUCUUUCGUUUAUUACAAAAUAUAAAUAAUUUAUUAUUGUAUGAUAAAAUUUUAUGUAAUAUAUUUUUAUAGAUGUAAAAUUAUUAAUUGGGUUUUGUUUUUUUUUACUAAAUUGUCAUUUCAAUAUAUAAAACUUAUUUGUAAAAAGACAAUUAUAAACUAUAUGAAAUUGAAAAACAUUUAGUUUUUUUAUUUAAUUUAGAAUUUUAUUUGGAUUAAUAAUUGAUAUUUGUAAGAUUUUUGAAUAUUAAAAAAAGUUAGCAUACUUAAGAAAGAUAUUCAAGAUCGGGAGUGUUUGAUAUCGGAUUAAUUUCCUUAUUUUCUCUAUUUUAAUAAAUUUUCACGUCCAUUACAAAAUUUUUGUUGUUUAUUUUUUACUUCAAUAUUUUUAUUUUGUAAUAGAAAUUUGAAAAGAUUUUUUCCUACAUGUUAAAAAAAAAAAAGAUUUGAACACUCCUAAAAAAGAAAUAUUGCAAUAAAAUUAAAGUUUACACUGUAGGACUAUUAGCAAAUGCUGCAUACUUAAAAUAGACCAAUUAAAGUAGAAAUACUUCUAAAAUUGUAAUUUAGGUAACAAUAAUAUAAAAAGACAAUAUUUUUGAAACAAUAGUUCUCUUGGAGUUUUGGGUACAAUGGACUAGACUUUAUGUAACAAUAGAUAUACAAACUUUCCAUUAACAUCUUGAGAGACAUGAUGAGGAGCAAAGUCAUCCAAGAAGGUACCAUAGAGGUACCUUAGCUCAAUUCAUCUAGACUACAUAAUGUUUAAAGAUCAAAUUCAAUGACUAGAUUUCAAAAAUCAAUAUAAGCUUUCUCAUAUUCUACUCUAUAUAAGACAAUGGUAUGAUACCUCUCUUGUGUCGUAGAAUGCACCAUGAAAACCUUAUCAUUUUAACAUCAGUUUGAAACUUAAAAGUCACUUAGCACAUUCUAGUUAUUAAUUUAAGAGCAUUAAAAGAAAUAUAUAAAAAAAAAGUUACUUUAUCCUUGUGAUUUUGAUCUAGGACUUUUAAUGAUAUUAAAAAAAAAAACAGAAAAAUAAAUGGAAAUAAAAUCAAUAAAUUAAACAAUUGAAUUAAGUUAGUUUAAUUUUUGAAUCGUUAAAUGGGUAAAUAAAGAUCUUAGAUUUGAUAUUAAUAUGAACAUCAUGACUUCAGUGAAUCUUACAAGAAAAUUUUAGUUUGAAAGACUUCAUUCAUUAAACGUGUGGCACAUAUUAAAGUAAAACUAAGUCUUCUCUAUAAUUUGUACCUAUCAUAGUUUCUUUCCUCAUAAAUAGCCUUUUUUGAAUAUAAUAUAGACUUCAACAUGCAUGGUGGGGCCAAUCAAACUACUAGUCAAGACAACUCAUGGGCAACAACGAUGUACCAACUACAUUUAAAUACUCUUCAUAUAUUUGCAUAUCAAGAGUAAUUUAGUAGUGUCUUUCUUAUGUACCUCAUAUCUAGACUUUCAAUGGAGAGUUCUUCAUCUAAAAAUUUGACUUGGGUUUUCAUACUAGUUUUGGUUUAGACAUGUGGAUGCAAAGGUUGCAUCAAAGAAGAGAAGUAGGCUAAAUCAUCUUACAAAUUUUCAAGUUCAAAUUAGAUGCACCAAACAUAUGCAACAUAUUUGAUAUAACUAAUAUUUUCUUAAGUAAUUGAAUACAAUUUUUUUUUAUAAAUUCACUUGAUUAUUAAUGGAUAACUAACUACAUGUAUGGUAUUGACACAACUUGAUAAAUUUUUUAAAAUAGUAUUAGAAUAACUUUGCUAAAAAAAAGUAAAAAUAAAAAUAAAAAUACAUCUAUAUAUAUAUAUAAUUAAAUAAAAUUAAAAAUUAAUAUAUAUAUAUAUAUAUAUAUAUUCUGUGUGUGUAUGUGUGCAUGGUCUCACAAGUCAUUAGCUACUCAUAAGCUUUAUAUCACUUUCUCAAAGUCAAGUCAUUUUGUAAUUAUUUCUAUCUAGCCUUCUCCAUUACGACAACUGUAUAGGAUAUUGAUUGAUUGUAAAAAUCUUCAUGUCUUUUUUUAUAAGAUAGUUUUUUAUUAUUAUUAUUAUUCAAAGAAUUUUCUUUUAUUAUUGAAACUUUCAAAUCCUUUAUGUCUAGUGGUCCUACAAUUCCCUAUUCAUUGGUAUUUCAUAUUACCAAUCAUUUUACAAAUAAGUUUAUUUCACCCGGUAAAUAUACUUAACUACCAAUGGUUUCAAAUUUAAUUGAUUAACACACUUAUAGAUGUAAUUUGUUUUUAAAUUUUAUUUCUUUUAGAAGAAUUGUAGGUAAAAAUGUUCUAGGAAUAUGUGUUCAAUAAUUCUCUAAAAACAAUUUAUAUAGAUGGAAUACAUUCAUGGAAGUUCCAACUAAUGAAAUUUAAAACCAAUGACGAUUUAAUGUAUUUGCACUAAAUCUUAGGGGAGGUGUACUAAAACUAGCCCUUUUACAAAUAUUUGUAGCUAGUAUAUUUGUAGUUAUGGUGUUGGAAGUUGAUCAUUUUCUUAAAGGCCUCUAAGAUAUUGGAAAUAUCGCCAAAGUUUUGAACUUUUUGUUUCACCUAAAUAAAAUAUCAUUAAUUUAAUAUAUAUACUCUUCGCUUGAAAGUAUAGUUUCUUCAUAUUGUAUGAAGUUGUAACUAGGUGACAAUAUUAGGUGAAAUUUUUUUUUGUUUACUACAAAAUAUAAAUAAUAUAUUUAUUAUAUGAUAAAAUUUUGUAAAAUAUAUUAUUAUAGAUGCAAAAUUAUUAAUGGAGUUUUAUUUUUUACUAAAUUAUCAUUUCAAUAAAUAAGAACUUAUUUGUUAAAAGAAAAUUAUAAAAUAUAUGCAAUUGAAAAAAAUUUAAUUUUUUUAUUUAAUUUGGUAUUUUAUUUGAAUUAAUAAUUGAUAUUUGUAAAAUCUUUUAAUAUUAAAAGAAGUUAACAUACUUAAAAAAGACAUUCAAAAUCAAGAGAGUAUUUGAUAUGAAAUUAAUUAAUUAUUUUUUUUCUAUUUAAAUAAAUUUUUACAUCCAUUAAAAAAAUUUUCUUGUUUAUUUUUCACUUCAAUAUUUUUAUUUUGUAAAAUAAAUAGAAAUAAAAUCAACAAAUUAAACAAUUGAAUUAAGUUAGUUUAAUUUUGCCACCGUUAAAUUGGUAAAUGAAGACUCUUAUAUUUGAUAUUAACAUGAACAUCAUGACUUCAUUGAAUAUUCUCACAAGAAAAUUUUAGUUUGAAAGAUUUUAUCCUUUAAACAUGUGGCACAUAUUAAAGUGAGACCAAGUCUUCCCUAUAAUUUGUAUCUAUCACAAUUUCUUUCCUAAUGAAUAACCUUUUUGAAUAGAAUAUAGACUUUAGCAUAUUACCAACCAUUUUACAAAUAAGUUAAUUUCACUCAGUAAAUAUACUUAACCACCAAUGGUUUCCAAUUUGUAGCACUCUUAUAGAUGUAGUUUUUUUUUUAAAUUUUAUUUUUUAGAAGAAUUGUAGGUAAAAAUAUUUUAGAUAUAUAUGUUCAACAAUUCUCUAAAAACAAUUUAUAUAGAUGGAAUACGUUCAUGGAAGUUCCAACUAAUGAAAUUUAAAACCAAUGAUGAUUUAAUGUAUUUGUACUAAAUCUUAGGGAGUGUGGACUAAAAUUAGCCCUUUUACAAAUAUUUAUAACUAGUAUAUUUGUAGUUGUGGUAUUGAAAGUUGAUCAUUUUCUUAAAAGGUUUACCAUUGAAGUUAGUUGAAUAUAAAGUUAGGUGAACUUUACCAUUGUUUAAUUGGUAAAUGAAGACUCUUAGAUUUGAUACUAACAUGUACAUCAUGACUUCAUUGAAUCUCUCACAAGGAAAUUUUAGUUUGAAAGACUUCAUCUUUUAAACAUGUGGCACAUAUUAAAGUGGACCAAGUCUUCCCUAUAAUUUGUAUCUAUCACAAUUUCUUUCCUCAUAAAUAGCCUUUUUUAAUAGAAUUAAUAUAGACUUUAGCAUGCAUGGUGGGCCCUGUCAAACUAUUAGUCAAGAUAAUUUGUAGGUAAGAACGAUGGACCAACUAUAUUAAAUAUUCUUCAUCUAUUUGCAUAUCAAGAGCAACUUAAUAUUGUCUUUCUUUUGUACUUCAUGUUUGAACUUUCAAUGGAGAGUGUGUCAUCUAAAUAUUUGAUGUGGGUUUUUAUACUAUUCUUGGUUCAAAUAUGUGGAUGCAAAGGUUGCAUCGAAGAAGAGAAGAUGGGUUUGCUUGAAUUCAAGGCUUUUCUUAAAUUGAAUAAUGAGCAUGCAGAUUUUCUUCUCCCUUCAUGGAUAGAUAACAACACUAGUGAAUGUUGUAAUUGGGAGCGGGUUAUUUGCAAUCCCACCACAGGUCGAGUUAAGAAGCUUUUCCUCAAUGAUAUUACGCAACAACAAAGUUUCUUGGAAGACAAUUGGUACCAAUAUGAAAAUGUCAAAUUCUGGUUACUAAAUGUCUCCCUAUUCCUUCCUUUUGAAGAACUUCACCAUCUAAACUUGUCUGCAAACUCAUUUGAUGGGUUUAUUGAGAAUGAAGGUAUGUUACCUCUCACCUUUAAAAUUUCAUUUCACUUAUACUCCAAACAUUCUAAAGGAACUACUAGCAUAUGUUCUUAAAAGUGUUCAGGUGGAGACCAAAUGGUCACUAGUAACUAUUGAAUUUAAUAUAAGAACAAUUACUAAUUAUUAAAAUUUAUAAUGUAAAUUAACAUUUAAACAGAACAAUAAAAAAAUUAUUAUUUUAGAAAACUAUAGAUUACAUUAGCCUUAUAUAUAUAAGCAUACUUGUUAUUUAUGCCAUCAUUUCACACUCAACCCAAUAAGUGGGAUUCAACUAAGAGUGAGCAAUUUCACAAUUAUUAAUUAACAGGAACACUUAGUCUCCCAUAUCCUUAUCCUUUUUGUUGAAUUGUCUUUCCUUAUCUUCCAUUCCUAAAAAGCUUGAUUUCUAUAUUCUAAAUUGAUAAAGAUUGGUUAAAGAAAGGUGAUCACAAAAUUUGACUAUUGCUGUCAAAUAAGGAAUCACCAUCUUCAAAGUUUCACAUUUACAAAAAAAAAAAAAAAAAAAAAAAAAAAAAAAAAAAACCCUAGCCUUGGGUAAGGUCCAAGCCUUAUUGUUUUAAGCUGAUGUCGGGUUGGUUUAAUAAUAAACAAAAAAAAUCCUAACCCAUGACCAUCUACGCAUUUCCAAAUUCCACCCAUCCACAACCCAUUAAUAUGACAUUUUCAAGGACAAAAUUUAAUCAAUUAAACCUAUUAGAUGGAUUCUCCAUACAAUGUUAAAAUGAAUAUAAAAACUUUAAUUCAAAAAAUAAUUUCCUUUAUUUAGUUAGGAUUCAAAUUAUAGGGGCACAAAACAUGAAAAUUUUCAUGUUUAAAAUUCACAAAGAUCACAAAAGCUCUUUGAAGCUCUAUGGACUUUUUUAUUUCUAACAUUUAAACACAAAAAUCACCAUAUUUAAUUAGAGAUUUGGAUACAUAUUCUUAUAUUAAAGACAUGUAAGCUUACAUAUUUAAAUAUGAAGAUCUCAACUUGUAAUUACAUGCUUCUAAUUAAAGUUAUAUUACUCUAUUUUAUAGGAUUUAAAGGGUUAUCAAGUUUAAAGAAAUUGGAGAUCUUAGACAUAAGUGGUAAUGAGUUUGAAAAAAGUGUCUUAAAAUCUUUGGACACAAUAACAUCACUCAAGACAUUGGCUAUUUGCAGCAUGGGACUGAAUGAAUCUUUUUCCAUUCGAGGCAUGUUAUAUGUCCACAUUGUUUCUUUGAAAUUAAGUAAAAUAUAUUUCUAACUUUUAAUGUUCCUUAGUUAAUCUCUCUUUUGAUUCAUGUUUGUUGCAGAAUUAGCUAGUUUGAGAAAUUUGGAAGUGUUGGAUCUAAGCUAUAAUGAUUUGGAAAGCUUUCAACUAUUGCAAGGUACUUCAUUAACUUGCUAAAAAAACUUAUGAUAUUUUGUUAUUAAAUUAAAGGUAAGAUUAACAAACAAUUUCUUCUCAUUAGUUACUUUUCUUUGUAAUAUCAUUAAAUUUGAUAUAAAGUAGUCUAAAUCAUCCUUUCAAUUUAUAAGUUUUAAUUAAAACGCAUCAAGCAUGCACAAGAUGUUUAAUAUAACUAAUAUUUUCAUAAGUAAUUGAAUUUUUUUAUAUGAAUUAAUUAACUUGAUUAUCAAUAAAUACUUACAUGUAUAAGAUUAAUAUAGUUUCAUAAGUAUUUUAAAAUUGUCUUACAACACACACACACACACACACAAGGAAAAUGAAAGGUAUGUGAUAUCUUUAUGCUAUGUUUGGUUCCCAAAAAAAUUGAGGGAAAAUGAAAGGAGAAAAAAGUAGAGACGAAAAGUAAAAGAAAAGAAAAAAAGUAAAGAAAAAUAUAAAAUUGAUUAAAGUAAAUACAUUAUUUUUAUAUGUUACUUUAACUUGUUUCACUUAUUUUAAUUCUUCAAUGUAAAGAUGAAAGAUUUGAAAAUGCAUAAGUUUCUAAUUAUUUUUUAUUUUAUUUUAUAGUUUUUACAAUACAACCAAACAUAAUAAAAUCAUUUUCUUUAAUUUUUUUUCUUUUCUUAAUACUUUUCACGAACCCUUUAAGUUAUGUUUGUUUGCAGAAAAUAUGAGGAAUAGAAAAUAGAAAAGAAAAUUAGAAGGAAAGAAAAAGUGAAGUAAAAUAAAAAUAAAUUUAAAUUUAAUAAAUUAUUUGUAUAUGCUACUUUAAACUUAUUUCACUUAUUUUAAAUUAUUUAAACUCAUUUCUAAUAAAUAAUAAUGGAAAUUGUAGAGAAGUUUGUGUUAUUCAAGCUUUGCAAUGACUUUACAAGGUGAAGGAAAAUAUUCUUGCUGAAAUUGAAAAAAGAAAUACCUUCUUAAAUAGCCUAUUGACCGAAAACACAUUACCCUAACAUAUACACACACCUUUAUUAUUUAUACAAUCAUUUAAUACUUAAUCCAGUUAGUGGGAUUCUAGUGGUUGUUUUUAUCUUGGUUUCCAAUAUUUCUGAUUGAUAGUGUUCGAUUAAUGAAAUAUCAUAAAUUUUGACCCUAAUAAGGACCAAUCCCUAUUAAAUGUAAUUGGGUUGACCUAAGACUAAAUGUUAGAUCCAACUAAUAAAAACCCAUCUAUUUGUUGGAGUGUAAAUAACCCGGCCUUAGGUAGGGCCCAUGCCUUAUUAUUUUAAGAUGUAGUCCAACUGGUUUGACACUAGAUUGAGUAAAGCCCAACUUAUGAGCAUCUAUGCAUUUCCAUCCAUCCACAACCUACUGGCAUGGACAAACUUUGGUCAAUUAAACCUAUUAUAACUGCAUACAAAAUUUUAAGUUCAAAAGAUAAUUUUCCUUAUUUAGUUAGGAUUCAUAUUAAAAAGGCACAAAGCACGAAUUUUCAUGUUUAAAUUCACAAAUAUCACAAAAGCUCCUUCAAGCUCUAUGGACCAUUUUAUUUGUAACAUUAUAUUACUCUUAAUUAUCAAAUUAACCAACAAAUUCUUCUCAUUAGUUAUUUUUCUUUAGUAAUGUCAUAAAAUUUGAUAUAAAGUAGUAUUGGUCAUCAUUUCAAAUUUUAGGUUCCAAUUAGAUGUAUCAAGCAUGUGUACCAUAUUUGAUAUAACUAAUAUUUUUAUAAGUAAUUGAAUUUUUUUUUCUAUAAAUCAAUUAAUUUGAUUAUCAAUGAAUACUUUCAUACAUGAUAUUGAUGUAGUUUCAUAAAUAUUUUAAAAUAGUCAUAGAAGUCUUUUAUCUGAUUCACUAGAAAGAAAAAUAAACUAUUCUAAUGAAAAGACUUGAUGAUUUGAAGUGAUUGCUUUUGAUUUUAUUUGAUUGCUACCAUUAUUAAUUGUUAGAAAUUGGCAACAAAUACCCAUUUUGCAUCACUUCUAUAUGCAUCGGGGGAAUGAAUUAUAUUUCAUAGAGCUAAUAGGGCAAAACUCAAACUUUUGGAAUUAUGGAAAAGGUUGCUAGAAAGCUAAUUAACCAUUUAUAUUAUGAUUAAGACUAGUUGGGUUAGAAAUAAUUCAUAUGGAGAUUAAAAAAAACUAUGUAAUUUAGUUUAGUAGCUUGGGUGCUAUUGUAAUGAUUAAUGAUCUGCAACUUGAACACAUCUACUAGUGCUUUCUACUUGUAUAGCUAAAUUUAUGUUACCACUUUGAACUACAGUACUUACAUGAGAAGAAAGUUUUUCCUUAGUGAUAAUGCAAAAGAAAUUAAGUAUCAAUUUUUGUUAAACUAACAAGUGAUAGUUUAGAUAUGGUUUGAAUACACUUCCUUUCUUCUAUAUUUUUAUUUUGAAAAAAAAAAACUCUUUAAUGAAAUAUAAGAAAUCUUAUAUGUAUAAAAAUUAAAGACUUAAACAAAAAAAUUCUUCAAAUUUGAAAAUUUUCGAGAAGUAUUUUUAAGAAUUUGUAUUUUCAAUAUAAUAAUUCAUAUAUUUUGUAUAAAAGUUUUUGUUUAAAAAAAUAGAAGUGUGUCCAAAUUACAAAUUAAUUGUUAAAUUAAGAAUGUUUCUCAGAUCAAGAGAUGAUGAAAGUUGUAGAGAGUUUGCAUUACUCAACCUUUGCAAUUACUUUUUGAAGGUAAAAGAAAAUACCUUCCUACAUAACAUACAAUGGCAGGUUCUGGUUUGUAAGAAACUAAUAAAUGAUUAAGAAUAUGAAUAAGACUUCCUUUAUAAUGGAUAUGUAGAGAAGAAUAGUGGAUGAUAGGAGGUGAAAAUCUUGUAAUAAAAUAUCAAUAUCAGUUAUAAGAUAAUCAACAUUUUCUCUAUUUCUUGUACCUAUGUGAUUAAGAAUCUUGUAGCUCCCUUAUUGAAAUAUAAUAUAAAAAUAUAAAUAAACUAUUUAGAAGUGCAUGUAGUUUUCAACAUGAGGAAGUUCAAAAGCAAGUUAAUUAUGAUAAUUUUCUAUAGUCUAUAUUGAACACAAAUUAUUUUUACUAAAGGUUCAAUCGUUCUAUGAAGGUUAAAAGUUUGAAUUGUUUACAUAUGCAAAUGGACAACCAAACAAGAAAAUGAUUUUGAAAUCCUUUUUGGACCUUUUUUUAUCAUUCAUUUUUUCCCCUACUCUAUUUCCUUUCCCUCAAACUCUCUAGGUAGUAAACAUUACCUAAGAUAAAUAGGGAAGAAAAUAUUUUAUCAUUUAUUUAUUUAGUAUUUUUCUUACAUUUUUUGUAUGUUAUCCAAAUAUAAGAAAACUAUUUUUCUUUAUUUUUUCUUUUCCUUGUUGCUUUUCAAGAAUCAAGCAUACUUUAAACUCUAAUUAAGAGUUACAUAGAUUUACGAAGAAACAAUGCAACUGGUAACAAAAAAUUAAGGAAAUUUAAUUUUUGAGAGUAGGUAUAAUGAGAUUGGUUUGUUUGAUACAAAAUUUGAAUAAAAAUUCUUUCAAUGAAAAUUCAAGGAAAGGAAAAAAAAAACAACUUUCUCUCUAGACUAUAAUACUAAAUCACUUAAAAAAUAUCCUAACAUCGUUUAUGUUCAUCUUUCUUUUUAUGGAUUUGAAAAACCCAAUAAUUUGGAGAAAACUGAUUCAAGGAAGAAUAAUUUUUAGAAUAAAAUAUUAUUAUUUAAGAAGAUCAUAAAUAUUAUAGUCAUUGUUGAAUAUGAUAAAUGAUUUAAAAAAAAUGGUAGUUGGAAAUUUAGAUACUUUUAUAAGACAAAUGAAUUUUUCUAGUAUGGUAUGAAAAAAGGUAAAAUGAUAGGCUUUGAUCAUUUUUUAAGGUAGUUUGUUUAAAUCAUUUUAAUUUAUUUUCAUUUAAGAACAAUAACUUUUAUUACACUAGUUAUUUUGAUUUUCUUUUGAUAGAUUUUGCAAGCUUAAGCAAUUUGGAGCUAUUGGAUUUGAGUAAUAAUUCAUUUAGUGGGAGCGUUCCAUCAUCUAUAAGAUUGAUGUCUUCUCUCAAGUCUUUAUCCCUGGCUGGAAAUUACCUCAAUGGUUCCUUACCAAAUCAAGGUAUAUAUAUAUUGUGAUUACAGGUUUUUCUGUUUUCUUUUUUAAUAUCUUGUUUGUUCUUUAUGCCAAUGAAGUCAUGCAUGUCUAUUAAUUUUUGGUAUUUAAUAAAAAACUUUAUUCUUAAUUCAUAAAGACCUCAUCAACGGUAAGUAACAGCUAGUUGUAAGUUUGGGGGCAUUGACAAGACGAGGAGAUGAUUGGUUACAUGUCUUAUUCUCUUUUGUAGGCUUUUGCCAAUUGAAUAAGCUUCAAGAAUUAGAUCUUUCUUACAACUUGUUCCAAGGAAUCCUUCCUCCAUGUUUGAAUAAUUUGACAUCUUUGAGGUUAUUGGAUCUCUCUUCCAACCUAUUCUCCGGAAAUCUUUCUUCCCCUCUGUUACCUAAUCUCACAUCCCUGGAGUACAUCGAUCUCAGUUACAAUCAUUUUGAGGGUUCAUUCUCUUUCAGCUCUUUUGCUAAUCACUCCAACCUUCAAGUGGUCAAACUUGGAAGGAAUAACAACAAAUUUGAGGUAGAAACUGAAUAUCCAGUUGGUUGGGUUCCCCUGUUUCAGUUGAAAGCUCUUGUGCUAUCCAACUGUAAGCUCAUCGGUGACCUUCCUAGUUUCCUUCGACACCAAUUAAGAUUAACCGUGGUUGAUCUCUCCCAUAAUAACUUGACUGGAAGUUUCUCCAUUUGGCUGCUUGAAAACAAUACAAGACUAGGAUCUCUAGUUCUGAGGAAUAACUCUUUAAUGGGUCAACUACUUCCCCUGAGACCUAAUAGUCGUAUCACUUUAUUGGAUAUCUCAGACAACCGACUUGAUGGGGAACUUCAACAAAAUGUGGCCAAUAUGAUUCCAAAUAUUGAGUUUCUAAAUUUAUCCAACAAUGGUUUUGAAGAUAUUCUCCUAUCCUCAAUAGCCGAAAUGAGUUCCUUACAGUCAUUGGAUUUGUCUGCUAAUAGUUUCUCAGGGGAAGUACCAAAACAAUUGCUUGUGGCAAAAUAUUUGUGGCUUCUGAAAUUAUCAAAUAAUAAAUUUCAUGGUGAAAUAUUUUCAAGGGAGUUUAACUUGACUCAGUUAGGGUUUUUACAUUUGGACAAUAAUCAGUUCAAGGGAACACUGUCAAAUGUAAUCUCCAGAAUCUCUAGGUUAUGGGUGUUGGAUAGGUAACAUGACCGAUUUGACUACCCUAGUGUUGGGCAACAAUAGUUUUAAAGGCAAAUUACCACCUGAGAUUUCUCAAUUGUUGGGGAUGAUAUUUCUUGACCUUUCUUAAAACGCUCUUUCAGGAUCUUUUCUUUCUUUGAAGAGCCUGGAGUAUUUAGAGCAUCUACAUUUGCAAGGGAACAUGUUUAUAGGAUUGAUACCUAGAGAUUUUCUCAAUUCCUCAUAUCUAUUGACUUUGGAUAUCAGAGACAACAGGUUAUUUGGAAGUAUUCCCAAUUCAAUCUCUAGACUUUUAGAGCUAAGAGGAAACCUUUUAAGUGGUUUCAUUCCAUAUCAGCUCUGUCAUUUGACUAAAAUAAGCUUCAUGGAUCUUUCAAACAACAAUUUUUCUAGGUCAAUUCCUGGAUGCUUUGGUCAUAUCAGAUUUGGAGAUUUCAAAACUGAGCACAAUGUGUAUAUACCGAUGUUGGAUUCGUAUUCAGAAAGCAAUCCUUCUAUAUAUGCGGGUUACUUAAUAAAAUUUUAUUUUUCUCUAGUGAACUCCCUAAUGAAGUAGAUGAAGUUGAGUUUGUUACCAAGAAUAGGUAUAGCUCCCACAGAGUAGAUAAAUAUAUUUGUUGGGAAUUUAGAUAUUUUUAUAGAAAAGUAGACAAGUAUUCUAAUUUAUAAAAAUAAUGCAUUUCUUUAGUUUGGUAUAAAAAAAAUGAAAUGAUAUGUAUUGGUAAUUUUUUUUAAAGUAACAAACGUUUUAUUUUAUUUGUAUUUAAGAACAAUUUUUUUUCUUAUACUAGUUAUUUUAAUUUUCUUUUGACAGAUUUUGCAAGCUUAAGCAAUUUGGAGAUGCUAGAUUUGAGUUAUAAUUCCUUAAGUGGGAUUAUUCCAUUAUCUAUAAGAUUGAUGCCUCAUCUCAAGUCUUUAUCCUUGGCCAGAAAUCACUUCAAUGGUUCUUUACAAAAUCAAGGUACAUAUGUUAUGAUUUGUUUGUUUCAUAUAGAUUAGAGAAGAUGAAUAUUGUUAAAAAAAAAAAGUUGUUGUUAAUGUAAGCUAGAAAUAAGUAUUUUGCCUUAUAAAUUAUAUAAGCAUGUGUUUGUUCUGAAUGAAUCUUUACAACAUUUAGAGUUACCAAUGUUUAUAAUUCAUAAAGACCUCAUUAACAGUGAGUAACAACUAAUUGUAAGUAAUUGUGGAAAAAGUAAGGAAAACAAAAUGAGGGAAAAGCAAGGAAUUAGGAAAUUAUUUUGUUCCCAUAAAAAAAUGCUAAGGAAGAAAAAGGUAAAAGAAAGUUUAAAAAAAGUGUAUUUUUCAAAAAUUUAUUUCUCUUUCCUUUAAUUUUGCUAUGGACAACCAAACAAGAAAAUAAUUUUAUAAUUCCUUUUUUUUUUCAUUCUCUCUCUCUCUCUCUCUUUUUCCCUACUCUAUUUCUUUUCCCUCAAACUUUCUUGAUAGUAAACACAACCUAAGGUAAAUGAGGAAGAAAAUUUUUAGUUUUUUUUAUUUUUUAUUUUUUUAGAAUGUUUUCUUACUUUUUAGUAUUUUAUGCAAAUAUAGGAAAAUUUUCAUCUUUCUUUUUAUGGAUUUGAAAAACCCAAUAAUUUGGAGAAAACUGAUUCAAGGAAGAAUAAUUUUUAGAAUAAAAUAUUAUUAUUUAAGAAGAUCAUAAAUAUUAUAGUCAUUGUUGAAUAUGAUAAAUGAUUUAAAAAAAUGGUAGUUGGAAAUUUAGAUACUUUUAUAAGACAAAUGAAUUUUUCUAGUAUGGUAUGAAAAAAGGUAAAAUGAUAGGCUUUGAUCAUUUUUUAAGGUAGUUUGUUUAAAUCAUUUUAAUUUAUUUUCAUUUAAGAACAAUAACUUUUAUUACACUAGUUAUUUUGAUUUUCUUUUGAUAGAUUUUGCAAGCUUAAGCAAUUUGGAGCUAUUGGAUUUGAGUAAUAAUUCAUUUAGUGGGAGCGUUCCAUCAUCUAUAAGAUUGAUGUCUUCUCUCAAGUCUUUAUCCCUGGCUGGAAAUUACCUCAAUGGUUCCUUACCAAAUCAAGGUAUAUAUAUAUUGUGAUUACAAGUUUUUAUGUUUUCUUUUUUAAUAUCUUGUUUGUUCUUUAUGCCAAUGAAGUCAUGCAUGUCUAUUAAUUUUUGGUAUUUAAUAAAAAACUUUAUUCUUAAUUCAUAAAGACCUCAUCAACUGUAAGUAACAGCUAGUUGUAAGUUUGGGGGCAUUGACAAGACGAGGAGAUGAUUGGUUACAUGUCUUAUUCUCUUUUGUAGGCUUUUGCCAAUUGAAUAAGCUUCAAGAAUUAGAUCUUUCUUACAACUUAUUCCAAGGAAUCCUUCCUCCAUGUUUGAAUAAUUUGACAUCUUUGAGGUUAUUGGAUCUCUCUUCCAACCUAUUCUCCGGAAAUCUUUCUUCCCCUCUGUUACCUAAUCUCACAUCCCUGGAGUACAUCGAUCUCAGUUACAAUCAUUUUGAGGGUUCAUUCUCUUUCAGCUCUUUUGCUAAUCACUCCAACCUUCAAGUGGUCAAACUUGGAAGGAAUAACAACAAAUUUGAGGUAGAAACUGAAUAUCCAGCUGGUUGGGUUCCCCUGUUUCAGUUGAAAGCUCUUGUGCUAUCCAACUGUAAGCUCAUCGGUGACCUUCCUGGUUUCCUUCGACACCAAUUAAGAUUAACUGUGGUUGAUCUCUCCCAUAAUAACUUGACUGGAAGUUUCCCCAUUUGGCUGCUUGAAAACAAUACAAGACUAGGAUCUCUAGUCGUAUCACUUUAUUGGAUAUCUCAAACAACCGACUUGUUGGGGAACUUCAACAAAAUGUGGCCAAUAUGAUUCCAAAUAUUGAGUUUUUAAAUUUAUCCAACAAUGGUUUUGAAGGUAUUCUCCCAUCCUCAAUAGCUUAAAUGAGUUCCUUACAGUCGUUAGAUUUGUCUGCUAAUAGUUUCUUAGGGGAAGUACCAAAACAAUUGCUUGCGGCAAAAUAUUUGUGGCUUCUGAAAUUAUCAAAUAAUAAAUUUCAUGGUGAAAUAUUUUCAAGGGACUUUAACUUGACUCAGUUAGGGUUUUUACAUUUGGACAAUAAUCAGUUUAGGGGAUAUUUCUCCAGAAUCUCUAGGUUAUGGGUGUUGGAUGGGAGAUAGUUUUAAAGGCAAAUUACCACCUGAGAUUUCUCAAUUGUCGGGGAUGAUAUUUCUUGACAUUUUUCAAAACGCUCUUUCAGGAUCUCUUCCUUCUUUGAAGAGCCUGGAGUAUUUAGAGCAUCUACAUUUGCAAGGGAACAUGUUUAUAGGAUUGAUACCCAGAGAUUUUCUCAAUUCCUCAUAUCUAUUGACUUUGGAUAUCAGAGACAACAGGUUAUUUGGAAGUAUUCCCAAUUCAAUCUCUAGACUUUUAGAGCUAAGAGGAAACCUUUUAAGUGGUUUCAUUCCAUAUCGGCUUUGUCAUUUGACUAAAACAAGCUUCAUGGAUCUUUCAAACAACAAUUUUUCUGGGUUAAUUCCCGGAUGCUUUGGUCAUAUCGGAUUUGGAGAUUUCAAAACUAAGCACAAUGUGUAUAUACCGAUGUUAGAUUCGUAUUCAGAAAGCAAUCCUUCUAUAUAUACGGGUUACUUAAUAAAAUAUUUAUUUUUCUCUACUGAACUCCUUGAUGAAGUAGAUGAAGUUGAGUUUGUUACCAAGAAUAGGUAUAGCUCCCACAGAGUAGAUAAAAAUAUUUGUUGGGAAUUUAGAUAUUUUAUAGGACAAUAUACAAGUAUUCUAAUUUAUAAAAACAAUGCAUUUCUUUAGUUUGGUAUAAAAAAAAUAAAAUGAUAGGUAUUGGUAAUUUUUUUUCAAAGUAACAAACGUUUUAUUGUAUUUGUAUUUAAGAACAAUGUCUUUUCUUAUACUAGUUAUUUUAAUUUUCUUUUGACAGAUUUUGCAAGCUUAAGCAAUUUGGAGAUACUAGAUUUGAGUUAUAAUUCCUUAAGUGGGAUUAUUCCAUCAUCUAUAAGAUUGAUGUCUUGUCUCAAGUCUUUAUCGUUGGCCGGAAAUCACCUCAAUGGUUCUUUACAAAAUCAAGGUACAUAUGUUAUGAUUUGUUUGUUUCAUAUAGAUUAGAGAAGAUAAAUAUUGUAAAAAAAAAAAAAGUUGUAGUUAAUGUAAGCUAGAAAUAAGUAUCUUGCCUUAUAAAUUAUAUAAGCAUGUGUUUGUUCUUAAUGAAUCUUUACAACAUUUAGAGUUACCAAUGUUUAUAAUUCAUAAAGACCUCAUUAACGGUGAAUAACAACUAAUUGUAAGUAAUUGUGGAAAAAGUAAGGAAAACAAAAUGAGGGAAAAGCAAGGAAUUAGGAAAUUAUUUUUUUCCCAUAAAAAAAUGCUAAGGAAGAAAAAGGUAAAAGAAAGUUUAAAAAAAGUGUAUUUUUAAAAAAAUUAUUUCUCUUUCCUUUAAUUUUGCUAUGGACAACCAAACAAGAAAAUCAUUUUAUAAUUCCUUUUUAUUUUUUUCAUUCUCUCUCUCUUUUUUUCCCUACUCUAUUUCUUUUCCCUCAAACUUCCUUGGUAGUAAACACAACCUAAGAUAAAUGGGGAAGAAAAUUUUCAGUUUUUAUUUUUAUUUUUUUAGAAUGUUUUCUUACUUUUUAGUAUUUUAUGCAAAUAUAGGAAAAUUAUUUUUUUUUCUUGCUCCUUUUCAGACAUGAAUCACACUUUAAAAGAAAAUUAAUUUUUAAUUAGGAGUUAAGAUAAAUUUAAGGAGAAACAAUGAAUCACGAAUAACAAAAAAUUAAGGAAAUUGAAUUUUUGAAAGUAAGUAUAAUCAAAUUGCUUCAUUUGAUACAAAAUUUGAAUAAAAAUUCUUUCAAUGAAAAAUCAAGGAAAGGAAAAAACAUUUUUGUCUCUAGAUUAUAAUACUUAAUCAUGUAAAAAAUCUCUUAACAUCAUUUAUAUUCAUAUUUCUUUUUGUAGAUUUGAAAAAUUCAACAAUUUGGAAUAAACUUAUUCAAUGAAGAAUAAUUUUUAGAUUUAAAGAUUAUUAUUUAAGAUCAUAAAUAUUACCAUCAUUGUUGAUGUCCAAGAAGAUCAUAUUCAACAAUUUUUUUAAUAUGUUGUUUUUUAUGGUAAUUAAUUGAUGUCUUGUAAUUUUUAAUAUUUAAUGAAAAACAUUAAUUUAAUUCAUCUAAAGCUCUUAAUUCAUGAAGACCUCGUUAAUGUAAUGGUGAGUAAUAGUUGGCUGUAAGUUUGGAGUCAAAGACAUGUUAAGGAGAUGAUUAGUUACAUGUCUUAUUCUCUUUUGUAGGUUUCUGCCAAUUGAAUAAGCUUCAAGAGUUAGAUCUUUCUUACAACUUAUUCCAAGGGAUCCUUCCUCCAUGUUUGAAUAAUUUCACAUCUCUGAGGUUAUUGGAUCUCUCUUCCAACCUCUUUUCCGGAAAUUUUUCUUCCCCUCUGUUACGUAAUCUCACAUCCCUAGAGUACAUAGAUCUCAGUUCCAAUCAGUUUGAGGGUUCAUUCUCUUUCAGCUCUUUUGCUAAUCAUUCCAAGCUUCAAGUGGUCAUACUUGGAAGGGAUAACAACAAAUUUGAGGUAGAAACUGAAUAUCCAGUUGGUUGGGUUCCCCUGUUUCAGUUGAAGAUUCUCUCUCUAUCCAGCUGUAAGCUCACCGGUGACCUUCCUGGUUUUCUUCAAUACCAAUUCAGGUUAGUGGGGGUUGAUAUCUCACAUAAUAACUUGACAGGAAGUUUCCCCUAUUGGUUGCUUGAAAACAAUACGAGACUAGAAUCUCUAGUCUUGAGGAAUAACUCUUUAAUGGGUCAACUACUUCCCUUGGGACCUAAUACUCGUAUCAAUUCAUUGGAUAUCUCACACAAUCAGUUGGAUGGACAACUUCAAGAAAAUGUGGCCCAUAUGAUUCCAAAUAUUAUGUUUCUAAAUUUAUCCAACAAUGGUUUUGAAGGUAUUCUCCCAUCCUCAAUAGCUGAACUAAGAGCCUUAUGGAUUUUGGAUUUGUCUACCAAUAAUUUCUCUGGAGAAGUACCAAAGCAAUUGCUUGCAACAAAAGAUUUGGGGAUUCUGAAAUUAUCAAAUAAUAAAUUUCAUGGUGAAAUAUUUUCAAGGGACUUUAACUUGACUGGGUUAUUGUGUUUGUAUUUGGGCAAUAAUCAGUUCACAGGAACUCUGUCAAAUGUAAUCUCCAGAAGCUCUUGGUUGGAGGUGUUGGAUGUGAGCAACAACUACAUGUCAGGUGAAAUUCCAAGCCAGAUAGGUAACAUGACCGAUUUGACUACACUGGUGUUGGGCAACAAUAAUUUUAAAGGCAAAUUACCACUUGAGAUUUCUCAAUUGCAACGGAUGGAGUUUCUUGACGUUUCUCAAAAUGCUUUUUCAGGAUCUCUUCCUUCUUUGAAGAGCAUGGAGUAUUUAGAGCAUCUACAUUUGCAAGGGAACAUGUUUACAGGAUUAAUACCCAGAGAUUUUCUCAAUUCCUCAAAUCUAUUGACUUUGGAUAUUAGAGAAAACAGGUUAUUUGGAAGUAUUCCCAACUCAAUCUCUGCACUUUUGAAGCUAAGGAUUCUUUUGCUAGGAGGAAACCUUUUAAGUGGUUUUAUUCCAAAUCAUCUUUGUCAUUUGACUGAAAUAAGCUUGAUGGAUCUUUCAAACAACUCUUUUUCAGGGCCAAUUCCCAAAUGCUUUGGCCAUAUCCGAUUUGGGGAAAUGAAAAAGGAGGACAACGUGUUUGGACAGUUCAUUGAAUUUGGGUUUGGAAUGGUUUCUCAUCUUGUAUAUGCAGGUUACUUGGUGAAAUAUUACGGUUCCCCAACUUUAGUAUAUAAUGAAAAAGAUGAAGUUGAGUUUGUCACCAAGAACAGGAGUGACUUCUACAAAGGUGGCAUCCUUGAAUUCAUGUCUGGAUUGGACUUAUCAUGUAACAACUUGACAGGCGAAAUACCUCAUGAACUUGGAAUGCUAAGUUGGAUUCGUGCAUUGAACUUGUCUCACAAUCAAUUGAAUGGCUCCAUUCCAAAGAGUUUCUCUAAUCUUUCUCAAAUAGAGAGCUUAGACCUUUCUUAUAAUAAACUGGGUGGAGAAAUUCCUCUAGAGCUAGUUGAACUCAAUUUUUUAGAGGUGUUUAGUGUGGCUUACAACAACUUCUCUGGUAGAGUUCCAGAUACCAAAGCACAAUUUGGGACAUUUGAUGAAAGGAGCUAUGAAGGUAAUCCUUUCCUUUGUGGGGAACUAUUAAAGAGGAAAUGCAACACAAGUAUUGAGUCACCAUGCACACCAUCACAGUCUUUUGAAAGUGAGGCAAAAUGGUAUGAUGUCAAUCAUGUUGUUUUCUUUGCAAGUUUUACUACUUCAUAUAUCAUGAUCUUGUUAGGAUUUGCUAUCAUCCUUUACAUCAAUCCUUAUUGGCGUCAUAGAUGGUUCAAUUUUAUCGAGGAAUGUAUAUAUUCCUGCUAUUAUUUUGUUUUUGAUAGUCUUUCCAAGUUAUCAGCAUAUUUGUAUAAUUAGAUACUUUUAAUUGGAUGAUAUUUGCAUAAUUAACUACUAUUUGUUUCCCUGGGAUAGAAAGAAAUGGGAUGUAUAAUGCUAUGAGCUGAAACUUACAUACUUUGCUCAAAUUCUAACAUCUUUUGAUUUUAUUUUCAAGUUCCGUUAUUUAUUAUGUAUUGCUUAAUUCAAGAUUUAACCAUAUUACGUUACUCUUAUAAAAGCAAAUUCAAAUUUUUAGGAACUUUUAGCAUUAAAAUAAUUUCAUAGUCAGAUUUUAAAAAAUAAAGAAGAAAGAAAAUAAUAAAUAAUUGGAAAAACAAUUCAAGGAAGUAUUAAAUUAUUAUCUUAGAAUUAUUUGGCGUAGUAUGGGAAUUCAAAAAUAAUCUUUCAAUUUGUUAGAAAUGUUUAUUUAUUUAUUAUAGCAAUGAUUGAAAUAUCAAUCACAAAGUAAUGUUUUCUUUUCUUUUGUAGGGCACUAACACUUUUUCUUUGAUAGUAAUAAUUGAUAAAUAUAUUACACAAUUAUUUGUUUUAAAAAAGGGAGGGAUGACAAACAUAAUAACAUGUGAAAUAUUUCUAAAACUGUAAUGGGAAAUAAGCCAUCUAAUUAGGGUGCAAUAUUAUUCAUUUUAAUUUACAUGAAUUUACUUAUUUUUAUUUGCAUCAUAUUUUGAACUAUUUUAUGAAAUUAAGGGAGAUUAAAACAUCACGAGUUUCUUAUUUUAGUUUAUAUUCUUAAUAAUAAAGCAUGAAAUAUUAUAAAAAAAAAAAUCAUGAAUUUCUUUAAUUCCUUAGGAAACCAAUAUAUAAAAAAUUGAACAUAUUAUUAUUUUAUAUCCUAAAUCUCUAAAUUUGUUCAUUACCUAUUUAUUUUUAUAUUAAAUUUAUUAUUAAUUAUUUAUUUAUAUUAUUAUUUUAUGUUUAAAAUGUUCAUAAAUAAUUAAAAUUAAUAAAUAUAAAAAUAAAAUAUUAAAAAAUUAAAUUAUAAAGAUUUCAUCAAACUGACAUAUUUAAAAAAAAAAAAAAGCUAAAAAAGAUGAGGAUAUUAUAGAGGAGGGGAAAAGGAUAAAAGAAAAUUCAUGUGGUAUGAUAAUAUCACGUGUCAAAGUUAUUUUCUUUAAAAAAUAAUAAUAGUAAUGAUGAACUCAUUUGUCUUAUCAAAGUAAGUUAAAAAAAAAAAAAAAAAAAAAAAAGAAAAGAAAAAGAUGGUAGUUGGCUUAUUUGUUCUUUGAAAAUAAAAAAUCAAAGUUUUAGAAAAAUACAAUUUUCUUUUAAAUGAUGAAUGGUUACAUCAUUUCCCCUUAGCUUAUCUGUUCCUUUAAACUUUAGUUUGAAUAAAAUUAGUUUUAAUUAUUUUCUUUUUGGAAUUAUAUUUAAUCGUAUUAUUAAAAAUAUAAAAAACAUCGUAAUAAUAUUGUCAAUAAGUUUUUUUAUAUAUAUUGAAAAAUAUUUAUAUUUAAAAAUAUUUAAAUUUUGUCAUGGGCUGCCCAUUUCAAAAUGAUAAGAAUAUAAUAACCUAAUUUUUCCAAAUUCCAGGUAAAUAUGCUAAUCUAAAAAAAAAAAAUUAUUAGGUUUUUAUGUGCUGAUUGGGUUUUUUUUAUACCCAGUAUGCUCUCCAAUCUACCACUUAAGCAUCCGACAUGGCUAAAAAUAAAUUUUUAAAAAAAAGAAUAAAAAAGGAAAAAAACGAAAGUGUGUGAUCUCUUUCUUGAGUCUUCACAAUCUGAGACACUGAACCCAAAUCAAAAUUAAUCCUCCAAAUUAAUUUUCACCUCCAACCCAAACCCUAACGACUGCCUCACUUUCUUCUCAAACAUAGCUAUACGAAAAACCCUAGCCUCUGCCUCGUCUUCCUCUUAUCCCGGAAACCCAAAUCCCGUGACCCUAACCCCUUCUCUUUCCGAAAACCCUCCAGAAUCGGAAGAUUCAAGUGAUCGAAUUAAUUCUUCAGAAUUAAUUUUCACCUCGAAGCCGAACCCUAACUGCCUCAUCUUCCUCUCAUUCAUAUCCCAAAAGUAGCUUCAACAGUCAGGCCUGCGGCCAUGAAAGCCGUAGUGAUCGCCACUUCCGGCGAUCCCCAAGUUCUCCAAGUGCAAGAAGUCGAAAACCCUGAAAUUGGAGAUGAUGAAGUUCUAAUUAGAGUGGACGCCGCUGCCAUUAAUCGAGCGGAUACGCUUCAGAGGAAGGGCUUGCACCCUCCCUCAAAGGCGGCAGUCCCUACCCCGCUGGAAUCAUCGAAGCUGUUGGAAAGGUCGUCGUUCGAUGGAAGGUUGGCGAUCAGGUAUUUCAAUUGCCUAAUAUUUUGAUUCCGUUUCUGUUCCUGUAUUUUUCUCGGCUAUCCUUUAUGUGAUUUUGCUUCCUCCUGAGUACAAGUUCAUAAUAUACAUGGUACAUGGUGAAUCUGUAUGACAUUUCAUGGUAUACAGGUGUGUGCUCUUCUUUCUGGUGGAGGGCAUGCUGAAAAAGUGGCUGUUCCAGCUGGGCAAGUUCUCCCUGUCCUAUCUGGUGUUUCUCUGAAGGAUGCUGCUGAGGUUGCAUGUACUGUUUGGUCAACUGUUUUAAUGAUGAGCCGACUGUCUGCAGGAGAAACAUUCCUGGUGAAUUUUUUGUCUUUUUUAUUUUCUGAUGCCUGAUAUAUUUACCAGCACAAAUUUUCCCUGUUGCUGUUUAAUGUGUGUGCAUCAAUAUUGGAUUAGGGAGGUAGAAGAGCCAUGGUUCUAUUACAUCAUCAUAUUCUUAUUUAGAUACAUUGUAUCCCACAAUUUCAUUGCAUCCAAGGCUAUGUUGUUUUUUAUUGCACGGUUUGUCAUGGUAAUUUCUCAACCCUUCUCUGGAAAAUUAUGUUGGAUGGCUGCUAUUAAUUACCCCAAAAGAAGAAAUUUUAUGUUGAAGUAAGAUGAGUAGCACAAAGAGUUACUUGUGGUUGAUCCUAUCAUCAAAUGGGCGAUUGAUGCACAAUCCAAAUGGUAAAUUUUUUUCCCCCUUUAUCCAGAUGGAAUUUUUAUGCAUGGUUGAAUAGUGAAAUGAGGACUGAUAAUAUUUCAGGUUCAUGGGGGUUCAAUUGGAAUUGGUACCAUCUAUUCAAAUAGUGAAAUAUUGAGGAGCAAGGGUAUUUGUUACAGCAGGUUUGCCAUCACUGUUCUACCUCAUCCCACAGAAUGCUUAUCUCAUGGCACCAAUUCCUUUUCUUCACAUGUUUUCAACCAUUUUUUCCACCCAGGAACGAGGAAAAAUUAGCUGUUUGUAAGGAUCAUUGAGCAGAUGUGUGCAUCAAUUACAAGACUGAAAACUUUGUUGCAUGGGUGAAGGAGGAAACAGGAGGGAAAGGUACAUUCUAUUGUAUCUUAACGAUAAUUUCAAUUGAAGGUGGAAUUGCUUUUUAUUUUUUAGUGCACCAAAUCCACUAGUCUGGAAUGUUUGAAAAGAUAAAUAGUCAUCUUCCACUUGAUUCCGAUUGUGAAGAUCUAACCCCAAAAAUGUUGAAUGACAGGUGUUGAUGUUAUACUGGAUAAUAUUGGAGGGGCCUACUUUUGGGGAGACAUCAAUGGUUUAAAUGUUGAUGGAAGGCUUUUUAUUAUUGGUUUUCAGGGUGGAACAGUGGUACAAGUAAAUCUUUCAGGUUUACUUGCAAGGCGCCUUACAGUGCAAGGUACCACUUUCUCUGUAGAAGAUUUUUCUGUAGUUUUGGAGUUGAAUCAAUUUGAUUAAUCUCAUCCAAGUUCAGAACUGAGGUGGAUUCUGGCAAGCCAAGGAAAAACCAAAUUACCAUAAAUUCUUUUUUUUUUUCUGGAUCGUUUUACUUCUUGGAAAUCCUGUUUCUCGAUCUGGUCAGGUAUAUGGAAAUUCCAAGGAAAAUAUGUUUUACAUUUUCCAUAAUUGGAAACACUCAGGAAUUUAAUAUUUUCCUCUGAAAUAGCAAUGGUUUUCUAAUUACGACAUUUGUUUUUCUUGUAUCAUCCCAAAAUAUUUUUUAGGUGUUUGUUCUCUCUUGACACAGCUUUUAAUUGGGUCUGUCUUGCUUUUUGAUAGAUCUCUUGACAAGUUGCUUGUAUAUCAUACUUUCUUUAUUGUUUUCGGAUCAUGAACCUUGCUUCUGUCAGCCCUGUUAUCACUACCCAAACUAGUAAAUUUAUGCACAAAACUCCAUGUGUCAGUAACAGUGGUUAUUUGAUUGUAUUAAAUAAUUUGUAAAUACAGUGGAUAAGUUUGUGCAUAGAUUGAAGGCGAAUGAAAAACGUGCAUAGAUUGAAGGUGUGCUGCUUGAGUUGAUUGUAGUUUGAGCAUGAAAAUUUGAAGAUCCAGAACAGCAAAUGAGGAAUGCCUAUCAAUUUGAAACCAGCAUGGGUGGAUGAAUGGAGAGGUUCUUCACUGAAUUUGUCCAUGAAGCUUUUUAGCACUCUAGGGCAAGGGUCUCCAAGCCUAGCUGUUGAUUGCACAUCCCUCCUGCGCAAUACUAAGAACAGAGUGAAAUGCAAAUGCAGGAAAGGGUGUUUCUUAGCUGUUCAACAACUGACAAUACAUUGGCAUGACAAUUCCCUGGAUCGAAUGCCACAAUGCCCUCUUGGAGUUCCAAAGCUUGUUCACAGGUCAAACGAACUUGAGGGUUUUGGGACAUGAACUCCAAGUUUGGUUGCCAAGAAUCUCCAGGUGGAGGAUCAGCUUCUGACACGUGCACACACCUCUUGGCCAGUUUGUGUUAUUGCAAUUUUUAUUAAAUUGCUAAAAAAUUUAUCGCGAACAAUUUUUUCUUUUUUCUUUUUUCUUUUUUUCUUUUUAAACAAACUGCAAAAAUCCCUUUUUUUUUUAUAUAAAAAAAAAAAAAAUUCUCCAACAAAGUGAUUUUUUUUUGUGGCAUGACUCGGUUUGACCACUAACUCGGUGAACUGGUCUAUCGGCUCAAGUUUGGAUCCCUUAAUUUUGUGGCAAAUUGGGCAUCAAGCCCAACAACCUAACUUCCAUGCGGGCUAUCUACUGGAUCUCACCCAUUGUAACUUGCUCUGGGUGAAUGGCCAUUAUAAACUUCAUUUUAUCCUCAUGUGAUUUUGAUGUGGGAAUGGGAGAGAUGAGGAUUUGACAUUUGGACCUAAGGCUCAAUGGGUUUUAACUCCACUCAGCUACUUUAUGUCUUGUAUUUAAUAUUGCAAACCAAAAUAAUAAUAGACAUGAUUCUUUUCAAAAAAUUUAUAAUGUAAUAUUUUUUAAAAUUAUAAAAUAAUAGGUUAUAUAAAUUUUAAUAUAUAGGUAAAAUUAAUUAAAUUUUAACAAAUAUCUUCACAUUUAGACAUUACAUAUUUUUUAUUUAAUAAAAUUUUAAAAUAUUAAUAUAUCUAAAUAUAAUAUUAAAAAUGAAAAAUAAAAUAGUAAUAAUUUUUAUUUUCUUUAUAUAUUUAAAAUUAUAUAAUUAUUUUUUAUUUUAAUAACAUAUAAAUUGUAUAUUUAUAAUAUUAUUGGUUCAACUGUGAUUCAACCAUCACUCCGAUUAUUCAAUUAUGAAUUAAUAAAUUUUUUAAUUCAAUGAUAGGUUUGAUUAUAAAAAUAUUAUGUUUUUUUUUAUGAAAAGUACUCAAGAAAUAUCAUUAAUCACUAAGAUCACGUGGUUGGAUUAGGUGUAUCCGAAACAUAGGUAUUACUCUCUUCCUUAGUUAGGGCUUAGCUUUUGAAAAUGUAGAUAGGUAAAGUGGAUGGAAAGUCUAUAACUACGUAGAGAUUGAGCUUGGAGGCCAAUCUAGCAAAUGUGGAGAUUAGAAAUAGUUUACCAUCUAGAUAGUCAAGCAUAGCAAUUUACCAAACCCUUACCAACCAUCCAUACUAACCAAUUGUGGUUAAAUGUUUACAAAAAUGUACAUUAAAUCAAAGAGAAAAAAGAUUAAAAACGAACAAGAGAGAAGAAGCACAUCACCUAAUUUUGGUAAUAAAUGAAAUUAAAAUAAAUUCAUAAAUUUUUUAAAUUAAAAUGAAUUUGAACUCUAGAGAUUUGUGUAGAUAUCUUAUUAAAAAACCAAAAAGUUUGUUGCAUAUAUAAUUUCAACAAUGCAUAAAUAAUUACAACAUACGCAAUACAAUAAUAUUACACAACUAUAUUUUCAAAUAUAAUAUAAGAUCAUUAAAGUGAUAAAUUGUAGUUGUAUAAAGUAUUUAUACAAGUAAAGAAGAAAUUAUGAGAUUAAAAUGCUUGUUGGAUUCUAAGUAAAAAAGAAAUGAGAUAUAGAGAUUGUCCCAUCAGACAUAUAGAAUUUCAUAUACAUAAUUUUCCCUUCAAGAAAAUUUAGGGUCAAAUUGAAAAAAUUUCAUUCAUAGAUUUUGGUAAAACCUCUAUCUAGUCCCCGAAGUCUUGUAUACAAAAGGAAAUAACAUUGGUAUGAGGGGUUUGAAUGCUUAAUUUUAGAUUGAAAAUGCUUGAGAUAAUUUUUGAUCGACUUCACAUGUGUUUUUAAUAAACUUGGAACAUUCAAACUUGUAUUUGAAGAAUCUUCAAUUUGAUCUUAAAUAAUGUUGAAACCUUCAAAAUUUGAAUAGAAGAAUCUUUAAGCAUUUGAAUUUUGGUUUAAAGAAUUUUGAAAUUUGAGACUGAAGAAUCUUCAAAUUUGGGCCUGAAGAUCAAAGGCUAAGCUUGAAGAGUUCUUGAAGCUUGAGUGGUAUGUCCGAUUUUGUUUUGUAUUUUAUAAAAACUUUUAGGCUAUGUUUGGUUCCCAGAAAAUUUGAGGGAAAAUGCGAGGGAAAGAAAAUACAAAGGAAAAGUAGAAGGAAAGAAAAAGUGAAGGAAAAUAAAAAAAUAGAUUAAAAGUUGAUAAAUUAUUUUUUUUGUUACUUCAAACUCAUUUUAUUUAUUUUAACUCAUCAAUAUAAAGAUUAAAUAAUUUAAAAAUAUAAAAGUUUUUAAUUAGUUUUAAUUAUAUUUAAUUUUCUUUGAUAUUUUUUAUAAGACAACCAAACAUGAGAAAAUCAUUUUCCUUAGCAUUUUUUUUCUUUCCUUUGUACUUUCCGGGAACCAAACAUAGCCUUAAGUAUACUAUAUUUAUAGGUUUGAAGAGACAUUGAGAUUUUGUAUACAUGUUUGGAGUUUUAAACCUUGAAAUAUUACUCUUUUAUGAAAUUAACAUUUAUAAAAUUUGGAAGAACAUAAUUAGAUAAUAUUCUAAGUUAUUUUUAAUGAAAAUUGAUAAUUACCUUUUAAUUAUCAAAUUCACUAUUUCUAUUUAUUUUUGUAAUAUAUAUUAAUUACUAAAAUCAUUUAUUUCCUUUAUUUAGUUUGAAAGCAAUUAUAUAUCUUUUGUUUGUGUAGAGCUCAUGUGACACGACAAAUUUUAUUUUGUAACUUGCUCUGGAUGAAUGGCCAUUAUAAACUUCAUUUUAUCCUCAUCUGAUUUUGACGUGGGAAUAGGAGAGAUGAGGAUUUGACAUUUGGACCUAAGCCUCAGAGGGUUUUAACUCCACUCAACUACUUUAUGCCUUGUAUUUAAUAUUGCAAACCAAAAUAAUAACAGACAUGAUCCUUUUCAAAAUUUUUAUAUUAAUAGAAGUGUAAAUAAUAUAAGUAAAAAUAAUGUAAUAUUUUUUAAAAUGAUAAAAUAAUAGGUUACAUAAAUUUUAAUAUAUAGGUAAAAUUAAUUAAAUUUUAACAAAUACCUUCACACUUAAACAUUACAUAUCUUUUAUUUAAUAAAAUGUUAAAAUAUUAAUAUAUUUAAAAUUGUAUAAUUAUUUUUAUUUUAAUACUAUAUAAAUUAUAUAUUUAUGAUAUUACUGGUUCAACUAUAAUUCAAUCACUGGUCCAACCAUUGAACCAUGAAUUAGUAAAUUUUUUUAUUCAAUGAUAGGUUUGAUUCUAAAAACAUUAUGGCUAUGUUUGGUCCCAGAAAUUUUUUUUUGAUGGAUAAUGACAAAGAUAUUACCAAUUUGAUAUCACCAAUUGAUAACACAAUUAAAAAAUAAUAUGAAUUUUAACAUAUUUGAAUUCAUUGUAAUCAUAUCCAUGACCUAAUUUUACACAUCCUUAAAUCAUGGUUGAUUUAUGAAACAAAUCUAUACCAUCAAUAGAAAAUAAAUAAAUAAAAUAAUACAAAAAAAAUAUAUAGAUAGUCAAGCAUAGCAAUUUACCAAACCCUUAGCCACCAUCCAUACUAACCUGUUGUUGUUAAAUGUUUACAAAAAUAUACAUUAAAUCAAAGAGUAAAAAGAUUAAAAACGAACAAGAGAGAAGAAAUACAUCACCUAAUUUUUGUAAUAAAUGAAAUUAUAAUAAAUUCAUAAUUUUUUUAAAUUAAAAUAGGAAUUCAAAUACAUGUAACUAUUGUUUUUGUCUUGUAAAUCAUCCAAUUUUUCAAUGAAUUUAAACUCCACAGAUUUGUGUAGAUAUCUUAUUAAAAAAAGCAAAAAGUUUUCACUAAAAUCAUAAAAUUUAGAUUAGAAAUGAUUUACUAUAUUAGUUCAAAAUUCACCUCCACAAAAAUUGAAAUAAAUUAAUUAUCUUCAAUUCAAAUAAAAUUUCUCCAAUUAAAUUUCCAAAUAUGUGCCUUAAUACCUAUAAUGGAAUUAGUAAUUUUAAUUAAAAUAAAAAUAAAAAUAAGGAUUUGAUCUUUUUCUUACCAUUUGAUGAAAAUUAUAAAAUAUAUUAAAAUGACAAGUGAUCAGACAUUUGAAAUUUGCAUCAUUUCUACCAUUGCAAACACCACCAACCCCAUAUUUCCCAUUUUUCUACCUACUGCCAAUUCACUCAUCUCUCUGGGAAGAUUUUUGAGGUUAUCGUCAUGCUUGAGAUAAUCCAGAAAGUUGAGCGGCAUCACUCUCUGAAAGGUGCCUUACAGCAUGGGUAAUGUAUGGGAUACAUCUGAUAACUUGCCAUAUCCAUAAACCACUAUAUUAAACCAUGGUUCAUAUCCCCAACGUUACACGAGAAUCUGUACUCAUCCCAAGCAGCUUGGAGAUCAUAAAAUUAGGUUUUGAGGGCCUCCCGAGACAUGCACAGCUUCACCCUUUGUGCAUUCCUUUGAUUUGGAAAAUUUCUUCUUUAGAAUUCCCCAUUAUCAUGCCCUGAACCAAGACAUAUCAUGAUUGGAUGGGCCCCUUCACCAAUUUCACAAUAUCCAAUAGCAUAUCAUUUACUUCCCUUUUGUCAAUGGGAAUUACCAUUUUGCAUGGGAAGCACCAACGGAGAUGGAGGUUUUCAAAUUGGAUCACUAGCAAAGAAACCCACCGCAACUAUCUGAAUAAUUGAGCACAACAUCGGCUUUAGAGAACUCCUCCUGAAGGCGAAAUCGUCAUCUUGGCUAAACGUAGUCAUAGUUGGGUUGUGAGAAAUGGAGAUGAAUCAUAGAAGGCUUUCAGUUUCAUAGCAACGAAAAGGUAAAUGUACUCUAGAGAAGUUUUGACCUUGGGAGAAGCGCUUUUGAAUCCAAGUCAAGGUCUGUUCUGGAUCCCUUUUCGACUCUCUCUAUUAAAGGAAGAUAAUCUGCCUAGGAUUUGGAUGCAAGCUUGCAAGGCCAUGUUUAGGAGACUUAUGCAAAAUAUUUAUCCAUAGCUCCCCGCCUGAAACAUCUACAUAAAGCGUCUUCCAAGUGUGAACCAUUGUCUUGGGUCCUUGAGAUGAACAAAAACUGAGACAUAUCGUGAGUUAGAUGCAUUGCCUGAAAAUGCCGAGCAGUAGUAUGGCCUUCUUUCUGAUCAACUGUUUUGUCAAAUUCUAGAGCUCUCAUUCCAAAUCCAUCAGUUUUCUCAAAUGAUUGGCUAGUGGAGAUCCAUGGAUAUAACAUAUGAAAUGUGCACAAUAAAAGUAAUCAAACGGUUGGUUGGUUUGGCUGAAUCCCACAAUCGCAAAGACUAAUCAUAUGAAACUGUUACCAGCUGAGUUGAAUUUGGCCUAAAAAGGAUAUCCGUUACUACAAACUAGCGUUCUUUCAUGGUGCUCUCUCUUUGCAGGCUAUCCAUGUUCCAAAGAAAAACUCUCUUGUCAUGUCUGGCACUAGGCACUGAUUAGAGUGUGGGACGUUCAUUCUCCAUUAUCACCAAACACAUGCAGGAUAUAUAUAUAUCAAUUCAUUCAAAAUAUGCCUUUAUUUUAUGGAACAUAACCGAAUCCAUUUUGUUUGUGUUGAAGAGGUAUAGAUCUUCUAAGGCUGUGGAGGGCACCACCUUUUCUCAGAAUUCUCUCUGACGAUGGGAAGCCGAAGAGAACGGGUUUUGUUUUUAUUUUGAAAACGUUGUUAUCAUUAAAGAACAAACACUAUUCUUUGGAUUUAUACCCUCUUGCCUUAGGGACCAUACUGUUUGGCUAUUGGGCCUCACGAGUCUUAGGCCCAUCAUCUAAGGCCCAUGAUGGCACUGGGCUCUACACAUAAGGUGACCCAUACUCUGGAACGAAUAGAAAUCAUAUGUAUAUAUAUGGAUAGCUAAAUCCUGAACAAUGGUUAAUAUGAUGUCGGUCCACAUUUAUUCUAUCAAUCUCCCACUUGGACCACAUAUAUUACAAAACAAUGUUCAUGAUAGUACUUUAUUGAGCUCAUCUUUGCUAUCCUAUCUUAAUAUCCUUAAACAAUCCGGUCUACUAGUUAUGCUAACAUAGGAUCAAAGUGGCCUUCAUUAAUCAUAAUUAUAACUAGACCCAUCAAUGAUCACAACAUUAACAAAAUUAGCAACAUAGAUCAAGUAUGGAUGUGUAGCAUGGAAAUUACAUAAAAUGUGAUCUUUAUUAUGUCUAUUUCCAAUUGGUCCUACUUUAUGACUAAAAAAUAGUCAAAUUCCACUUUCAACACUUGAUGCUAAACUGCUUUUAAAAGUCAUCAUUUCAAUUCAGAGAAUUCAAAUACAAUAGUCUUUAAAAUCAAGGUUUGUACAGAUAACACAAUAUAACAUCAUAUCAAGAAAACAAACACAAAAUCUAAAUACAAACUCCCACUAUACUGGAACAUCAUCAAUAUGUACAACACCCAUAUGUGUGACAUGAUCAUGAUAUACUUUGGGUGGCAAACCCUUAGUGAGCGGAUCCGCAAUCAUGAAGUUUGUGCUUGUAUGUUCAAUCGAUACUUGAAGACUCUAAACUCUUUCUUUCACAACCAAGAACUUGAUGUUAAUGUGUUUGGACUUUGACGAACUUCGGUUGUUCUUAGAAUUACAAUUCUGUGGCUUUAUUAUCACAAUUUAUUCUUAAUGGUUUCUCAAUCUCAUCAACGAUUCGCAACUGAGUGACAAAAUUCCGUAGCCAUAUCCCAUGGUUUGAUGCUUUGUAGUAGGCUAUGAAUUCUGCCUCCAUGGUGAAAGAAGCAAUAAGUAUUUGUUUAACACUUUUCCAUGAAACUGUUCAUCCAACCAACAUGAAGAUGUAGCUUGAAGUGGAUCUCUUGCUGUCAAGACAUCCCACGAAAUCGGAGUCCGAAUAUCCCAUGAUCUCUAAAUGACUGGAUCUACGGUAUGUGAGCAUAUAAUCUUUAGUUCUUUGUAAAUACUGCAUAACCUAUUUUGCCUUUUUCCAGUGAUCCAUACCUGGGUUACUCAAAUAUUUGCCUAACAUUCCAAUAAUGUACGUAAUAUCUGGAUGCGUACAAACUUGUGCAUACAUGAGACUUCCUAUUGUUGAGGCAUAGGGAAACCUCUUCAUAUCCUUCUUUUUAAGUUCAUUUUUCGGACAUUGGUGCAAACUAAAUUUAUCGCCUUUUGCUACAGGCAUGUCUCCUGGUGUACAAUUGCUCAUGCCAAAUCUACUUAACACCUUAUCGAUGUAGGCCUUUUGUGAUAACCCAAGUAUACCUCUUGAACGAUCCUUAUAGAUCUGUAUACCCAGCAAAAAAGAUGCAUUACCUAGAUCCUUCAUGUCAAAUUUACUAGACAAAAAUCGCUUUGUUUCAUGCAAAAGUCCCACAUCACUACUUGCAAGUAGAAUAUCAUCAACAUAUAGCACCAAGAUAAUGAAUUUGCUCUCACUAAACUUGAGAUAUAUGCAUUGAUCAAUGGUGUUUUCCUUAAAACCAAAUGAAGUAAUCACCUGAUCAAACUUUUGGUACCAUUGUCAAGAUGCUUGCUUUAAACCAUAUAUGGACCUUUUUAAUCUGCAUACAAGUUGCUUUGAAUCAUUAGACUCAAAGUUCUCCGGUUGCAUCAUGAAUAUUGUUUCAUCAAUGUUACUAUUAAGAAACGUAGUUUUAACGUCCAUUUGAUGCAGCUCUAAAUCAUAAUGAGCCACAAGUGCCAUGAUGAUUCUAAAGGAGUCAUUUGACGAAACCGGUGAAAAGGUCUCCUUAUAAUCAAUGCCUUCCUUUUGAGUGAAACCUUUUGCGACUAGACGUGCCUUAUACCUAACAAUGUUGCCUUUUGAAUCCCACUUGGUCUUAAAAAUCCAUUUACAACCAAUCGGUUUUACACUUUCAGGCAACUUUACUAGGUCCCAAACACCAUUGUCUUUCAUUGAUUUCAUCUCAUCCUUUAUGACUUCUAUCCACUUUUCAGAGUCAGAACUUUGUUUGAAUUGACUAACUGAAAUUGGAUCGUCUUCCAAACCCAUGUCAAACUCUUGUUCCUGGAGAUGUACAACAUAAUCAUCUGAAAUUGUACUUCUCAUUUCUCUAGUGGAUCUCCUUAGUGGCACUUGUAUUUGAGGUUCUUGAGGCUGUUGAGUUACCUCUUCAUAAACUUGAAUCGGUUCCAUAACUUGAGCAGGAGGAAUCUCAGGUGUGUUUUGAAUCUCUGUUAUUGACUGCACAUUCUGGAUAGUGUCAUCAAACAUAAUAUGACCAUGUCCAGUUGUAAUAAUAGGAACACUAACAGAUUACUCUUCAAAUACCACAUUUCUUAACGGUUCUCUCCCAUUUAACUCAACAUCCUCAAUAAAUUUAGCUUUGCCCGUUUCAAAAAAGGAUCUAGUUGAGGGGUCAUAAAACUUGAAACCUCUCAACCUUUUAGAAUAUCCUACAAAGUAGCAGCUCACUGUUCUGGAGUCCAAUUUCUUUUCAUUUGGUUUUUAAGGCCUAGCUUUAGUUGGACAACCCCAGACAUGCAAGUGCCUAAUACUAGGUUUCUUGCUAGUUCAUAACUCAUAUGAGGUUUUGGCUACUGCUUUGCUUGAGACUCUAUUCAAAAUAUAAAUUGUUGUUUUGAUGGCUUCGCCCCAAAGUGAUUCUGGUAAGGUGGAAUGACUGAUCAUACUUCUUACCAUAUCCUUAAGAGUACGGUUUCGCCUAUCUGCUACACCAUUUUGGCUUGGAGUCCCCAGCAUAGUGUAUUGAGGAACGAUACCACACUCCAUCAAAUAUUUGGCGAACGACCCUAGACGUUGUUCAUUGGAUCCGUCAUAUCUGCCAUAAUAUUCACCUCCACGGUCAGAUCUGACGACCUUUAUUUUCUUGCUUAGUUGGUUCUCAACUUUAGCUUUGAAAUUCUUGAACACAUCUAAUGAUUGAGACUUCUCAUGAAUCAAAUAAAGAUAGCCAUAGCGCGAGUAAUCGUCAAUGAAAGUGAUAAAAUAUUGUUGUCCAUUCCAAGAAGGGGUAGGAAAUGGACCACAAAUGUCCGUAUGUAUCAAUUCAAAGACGUCACUGCACUUGUUAGCAUCAUUUUUUUCUCAUAUUUGUUUGUUUACCCUUAAUACACUCUAUACAGACUCGAAAGUCUAUGAAAUUAAGUGGAUCAAGAAUUCAUUCUGACACAAGCCUUUGAAUACGUUGAUUUGAAAUAUGACCCAAACGCCUGUGCCAUAACAUCGAUGAAUUCUCAUUUGUUAAUUUCCGUUUAAUGUCAUAAUUACUUGAAUUCAAGGUUUCAUUUCCAUUAGUGGUCUUUAUAUUUAAUUUGUAUAAUUUGUCUAUUAGACUACCUGUACCAAUAACAUUUGAAUUUAGAUAAAGACUAACCAUUCCAUUUCUAAAUGAACAAUAAUAUCCAAAUUUGUCUAGACAUAAAACAGAAAUUAAAUUCCGUCUAAACGACGAUACUACAAAAGUCUCUUCCAAAUCCAAAGUACAUCCAGAGUCUAACUGUAAUCUAAAAAGACCAAUAGUCUUGACUGCAACCUUGUUGCCAUUUCCCACAUAGAUGUAUUUUUCACCAUCAGUUGGCAUUCGACUCCUUAGGCAACCCUACAUCGUGACACUUAUGUGAGUAGUUGCACCCGUAUCUAUCCACCAAGUGUCAGUAGGCACUACGACUAAAUUAAUUUAUGAACAAACAAAGUUGAGAAGUGUACCUUUCUUUUCACGCCAAGCGGCGUAUUUGGUACAUGUCUUCUUCAUAUGACCAACCUUCUUGCAAAAGAAACAAGUCAUCUCCUUAUCUUGUUUCUUCUGCACCUUUUGCAUUGAUGUCCUAAAAAUUGCAUUUUGUUUUUCUUUAUUGUCCUUCUUUCUUUUCUUUUUGGUACCAAAUCCCUGAGAUGUGGAAGCCAAGUGAGAACUUUCUAUCUUUUCUUGUUUCAAUCUCUCAUCCUCUUGUGCACAUUGAGCAAUAAGCUCAUUCAAAGUCCAUUUUUCCUUUUGUGUUGUAACUAAUUUUGAAUGGACUGAAUUGUGUAGGCAGAGAGAUUAAGACCAAGUGCACAAGUAUGUCUUCCGAAAACUCUAACUUUAGUGCCUUUAGUCUAGUCACAAGAUUAGACAUUUCCAUAAUAUACUCCCUUAUAUUCUCUUUCCCUUUGUAUCGCAUAGAGACAAGCUUACUAAGAAUAGUGCUUGUCUCAACCUUUUCAUUUGAAGCGAAUCGGUUUGCUAUCUGGUCUAAGAAUGCCUUGGCUUGAGUUUUCUCAGGUAUUGGACUCCUUAUAGCUUUUGGAAUUGAGUACUUCGUUAUCAUUAGACUCAUGCGAUUGGAUCGCUCCCAUUUUUCCAUAGUAGACCUUUGCUCAGUAGUGCUGGCACUAGUAAGAUCUGGAGGGCGAUCCUCUCUUAAUGCAUAGUCUAAAUCCAUGCACCCGAGCACAAUUAUAACGUGCUCCUUCCAUUUCUUGAAGUUUGUGUCAUUAAGCGCAGGAAUGUUAUUAACAUUUGUAGAUAUAGAAUAUGUUAAAUUCAUAAUAAUAAAGCUCACAAUCAAUCACAUAAACAUCAUACAUACAUGAAAAAUAACAUCAUACAAGAUACUUAGCACAAAUAUUAAUAUUUUGUCUUUGGACAAUAAAUAUUAACUUGUAAUUGGUAUCCUUAUACAAAAUUAAUUCAUAAAUAUUGACAAUAAAACCAAAAACAAUAUGUUUGUCUUUAGACUAAUAUGUCGAAUGCAAGAUAAACUUUAUAUGUCACAUAUUUAUGACUACUUUAUUUAUUAUUAUAUUAAAAUAAUCUUCCUUUGGGCCGAUUAUUUUAAAUAAUAAUAAUAACAUGUUUAGAUAUUAUAAAAUAAAUAAAUUAUAUAAUAUAAGUUACUUUGGCAACUAACAUACAUAAUUCAUUUAUUUUAAAAUAUUAAACACAAACAUAACAAGAAAUAAUAAAUUCAAUUAAAAUUAUUUAUUUAUUUAUGCAUAAUAUAUAUAUAUAUAUAUAUAUAUAUAUAUAUAUAUAUUAAUUGAAGCAUAAAAAACCAUCUACAUGUGUAUAUAUAUCAAUUGAAGCAUAUAUACAAGCAUUAGUCUAAUGGUUUAAGCAAAAAAUAGGCCAUGGUAAAGGGUUUAAGCCAACCCGCCCCUUUAGUUUGGUUUUUGUUUUUUUUUUUUUUUUUUUUAAUUUCUUUUGGGCUACUGACCAUGCAUUCUCUCAUGGCCCAACGAAUAUAUAUAUAUAUUUGUUUUAAAAAAAUUUUGUCCAUUGCAGCCCAAAGCGACCAUCCCUUGUAAUGGCAUCAUCAACGGUGCCAGAGCUGUCCUCGAACGACACCGACAGUGAAACGCCGCCACCAUCACCGGAACGGUGAUUUCCCAUCGCCAAACGACGGUGUCACUACCAGAAUGACGUUGUAACGGCAUCGCUGGGAAGCAGCCUAACCUGUGGCGUGACACCAUGACAAGCAAUGCCGCUAGCAGUGAAACGUUGUCGCCAUCACCAGAAUGGUGAUUUUCCAUCGCCAAACGAUGGCGCCACCAUCGAAACAACGCUGAAACGACGUCACUGGGAAGCAACCCUACCCGCGGCACCAAAAUGGCACUUGGAUGACAUUUGGAACUCUUGCAACAACGCUCAAAUCAGCGAUUCUCACUGGCAAAUGACGCUUGAACGACGUCUGGAAAUAAUGCCUACAACGCCUAAAAAUUGUGCUCUUUUGAACGCCUGAAACAACGUUGAAAUGACGUCUACCGGCGUCUGGAAUUGCACCGCUGUCUAGAACGAUGCCAUGAUGGUGUCUCACUCACCUUAAAUGGCACCAACCACCGUGACUUGCAUCCCCAAAAAUGGCACUUGAACAGCGCCUGAAGCGUGCCUGGAACGACGCUGCAAACGAUGCUUGAAAUGGUGCAUUUUGUAUGCUUGAAAAUGGCACAGGAAUGACGCCUACACUACGUCCAUUUUGAAUGCCUGAACGGUGUCCUAACGGCGCCUGAAUGACGCCUGGAAUUGGCCCAGAUUUAUUUUAUGUUGUUUCCUUCCUCUUGGAUCUUUUGUUUGUGUUUUAAAAAAAAAGUGUUUUGGUGAAAAUGGGAAAUGCAACCAGGCUCUGAUACCAUUUUGUGGGACGUUCAUUCUCCAUUAUCAUCGAACACAUGCAGGAUAUAUUUAUAUAUAUAUAUAUAUAUCAAUUCAUUCAAAAUAUGCCUUCAUUUUAUGGAACAUACCCGAAUCCAUUUUGUUUGUGUUGAAGAGGUAUAAAUCUUCUAAGGCUAUGGGGGGUACCACAUUUUCUUAGAAUUCUCUAUGACGAUGGGAAGCCAGAGAGAACAAGUUCUAUUUUUAUUUUGAAAACGUUGUUAUCCUUAAAUAACAAACACUAUUAUUUGGAUUUAUACUCUCCUACCUUAGGGACCAUACCCUUUGGCUAUUGGGCCUUACGAGUCUUAGGCCCAUCAUCUAAGGCUCGUGAUGGCACUAGGCUCUACACAUAAGGUGGCCCAUACUCUGGAACGAAUAGAAAUCAUAUGUGUAUAUAUGGAUAGCUAAAUCUUGAACAAUGGUUAAUAUGAUGUCAGUUCACAUUUAUUAUAUCAUAGAGACUUCCCAUAUGAAGAAAAUUGACAGUAGGUAGCUUUGCCAUUCUUGUCCGUAUACAACCAACCUUAGCAAGGGUUGAACCCUUUUAUGCUUAGUUGUGCCAUACAAAUCCUUACCACCGCCUACAACAUGUAAUCGAAAUGAUUCGAUAAUAUCAUCUAGUGAACCAAUACCUCCAAAUGAGAGACCAUUGCCUUGGUAACUAGGGCUCAUGACUGAGAAUUGCGUGAACCCCUUUGCUUGGGUUGGAGCUUAACUGAUGCACAAAAUAUUCAUAGGCCUCUUCCCAUAACUGGCACCUUGUGUUUGCAACAUAAUUGAACAUGUAUUGAAGUGAGUUUUUUUGCAUCUUUUUGUAAGAAAAUUCUAAACAACAGAGACUGCUUAGUGUGCCCGGCUCCUCGGGAAAUCAAGGUUCAUUCCUGUAGGGCCAGUUUUUUCACAGUCGAACUAGAUAACAUGGAGAGUAUGUUGCAAUGCUUCAACAGGGUAUUUCUUAGGAAAAUCCACCUGAAGUUGGUACAAUUCGUUGGCGUACUGAGUUCCUGGAGCUCUAUUGACUUCAAUCACCCAUCUCUGUAGAUUAUCGAUGACUUAUGCUCGGAUCCUGUAGGAGGAUUGACCUGACAUUCCACUAGCUCUUUCUGGAAGACGAUCUUGUUUAACACCUUGUGAGAAGAGGCAAGGGAACUGGUCAUUGUUUCUUCGAGAAGAUCAGUGGCCGAGGAUGGGUUUGGACCAUAAUUGCUAUAUGGGUUUUCUUUGGGUGAACCAAUUAGUGGAGUGGGUGGCUAUAUAGCAACUGAAGGGUGGUCAUACUAAUGAGGAGCUAUUAUUUCAUGCAUGUGGAGAGGAAAUGAGUAGCUUCUUCAAGGAUAUAUGAUUAUUCAUCUCUAGCUUACGUUGAAUAUCUCCUAACAAAUUUCUGCUUUGAAGCUCCCUUAGUUUCACUACAGCUAACUUGGCCAACUUGGUUUCAUCAUGUUUCCUACAACCUCUAAGCAAAGCACGCCAGAUCACUGAAUCAGGUUCUAUUUGCAUUUUGUCCAUAAACUCCUUUGCCUAUUGACAAUAAACUGCCCCUCAAAAUUUGAUGAGAUAACAUCAAUGCUGACAUGUUGGUCAUCCCCAUAAGCAUCUUUAUAGAGAUUGAUUCUAUGUUUAGAUAUUUCUCUCUCCUCAAGUGAGUUCAACUUUUUUGUAACAUCCUUCUCCUUCUCUACUAAUAGUCUUAGUUGAACAUCCAACCUAUGUUCCCAAAGUGCCAGCAUCUCAUAUCUGAUGACAAGCCAACAACCUUGCCCUUGCUGAGACCCAAAUAAGUAUCCAGAACCAUCAGCAUCAACCCUUUCAUAGGCCUUUGUAUUUGAAGGUCGGAUUGGGAUUGCUUUGAAUGCACUGGCACUACAAUACACAAUUGUAUCUUCUCCAAUAAAAACACCACACAGAGGUGAGGGGACUGGUAUUAGCAAAGAAGUGUUGUUAUCUAUAUUGUUCUGAGCCCGAGUACCCUCAACAAAAUCCUCAUCCUCAUCUGUACUCUUCCAUUACAUCCCUAGGCUUUUCAAUGUGAUCCACAUGGCUUACAGGAAUCCAGAAAUACCAGUCUGUAUAAAUGUUGCUCUUAUGGGGCUCUCCUAGAAAACAUCCCUAUCAAGAUGAUCAACCUAGCUUAGAUGCUCAGCACCCCAAACUUACUAGAAAUAGAGGAAUUAAAAGCAAGGAUAGGAGCCAAAGUAAAAAUUUAGGGAAGAGCAAAUAGGAAAUCAAGCAAAACAUGAAUGUACAGAGCCUCAUUUCAGGUGACAUCUUUGGGCUAAUAAUAGGUGGAAUUAACAAAGUAGACAAGCAUGAUUGUUAUAAAUAUCAAGUUCAAGGAUGAAGCCGUGCAUCAGCUACUUAUAGGGGGAGUCAAGGAAACCAAGAUAAGAUCAAAGAGAGCAUGUAUGCAAAUAAACAGAUUCGAAAAAAUAGACCAAACAACUCGUGAAUAUCCUCCUACAAAAAACUACUACACGUGGCAAAAAGUGAUGAAACAAAAAGAGUCGGGUCCGCAUAUACAUAUCCUAUUCUAUCCUAUUCCUUCAAAUCCAAAGCAACCUGUAUUUUCAAUGGGAUUUGUUGUGAUGAAUUUUACUGGAUUGUAACAUGUAAAUAUGUUAAAAGAGGCUUGGGACAUUCCUAUAUAGUAACGCAUAAAGGUACUUCCAUUGUGAAGUUGUCAAAAUUGCAAAUUUAAAUUACAAAAUUUGAAAACAUAGAGAUGAAAGAUGAUGAAACCUUCUUUGAAAUUUUAUAUUGAACUCAUUAAUAUUAUUAAUUUUCAUUUCAGUGUAGGGGAAAGAAUUCUUUACUCUAAAGUGGUCACAAAAAUAUUAAAAUUCCUUGUUGAGAGAUUUAGACCUAAAGUGAUCAAUAUAGAAGAAAGUAAAAAUAUUCUAAGUGUAGGUAAACUUGUAGACUCAAAUGACUCUACCUUCUCAUAAAAAAUCCUCAAUUUUAUAAAUUAUAUAGAUUUCUUCAUUUGAUACAAAAUUUGAAUAAAGAUUUUUCAAAUGACAACACAAGGAAAGGGAAAAAAAAAAUUCUCUCCAGUUCAUUUCAUUUAAUCACUUAAAUUAUUUAAAAAUAAAAAUGUUUACUGCUAACAUUAUUUAGAUUCAUCUUUCUUUUGAUGGAGGUUAAAAUUCAUAAUUUUGAGGAAAAAGAUGAGGAUUCUCAUUUUUUUUUCCAUGUAUGAAUGGGAUUCUCAUUGUGUAUAUGUGGGUUACUAAAUGGCAAAUUUAGGGGCCAAUAUGAGGAAAAAUAUGAAGUUGAGUUUGUCACCAAGAACAAACAUGACUCCUAUAAAGGUGGCAUCCUUAAUUUCAUGUCUGGAUUAGACUUCUCAUGUAACAACUUAACAGGUGAAAUCUCUCAUGAACUUGGAAUGUUAAGUUUGAUUCAUGCAUUGAACUUGUCUCGCAAUCAACUAAAGGGCUCCAUUUCAAACAGUUUUUGCAAUCUUUCUCAAACAGAGAGCUUAGAUCUUCUUAAUAAUAAACUAAGUGGAGAAAUUCCUCCAAAAUUGGUUAGACUAACUUUUUUAGUGGUGUUCAAUGUGACUCAUAGUAGCAUCUUUGGAAGAGUUUCAGAUAUGAAUGCAUAAUUUGCAAUAUUUGAUGAAAGUAACUAUGAAGAUAAUCCUUUCCUUUGUGGACCACCAUUAAAGAGAAAAUGUAGCAUAAAUGUUAAGCCACCUUACCCACCAUUAGAGUCUUCGGAAAAAAGUGAUGCAAAAUGGUAUAAUAUCGAUCUUGUGGUUUUCUUUGCAAGUUUUACUAUAUCAUAUAUCAUGAUAUCAUUAGGAAUUUCAACCAUUCUUUACAUUAACCCUUAUUGGUGUCAAAGAUGGUUCAAUUUUAUCGAGAAAUAUAUAUACUUUUGCUAUUAUUUUGUUUCCUAUACUCUUUCCAAGUUAUUAACAUAUUUUGAAUAAUUAGAGAUUUUUGUUUUCAAUAAUAUUUACAUAAUUAACUACUAUUGGCUUCCAUGACAUGGAAAGAAAUGCGGUGAAGGCAACAACCACUUUUUUUUCUCCUCUACUAGUGCAUGAUUGAUAUGAGUUAAAACUUGCACCCUUAUCUUUGCUUAAAUUUUCUCAGCUUUUGUUUCAAUUCUUAAUUAUCAUUUCUUUUAUGUGUUGUUUAAUACAAUAUCCUAAACACAUUGCUUUGAAGGUUACUUAUUUAUUAAGCAUGAUAUUUAUUUUUCAUAAAGACAAAUUCAAGUUUUUUAGGAAUUUUUAGAAUUAUUAUAAUUUGGAGUUCACAUUAGAGGAAAAAAGGAAAGAAAAGAAUAGAUGAUUAAAAAAACAAUUUUAGUAAGUAUAAUUUGUCAUCUUCGGUAUAACAAAUGGGAAUUCCAAAAUAAUAUUUCAAUUUGUUAGUCUAUUCCUUAUAGUAUUAAUUGAUAUAUCAAAUAGGAAGUCACGUUUUGAUUUUUUAUUAGCUUCAAUUGCAUGUCACAUAUAUUUUAAAAUCAAGCAUACCUCAGCCGGGAAGUUCUUGUAACAUGCAUGAACAUGAUAUGAUGAAUUGAAUAAUUUUCUUAAUUGUGUGAGACACAAACCCUCUUUGUUUAAUAAUAAUAAUAAUAUACUACACAUUAUUAAAUCAUAUAUGUAUAUUUAUAGUCGUAUAAUAUAUUCAAAAUAUUAAACACAUUACCCUCUUAAAUUUUUAUGAAUGGUGUUUACUUUACAUAACGACAGAUUCAAAUUUUUUUAGAAUUUUUUAAUGUUAAAAUAAUUUGGAGCUUAAUAGGGAAAAAAAAGAAUAAAUAAUUAGAAAAGCAAUUCAAAAAAAAUAAAAUUUAUCCUCUUAAAUUGGUUUUGUGUAAUACUAUAGAAGCCAUUUCUUGAGUUUGAUAUGGUAGAAUUCGGAUUCAUAUUUAUUUUAAAAUAAAGAAUUUCAAGGGUUGGUAGCAUCAAUAGAAUCUUAACAAAUUUGCAAAAAAGUAUUUGGGUAGAUCACAUUUAAAUAUAGCUAACAGAAUAAAAAAUUAAUAUUAUUAGGAAGACAUGAUCAAUUAAAUCUUUUUUCUUAUCUAUGACACCGAUUUUAUAUUUUUACAUAGUCAAUAUAAUUUAUUACAACUUAUAUGUCAUUAAAUUAUACAUGCUUAUAUUAAAUAUAAUAUAAGAUCAUUAAUGGAAUAAUUAUGCAAGUAAUAUAAAUUGUAUAUAAUAUAAAAAAUUUAAACUCCGUCAAACUAAUGGAAUCUAUUAUAAUAAGUAGACUAGACACCAUAUUGGCCCGAGUUGGAGGCCUGGGCCAGAUUUUAAAGGCUGGGCUUUGAGUUGCCCGUGGGCCUGAGCCAAGGCCUUCUCUUGGUAUCAUCAUUUUGAAGAAAUAAAUUGCUGAUACAGAGAAAAAAACUAUACUAAAUAGAAAAAUAAAUAAAAGCAUUGACUAAAAUGAAGGUCAAGGUCCUUGAAAAAUAAUCUUUAAAUUGUUGCAUAUAUAAUUUCAAUAAUGCAUAAAUAAUUGCAAUAUAUAUGAUAUGAUAAAGAAUUUGGAAUUAAAAGAAGAUUGAUCUAUUUUAAAUGUGGUUGGAAUAUUUUUAAAUUUGUGAUGGGAAGUUAGACAGCCAAUUAGGGAUCCAUAUUAUUUAUUUUCAAUUAUAUGAAUUUAUUUACUUUUAUUAAUAUUCUGAAUGCAACAAUAUAAAAUAUGUCAAUUUUCUAAAAUUAAAAAAGUAAUUGCAAAAGAAAAUUUUUAAUUAUUUUUCUGAAAUUGAGUUUAUCAUAACAUUUUUCUUUACAUAAAUUUCUUUUUUAUGUUUAUUUUUUUAAAAAUGAGAUAUGAAAAAAAAAGAUCAAUAUUAGUAAAAGUAAAACCCAAUAUAUAUAAAAAAAAUGAAUAAAUGUUUAUGAAAUAAGAUUUAAAAGUGAGAAGGUAAUAAAUUUUUUCUCUUUUAAUUCCUAUUCAAUACAUUACAAAAAAUAUUUUUGGUUUUUAUGCUAAAAUUUAUUGUUUAUUAAAAAAUUCUAGUAUAUCUAGCUAUCAUAGAAGAGCUCCAAAAUUUUAUUGUUUAAGAGAAUGUGUUGCCACUUUAAAAGAUUUAUAUGCAUACCUUUGGAUAUGUUUAGUUCCCGGUAAAUUUGAAGGAAAAUGUGAAGGAAGAAAAAUAGAGAAGAAAAGUAUAACAAAAUAAAAAGUGAAGGAAAAUGAAAAAUAGAUUUAAAAUUAAUAAAUUAUUUUCAUUGGUUUUUUCAAAUUUAUUUUACUUAUUUUAUUCUAUUAAAUAAAGAUUAACUAAUUUUAAUUAUAUUUGGUUUGAUUUUUAUUAUUUUUCAAAGCAAAACCAAAUAUGAAAAAAAAAACAUUUUUUUUGGUUAUUUUUUUCUUUCCUUAUUACUCUUCGGGACUCAAACAUAGCUUUUAGAUUUGGGGCAUGGAAAAAUAAGAGUAUUGAAUAAGGGUUCUAUAUAUGCCCAUGCCCAUGCCCAUGAUACCAUUGAAAAAAAUGGAGAGAGGGUGAAACCUUUACUAGAUGAUAAAUUAUUCUCUUCAAUGGAAAUCAAAUAUAAUUAUUUUUAUCUUGUAUUAAUUGAAUGUUAUACUCCAUAAACUCAAAAUUAAAAUAAAUAAAAAAUUUAAAAACUAGGACAAUCCCAUUUUUUUUCAAUUUCUUAAAAAGAAAUUAAAUUAUAUUUAUUUAUAUCUAUUUUCAUCCCUACCCAACAAAAUAAAAAAAAUUAACAUUGUGGAACAUGUAUGAGAAAUUCUCACAAUUUUUUUUAAGAAAAAUAAAUUUCUUAUUUUAUAUAUGUUAAAAAUAAAUAUAAUCUUUUAUUUUUUAUAUAUAUAAUCGGGUAAGGUAGAGUGGGACAAAGAAAUAAUCCCCUUCGAUUCCAAUCCGAAAUUUUAAAAUAUAAAAUAAAAAUCUUAAACUCAUCCCUAAUCCAUUUAUUUUUAAUCCUAAACUUGUCUUAUAAGGAAUAAGGCAAAGUAAGUACAUGAAAACACUUUUUUUUAUCAUCAUCUCUACAAGUUCUAAUGUUUAGAUUGCAAUCCAUAUCAAAGAUUUAUAAAGAAAGAACAACGAUGAAUUUCAUAAACAUUUGAAAGCAUAUACAAAGUUUUAAAUAAUAUUGCUUGAGGUGCAAAUAUUAUUUGGCGCACACGUUGAGGGACUUCAACUGGUGUUGUCUAGGUUUUUUACACUAGUAAGUAAUCUUGAAUAUCUAGAGUAACUUGAUCAAAAUCUCUUUAAUUUUAUUUUCUUUGAUGAAUUAGAAUGCUUAUAUAACAUGAUUAAAAAUUUUAAGAAAAAAAAACUAAGAAGAAAGAAAGAAGUACCGAUCUUCCAAAUAUUGCUUCCACUUUAAUAUUUAGAAGGCUCUAAGAAAAGAAUUUUAUUCAUGAAUCACAACCCAAGUCGAAAAUAAAUUGAACCCAUUUUCUAAGUUAAAUUUUGAAUUUUUUACUAGUGAAUGCAAAUUGGGAAAAUGUAUAUAAAUAUAAUUAAACUAGAAUAGUAGGUUAGGUUUGUGUGGUCCCACGAUGACUUGGAAGUUUCAACAAUUCAAGCAGACUCCACCUAUAAACCUAAUAUACUAUUUUAGUUUAAUUAUAUUUAUAUAUGUUUUCCCAAUUUGCAUUCACUAGUAAAAAAUUCAAAGUUGAACUUGAAAAAUGGGUUCAAUUUAUUUUCGAUUUGGGUUGUGAUUCAUGAAUGAAACAAUGAUCAAUGACUUGACUUUUAAGGCCAACUUAGUUAAGUCAUUCCUAACCCCUAUAUUAAUUUGGCCUUAAAAGUCCAGUAAUUGAUAGCUAAAUCCCAACCCAAGUCAAAAAUAAAUUGAACCCAUUUUCUAAGUUCAACUUUGAAAUUUUUUUUAAUUGGAAAAAUGUAUAUAAAUACAAUUAAACUAGAAUAGUAGAUUAGGUUUGUAGGUGGAGUCUGCUUGAAUUUGUGAAACUUCCAAGUCGUCGUGGGUCUAGUGGUCCCAUAGCUCUCUAUUAAUUUCCACCAUCAAUUUUCUGCAAUAAAGUCAAGUCAUUCCUAACCCCUAUAUUAAUUUGGCCUUCAAAGUCCAGUCAUUGAUAGCUACGUUCAUGAAUCCCAACCCAAGUCAAAAAUAAAUUGAAUCCAUUUUCUAAGUUCAACUUUGAAUUUUUUUUAAUUGGAAAAAUGUAUAUAAAUACAAUUAAACUAGAAUAGUAGAUUAGGUUUGUAGGUGGAGUCUGGUUGAAUUUGUGAAACUUCCAAGUCGUCGUGGGUCUGGUGGUCUUAUAGCUCUCUAUUAAUUUCCACCAUCAAUUUUCUGCAAUAAAGUCAAGUCAUUCCUAACCCCUAUAUUAAUUUGGCCUUAAAAGUCCAGUCAUUGAUAGCUACGUUCAUGAAUCCCAACCUAAGUCAAAAAUAAAUUGAACCCAUUUUCCAAGUUCAACUUUGAAUUUUUUUUAAUUGGAAAAAUGUAUAUAAAUACAAUUAAACUAGAAUAGUAGAUUAGGUUUAUAGGUGGAGUCUGCUUGAAUUUGUGAAACUUCCAAGUCGUCGUGGGUCUAGUGGUCCCAUAGCUCUCUAUUAAUUUUCACCAUCAAUUUUCUGCAAUAAAGUCAAGCCAUUCCUAAACCAUAUAUUAAUUUGGCCUUAAAAGUCAAGUCAUUGAUAGUUACGUUCAUGAAUCACAACCCAAGUCUAAAAUAAAUUGAACCCAUUUUCCAAGUUCAACUUUGAUUUUUUUUACUAGUGAAUGCAAAUUGGGAAAACGUAUAUAAAUAUAAUUAUACUAGAAUAGUAUAUUAGGUUUGUAGGUGGAGUAAGCUUGAAUUGUUGAAACUUCCAAGUCAUCAUGGGUCUAAGGGUCCCAUAGCUCUCUAUUAAUUUCCAUCAUCAAUUUUUAUGAAUUCAGAUUUAAAAGUGAGAAGGGAAUAAAUUUUUUCUUUUUCAAUUCAUUACAAAAAAUAUUUUUGGUUUUUAUGCUAAAAUUUAUUGUUUAUUCAAAAAAUUAAAGUAUAAAAAUAUAAAAUAUAUAUCUUGCUAUUAUAGAAGAGCUCCAAAAUUUUCGUGUUUAAGAGAAUAUGUGUUGCCACUUUAGAAGAUUUAUAUACAAAAAGGAUUGAUGUUUCUCCUUUGACUAUGUUUGGUUCCCAAAAAUUUGAGGGAAAGAAAAUAAAAAAAAGGUAGUAAAAAAGAAAAAAUGAAGGAAAAUAAAAAAUAGUUUUAAAGUUAAUAAAUUAUUUUUAUAUGCUAUUUCAAACUUAUUUUACUUAUUUUUUUUCAUUAUAUAAAGAUUAAAUAAUUUUAAAAUGCAUAACUAAUUUUAAUUAUAUUUAAUUUUUCUUUUAUAUUUUUUAGACGGGAUCCAACACAUGUAAAAAUCCUUUUUUUUAGCAUCUUUUUUUCUUUUCUUAUUACUUUCCAAUAACCAAAUAUAACCUUUAGAUUUAGCCUUUAGACUUGGAGUAUGGAAGGAUACUGAGUAUUGAAAGAAGGUUUUGUAUAUGGCCAUGAUACCAUAGAAAAAAUGGGCGACAGAGAAAAAACCUUUAUUAAAUGAUAAAUUAUUUUUUUCAAUGGAAAUCAAAUAUAAUUAUUUUUAAAAAUAAAAAUAAAAAAUAAUAAUUUGUUGUUGCAUUAAGUAUUCUUGCAUUUGGAGAAGCAUGUACUACUUACUACAUAAAUGGAUAUUCAUGGAGUGCAUUCUCUAGAAAGCUCCAGUCUCAUGAAAAUGGAAAGAUGGACCGGCCGGUGAACCGGUUCGAGUUUGGAUUUAUGGGCUGCCUCAGCCUAACACGCAUGAUAGGUUGUUGUAGGUGAAGAACUAACUAAUUAAUUUAAAGCCUUCUUCUAUCCUCUCCUAUUCCUCUAUCACUCCAAAUGUUCCACAUGAUAAUGACAAUUCUUUUGUUAAAUGGUAAAAAAAAAAUUUAACAAUUAAUUUAAAAAAUUUUUAAAAUCUAAAUCCAAUGGAAAUUUGACUGUAAGGUGCGUAGAAGGCCCUAGUGCCCAUGUUGCUAAUUUGAUGAUAGUUAAAUUACCAUUUCGAGAGAUUCCACUCACUAGUAUUCUCAUUUAUAAAAUCAUGAACUUUGGCAUCCUAAUUAAUGUAAUUUAACUUUUUUUUGUUUACAAAUGAAAUAAGAGGCAACAUAUAAACCCAAAAGUUAAUUUUCCUACCAUCUCUAUGCACCAUUUUAGCUUUACUCCAAUAUAUUUUCUAUGAUUAAUUAUUUUCAUUCAAACAAUAAUAUCAAAAUAUUUUAAAAUUAGACAUAUCCACUAAUAUAUCUUCGAUAUAUUAUAUAUAUCUGUAAAAUCGAAACACCAAUAUAUCCGUGAUUAUCGAUAUUUUUAUCGUUGAGGGAUAACAACUAAUCUAGUUUUUGUACCUAUUGAUAUUCCUCAACAUUUAGAUUGAUUUGACCAUUUUUUUUUUAAUUUUAUUUUCUUUGAUGGUUAUAUGAUGAAUUAGAAUAGUCAUAUAACAUUAACAGAUUUAAGCAAAAAUGAUAAAAAAGCUCGCAUUUUUCAAAUAUUGGUUUCAACUUUGAAUAUUUUUAUUGGUAAAUGAAAAUUGUGAAAAACCUACUAAUGCUAAUACUUUUCACCACAUAAUUAAAUAUAAUAAACUAGAAUAGUGAUUCAUUGAUGUCUUAUAAAGCUACAUGCCUUCUUUGACUUGUUAGUUGAUUUUUGUAGGUGGAGUCUGUAGGGACCCCUCCCCCUGAUGACACGUGGCACGCAUUUCUAUCCGGAUUAGCUCCAUCCGGAUUUCCUCCAAGGAGACACGUGGCGCGCUUCCCCUAUCCGGACUCCCUCAGGGAGAAGCACACGACACUCGCAAACAUCACAUCCGGACGACCGCCAUAUCGCAUCCGGACGAUCGACAUAUCCUAUCCGGAUAUGUUUGUCCGGAUCGUUGACUAAAGUAAGCAAGUCUUACUACGUCAUUCCGACAGCCUGCCAUGGCCCACGUUCCACCACCUGCAAAGUGAAAAGACAGGAAUGAUGGCAAGUCACUUCCUACGAUCUCUGACAGCUGUGGCGCCUCUCACGAUCUCUGUCAGCCGCCCGUAGGGUGAUGAUGGCCCUGUCACCACCUAGAGUCAUCAUGACAAGCCAAAAUAUCUCUCUAUCAUUAAAGAGGGAGACAGAGCUUCUGGUACUAUAUAUAUGGACCUUCACACAAAGAGGAAGGUAAGCUUGCUAUACCUAGUAAAAGGCCAACUGAUUUAUCUCUUUAACCAUGGCUGACAAAACCAUCGGAGGGUGUGUCCGGACACCCUGUCCGGACGCCUUUUGCAGGAACGAUUGAACCAGGAAUCUAUAUUGGUUGAGAUCGUGCGUCCAUCCAUUUGGCAACUACGUGGAUCACCAGGGACGCGAGGCCUCAACAUUGGCGCCGUCUGUGGGAAAAUCACUGAUUCAGUCACCGACAAAGAUAGCCACACCUUCCCAAAGCCGCUCGUCCGCUAGGGAAAAGGAAGAUAAUUCUGAAUGGCGCCGAGCCAUUGAAAGAAGACAGUUGGCAAGCUCGUGACAACUGCAAGCUCUCCUCCAGGAGACAGAAUGACUAAGAGAAGAAAACGCGGUACUACGCAUCCAAGCUUCAUCGACGGGGCCUCCCCGUCGUCAGCAUUCAAAAGGCCAGGUAGCAAACUCAAGGCCUGACCCAGAGUCAAUAUACCCUGGGGCAGCAGGAGCAAUACUUGAAACAUGCAACGUUAGGCCACAUGAGCCACACACGCCCAUGCACCGAGCUCCCCAUGAGGAAAGCUCAGACUCUACUCAUUUUUCAGCAAAAAGACAACGCGACAAAAAAUCCCAAUUGUCAAACUCAAUGCGUGCGAGACUAGGCCCACAGGAGCCUGGGAGGCCAAAGCCGCCAGUAGCCAUAACCUGGGCAGUGCACCUUGACCCUAUGGUCACCCCCAUGGUGCAGAGCGUUCUCCCGCACCGUGACCCUAUGGUCACCCCUAUGGUGCAGAACGUUCACCCGCACCUAGCGGUACGACAAGCUGGGAGAAACCUCCCAAAUGAGCCACCCAUUGGCUCCAUUAGCAAAAGGCUGGACGACAUGCUCUCCACGCCUUUUUGCUCUCAUAUCAUUCAUUACGAGCCCCCAAGGGGAUUCCUCGUGCCCAAAUUCUCCACAUACGAUGGGUCCAGCGACCCCUUCGACCAUAUCAUGCAUUAUCGACAGCUCAUGACUCUCGAUAUAGGCAAUGACGCGCAGCUAUGCAAAGUAUUCCCCGCCAACCUACAAGGGCAGGCCCUCUCAUGGUUUCACCGCCUACCUCCCAACUAUGUUGAUAAUUUCAGAGACCUAUCAGAGGCCUUCGUGGGACAAUACUUAUGCUCUGCUCGACAUAAGCAGAACAUCAGCACUCUGCAAAACAUAAAAAUGCAGGAUAACGAAUCCUUAAGGGAGUUCGUGAAGUGGUUUGGUCAUGCCGUACUACAGGUAAAGGCUUACAGCAUGGAUGCUGUCCUGCAGAUCUUCAAGCGAAGUAUUUGUCCAGGCACCCCAUUUUUUGAAUCACUCGCUAAAAAGCCUCCUACGACGAUGGACGACUUGUUCCAGCGUGCGAGCAAAUACUCAAUGCUCGAAGAUGACGUGCGAGCAGCCACCCAGCAAGUCUUGGUUGCCGGACAGGCAUCUAGAAGUGGCACGGAAAGAAGUGCCAAACUUCCGGACAGGCCAAGACAGUCCCAUCAAAGGCAGGAAGGGCCAAGUCGCCCGGAAAGGCCGCCCCUCACACCCCUUUCCAUAUCCUAUGAGAAGCUUCUCCCUAUGAUCUAAGACAUGUCCGACUUCAGGUGGCCUAGACCCAUCGGAACGGACCCAUCCAAAAGGGAUCAUAGUAAAAAAUGUGCCUUCCAUAAAGAGCAUGGUCACACAACGGAGACAUGCAGGUGCCUUCAUUAUUUGGUCGAAAGGCUCAUAAGGGCGGGACAUUUAAAGCAAUACCUCCACUCAGAUACCGGAGGUAGAGAUGCUUCCCGAAAUCACAACUCUGGAGCCCCUAGGGCCCUAGCCGUCCCCAAAGCCGUUAUAAACUAUAUUAACAGAGGCCCAUCUGACGAGGAGUACGACUCCAAACGAAAGAAACAAAAGUUGUUGCGGGCAGCAUCGGUGCGCGAACGUGUCAACUCCAUCCGGCCUGGGAUAACUGGGGGGGCCCUCGCCCCAUAGAUGGGAUAAUCAUUUUCCCACCAGUAGACCCCACCCGGAUAUUGAAGCCGCACCGCGACGCCCUCAUCCUGUCCUUAAAGAUAGGAGACUUCGACGUGAGACGCAUCCUGGUUGACCCAGGUAGCUCGGCCGAUCUUGUGCAAGCAUCGGUCAUUAGCCACAUGGGGCACAAUCUCACAGGCCUCGAAAACCCUGGGCGAAUCUUGUCCGGAUUCAACGGGGCGUCAACUACUUCAUUGGGAGACAUUGUACUGUCGGUCCAAGCUGGCCCAGUCACUCUCAACGUACAAUUUUCGGUGGUACAAGAUUUAUCACCCUUCAAUGUCAUCUUGGGGCGCACAUGGCUGCACUACAUGAAAGUCAUCCCCUCUACAUAUCAUCAAAUGGUAAGCUUCCUUACCAAGGAUGGGCAAAUUGACCUAUACGGCAGCCAGUUAGCCGCUCGCCAAUGCUACCAGAUAGCACGAGAAGCAGGGACCAACCAGGAGGAUGCAUCCCUCCCUGAGUCCAGCCAUGCACGUGACCAAUAGCAAUUAUUGAGUCCGGGGGACAAAGAUCCCCCGGCAGCGGAUCCCUUGCAAGCAAUCCAAAUUUCGGAAGAAGGUACUCACCUUACGAAUAUCAGUUAGAAGAGACCCGGAACAUGCAGAACGCCCUCAGACAAAACCAUGACGUCUUCGCAUGGACACAUUCUGAUAUGAAGGGAAUUCAUCCCUCCAUUACCUCUCAUAGGCUUAACGUCUUGCCAACAGCCAGACCCAUCCGGCAGAGGGUUAGACGUUUUCACCCGGACAGACAAAAAAUUAUCCGGAAUGAGAUUGACAAGUUGCUAGAAGUCGGAUUCAUCAGAGAAGUGCAUUACCCGGACUGGUUGGCAAAUGUAGUGGUGGUACCCAAAAAAGAAGGCAAAUGGCGGGUGUGAGUCGACUAUACCAACCUCAAUAAUGCAUGCCCAAAAGACAGUUUCCCUUUGCCACGGAUGGAUCAAAUUGUGGACUCCACUGCUGGGUAAGGGAUGCUCUCCUUCUUGGACGCCUUCUCUGGAUACCACCAAAUCCCCAUGUCCCCGGCUGAUGAAGAAAAGACAGCCUUCAUAACACCACAUGGUCUCUAUUGCUACAAAGUCAUGCCAUUCAGACUCAAAAACGCUGGUGCCACUUACUAGAGACUGAUGACGAAGAUCUUCAAACCUCUGGUCGGCCGCACAAUAGAGGUAUAUAUUGACGAUAUCGUGGUUAAAAGUAAAACCCGAGAGGAACAUGUCCUCCACUUGCAAGAAGUCUUCCACCUCUUGAGGAAGUAUGGCAUGAAGUUGAAUCCCUCUAAAUGUGCCUUUGGCAUAAGUGGUGACAAAUUCUUGGGAUUUAUGGUUAGCCAAAUGGGGAUAGAGGUCAGCCCGGACCAAGUCAAGGCAGUCAUGGAAACACCACCCCCUAGGAGCAAAAAGGAAUUACAACGCCUCACAGGCAAGCUCGUCGCGCUAGGGCGUUUUAUAGCCCGCUUCACUAAUGAACUGCGACCCUUCUUCUUGGCAAUACGAAAAGAAGGAGCAAACGGAUGGACGAACAACUGUCAAAGCGCUUUUGAAAAAAUUAAACAUUGCCUCAUGCAAUCGCCCAUCCUGAGCAGUCCCCUCCUUGAAGAAAAACUGUAUAUGUAUCUGGCUGUAUCGGAGUGGGCAAUUAGUGAUGUUCUAUUCCGCUGCCCCUUACCCAAGGAGCAGAAACCUAUCUACUACGUCAGCAGAGCAUUGGCAGACGUAGAAACCAGGUAUUCAAAGAUGGAGCUAAUGGCCUUAGCUCUUCGAAGUGCUGCCCAGAAGCUCUGCCCCUACUUCCAAGCCCACCCGGUGGUCAUGCUAACUGACCAGCCCCUUCGCAACAUUCUGCACAAGCCAGACUUAACCGGAAGAAUGCUUCAAUGGGCCAUAGAGUUAAGCGAAUAUGGAAUCGAGUUCCAACCCAGGCUGUCCAUGAAAGGCCAAGUUAUGGCUGACUUCGUGUUGGAAUACUCCCGAAGGCCUAUCCAGCGCAAGGAACCAAGUGAAAAAGAGUGGUGGACUUUGCGGGUCGAUGGAGCCUCACGAUCAUCAGGAUCCGGAGUAGGGCUCCUGCUGCAAUCACCAACAGGAGAACAUCUGGAGCAAGCCAUCUGGAUGGGGUUCCCCGCCUCUAACAAUGAAGCGGAAUAUGAGGCCAUCCUAUCCGGAUUGGACCUCGCCCUGGCUCAUCCGUCUCCAAGCUCCGGGUCUAUAGUGACUCCCAACUCAUGGUAAGACACGUUAAGAAGGAAUACGAAGCUAAGGAUGCGCGCAUGACGUGAUAUCUGACUAAAGUAAGGGACACCUUACAACGGUUCACCGAAUGGACGAUCGAAAAAAUCAAACGAUCUAAAAAUGGACGUGCCGACGCCUUAGCAGGCAUAGUUGCCUCCCUCCCCAUCAAAGAAGCCAUAUUGUUGCCUAUACAUGUGUAAGUCAACCAUUCCGUCGCGGAAACCUCCACUUGCAAUACCAUUGAGGCAAAUCAAGCAGACGACCAAGAGUGGACGGAAGACAUUAUAAGGUACCUCUAGACAGGCACUCUGCCUGAAGAGCCCAAGCAGGUACACAAGCUCCGGGUGCAAGCCGCCCGUUUCACCCUAAUUGGGGGGUACUUGUACAAGCGAUCCUUCACAGGUUCCUAUCUUCGGUGCCUAAACCACUCAGAGGCCCUGUAUGUAUUAGCUGAAUUGCACGAGGGAGUAUGUGGAAUUAUUCUGGAGGUCGAUUUCUGGCACACAGGGCCCAUUCGCAAGGAUAUUACUGGCCCACGAUGAAGAAGGAUGCGGCAGCCUAUGUCAAAAAAUGUGACAAAUGCCAAAGGCAUGCCCCCAUACCACAUGUGCCGUCGGAGACAUUGAAGCCAAUAUCAGGCCCCUGGCCCUUCACGCAGUGGGGCAUGGACAUAGUAGGACCCCUACCACCCCCACCCGCUCAAAAGAAAUUCCUGCUCGUCGCCACGAAUUACUUCAGUAAAUGGGUGGAAGCUGAGGCAUACGCUAGCAUCAAAGACAAAGAUGUCACCAAGUUCAUGUGGAAGAACAUCAUCUGCCGCUUCGGAAUCCCCCAAACCAUUAUAGCCGACAACGGUCCAUAGUUUGAUAGCAUCGCUUUCCAGAAUUUCUGUUCGAAACUAAACAUCCGGAAUUCAUACUCCACACCGCGUUAUCCUCAAAGUAAUGGGCAAGCAGAGGCCACAAACAAGACUCUAAUCACUACCUUAAAGAAAAGGCUCGAGCAAGCCAAAGGAAAGUGGGUGGAAGAGCUACCCGGCGUCUUGUGGGCUUAUCGAACCAUACCCAGAUGUCCGACAGGAAACACUCCCUUCGCCCUCGCAUACGGUAUGGACGCAAUCAUUUCUAUUGAAAUAGGGCUACCCACUAUCCCGGACCGAGGCAGGAAAGCAGGAUGAUGCAAAUGUGGAGUUAAGAAGAAACUUGGACUGGGCAAACGAAGUAAGGGAAACUGCAUCCAUUCGGAUGGCAGAUUAUCAACAAAGGGCAUCCGCUCACUACAAUCGCAAAGCAAGGCCCAGAAGCUUUAAAAAUGAUACGCUGGUCCUUAGAAAGGUUUUCGAAAAUACUGCUGAGAUAGGAGCGGGAAAAUUUCAAGCCAAUUGGGAAAACCCCUAUAUAGUAUCUAAGACAAGUGAAAGUGGAGCCUAUCAUCUGCAGAAGCUAGAUGGAACCCCAUUGCUCCGACCAUGGAAUGUAUCUAAUCUAAAGUAGUAUUACCAAUGAAAGAAAAAUAGAGGUACAAAUAUGAAUAAGUAUGUUUUAUUAAUACUUGUGAAAAAUUGUAUACAAAAGUUCUCCGGACUACAAAAUACAGAGAGAAGAUAGCAGUAAAAAUUACAAAAAGAAAAGCUCUCAUUGGGAAGGCUUGCCACGCAGCUUCUCCUCCUCACCCGGGGGAAUCGAAGGGACGUCCCGUUUGAUACCAAGUUUCUUCAUACAGCAACGGUAGCCGAAGAAGUACAUUUCGUCUACCUACUUCUGGUAGUCUGCUUCAAGUUCCUCCCUUUCCGCAGCAAACUCAGCCUCCAACUCUUCUUUUUGCGCUAAUAAACGCAACUGCAAAUCCUCUCUCUGCUUUUUCUCAAUUGACACCUCUGUUUGGAGUUGCCUCACUUCUCCCGCAGUUGGGCCAUUUCGUCCUCCGCCUCAUGUAGACGGGCGUCUGUAGAUUCCUCCCGACUCUUUGCCUCAGCUAGCUCUACCCGGAGAGCCUCGUUGUCAUCUCGAGCAGCGGAUAAACUGGCUUCGGCCUGCUCUAAUCUCAAGCGCAGUUCCUCUUCACUGUUUAUGCGUUGAGAGACGAAGGCCUUCAUAUAAUCAGCAGUUCGUAGUAGGUCAGAAAAAAGAUCACGUUGUUGAGCCAUGCCGCGGAUACCGCUCACCAGCUGCAGAAAAACCCACAAACAAGAAGUGCAAAAAUUACAACCCAUGUGACAAACACAUCAGAAUGGCAAGAAAAAUCAAGAAGUAAACUAUACCAUUUCCGCUGCUUCAAACAUUUUUGCUGAAGGCACAGCAACAUCUGAGCUGGAUGGAAUCCGUUUCAGCAUCUCUCCCAACUGCGCAUAGCUGAAAGGACUAGCGGAGAUGCAAGCUGCAUCAUCAACGGGACUUCCUCCUGACGAGGCAUUAGGGAGUGACUCCUUUCCCGAGUCCGGGGCCUCAUCAUUCUCGACCGGCUGGGUCUCUCCGAGUGAACCCCCAUCUGGGACCAGCACCGGGGCGGUUGGAUUCUCUUCUGCCAUCUCUGUCUCACUCCCCUCCGGAUGAUCCUCCUGGACGGACGAGCAGCUGACUUCGAUGGUUUCCAAAAAACGAUCUUGAAGCCGCCUGAUGAGGCUAGACUUUAAGUCACGGGCCGGACGAGACCUCCUUGCAGUUGGCCCCUUCACCGGUAUAAAGGCAAGGGAGCUUGGCUCGCAAGGAGGCACACCCUGACUUUCUGCCCUCGUUUCUUCCGUUGGGGGUGCCGUAGGAGGCAAUGCUUCAGUACAAGAGGCCUCGGCUGCAUCCGCGUCCGAAUGGGGAGAGCCGAGCUGAUUUACUGAAGUCGCUUCCUCAGCCAGAAGAGCCAGCCGUCCAGCCGCUGGCACUGAAGGCCCCGAAUGGUUUAGACCCGCGAGACGUCCGGAGCCUCUUGAAACAGAAGGCAAGACGGGGGAAGGGGGGAGAGGGGGGGGGGGGGGGGUGGUCUGGCUCUCUUAUUAUUAUUUCCUUUACGAAAGUUGGAGGUGGUAUUACCACUUCCUUUGGUGGAGUUGGAAGUUUUAUUUAUUUCCCCUUAUUGAGAGCCUUCUUCUUCUUUUUCUUCGCCGGGGCGCCAGCAGGAAGAGAGGGCGCGAAGCGUUUUAUAUCGGGGGCCCUCCGCAAAGUUCCCUCUUGCCUCAUUCCCUCCCGUUCGUCGAGACGUGCUCGGCGUGCCUGGGCAUCUGCCUUGCGCACCUCCUUGUAGAAAGGAAGGUCUUUUAGAACAAAAUGCUCCCCAGGCAUUACCUUCUUUGGCAACUUCCUGGGGAGAAUAUUGAUGACAUACGCCUGGGGCUCUUGGACAACGGCUAGCAAGUUUCGCGUAGUAAGCAGCGUCUCAUGAUGCCUCUCAGCGGCAGUAAUCUCAAAUAACUUGUUCAGUCGAACGAAAGACGUUUUUUCUACCCACUCGACUACGCGACCCCUCUUGUCCGGACCUGCAUUAUCAGCAACCAAAGAUAUUAAGCCAUCUGAUAACCCCAAAGCAAGAAAAGCAACAAGACGAAUGCCGAACAAACCCCGCAAGCUGUCUUACCCGGAAGCACCAACGAAAGGUUUGGGGAGAAUGGCCUCUCCGGAUGCUCCAGUAGCCCAGCCCAGAUACCCCGGACCAACACAUGUCCCUUGGCUCCUCCCUUCGUCGAAUCCGAAAGCUUAGUCACUAGUUGGAGAGAAGGCAGGUGGGAAACCAUGCUAAAAAUGUCAUUUUUCUCCUUCUUAAGGGAGUAGAUGAAAAGAACCUCCAGCAGCGAGAGGUCCAGGUUGAACAACAUGCUCAGAAUGCUGCAUCCCAUCAGCACCCGGACCAUGUUGGGAUGGAUGUAGGCCGGGGGGAUCUGGGUGAAGUGGAGAAAUUCUUUGAAAAGUGAUGGGAGAGGGAACCGGAGCCCAACAUUGAGUUGCUUCUUGGUAAAGCAGAUAGUGUUCUCCUCAGUUUUCUCAGUCGACAUGGCCUCUCCGUCCAUAAGUUCAACGGACACGCCAUUUGGGAUGCAGAAGCGUUCGCGAAACUCCCUCACAUUCAACUUAUCCACGGAUUUCUCAGCAUGAGCAUCUCCGGGUGAGCUGGAUGAAGUAGCUUCCUUGUUCGCAGACAUUUUGUAGGCUGGGGCUGAAAUGGAAUCUGCAUGGAGGAAUGCCAACAGUCAAACACAGCAAUCCGACCCCACAACCUUAACUCUACCCCAAAGAAGAAUCGGUGACCCACAAAAGGCACAAGGGUGCAACAGAAACCCUAAACACACCCAAAACACGAUCAAAACCCCCCGAAAAAAGCCCUAGAAACCAAUACCGAUUCCUAGUCGCAAAGCAACUUGCCCAGCAAGCCAGAAACAACCAACAAAACAAACACAACAAGGAGAAAAAAAAAAUAGAAAACGUACCGAGUGUAAAACUGGAAAAAUGGGAUGAAAUCCGCAGUGCAGUCACCGUCACGAUACGAGUAUUACCGGCAGAAAACCCUAGAGCUUCACUAGAAAGUGAAAAUACGCGGAAGGUAGAAGAGAAAGCACUACCAGAAAAAGCGCAGAAGGAAAAAUGCAAGAGAAAGGCACAGUUUGCUAUUUAUAGAGAGACAGCUCCUCGGUAUCCCAAAUGCUUAGCCGCACCAUCAUUGAAAGGACACGCUGCCUGGGAAAUCCCAGAAUCGGCGGCUCAUCAUAAAUGAUCUUCUUCCUUUUUCGCCCCCGCUCGCCACGUGGCCCAAUAAAGCGAAAAAAGUCAACCUCAGUUUCAAAAAACAAUCAUUUUUUAACCCACCCAUUUUGCCCUGGCAAAAUGGGCAGGUUAAAAGGGGGGCAUUGUAGGGACCUCUCCCCCUGAUGACAUGUGACACACAUUUCUAUCCGAAUUAGCUCCAUCCGGAUUUCCCCCAAGGAGACACGUGGCGCGCUUCCCCUAUCCGGACUCCCUCAGGGAGAAGCACACGACACUUGCAAACCUCACAUCCGGACGACCGCCAUAUCGCAUCCGGACGACCGACAUAUCCUAUCCGAAUAUGUUUGUCCAGAUCGUUGACUAAAGUAAGCAAGUCUUACUACGUCAUUCCGACAGCCUGCCACGGCUCACGUUCCGCCACCUGCAGAGUGAAAAGACAGGAAUGAUGGCAAGUCACUUCCUACGAUCUCUGACAGUUGCGACGCCUCCCACGAUCUCUGUCAGCCGCUCGUAUGGUGAUGAUGGCCCUGUCACCACCUAGAGUCAUCAUGACAAGCCAAAAUAUCUCCCUAUCAUUAAAGAGGGAGAUAGAGCUUCUGGUACUAUAUAUAUGGACCUUCACACAAAGAGGAAGGUAAGCUUGCUAUACCUAGUAAAAGGCCAACUGAUUUAUCUCUCUAACCAUGGUUGACAAAACCAUCGGAGGGUGUGUCCGGACGCCUUUUGCAGGAAUGACUAAACUAGGAAUCUAUAUUGGUUGAGAUUGUGCGUCCAUCUAUUUGGCAACUACGUGGAUCACCAGGGACGCGAGGCCUCAACAUAGUCCAUUUCCAUUUGAAUUGUUGAAACUUCCUAGUCCUUGUGGGUCUAGUGGUCUCUCUAAUAAUUCCCACCAUUAAUUUUUUGUGAUGAAGUGCAGUCAUUGAUAGCUACUAUAUCAAUUUGCUAUUAAAAGUCAAGUCAUUGAUAACUACUAUUCAAUCUUUUUCAAUAUGGAAAUUGGAAUCUCUAGCGCUACUCUUCUCAUCGUUCAUUUUUAGGUAAUGUGAGAAUGUGUGAACAUAAAUGUCUUCUAAUCAACCAAUUUUUUUUUGAAAAAAACAUGUACAAAAUUGCAAAACUUGCAAAAUCAAACUGACUGUAAUCAACCAUCAUAAUUUUGAUGGUUUUGAAGAAUCAAAGGAUGAAUCCUAAAAGGGUAUUUGAUAAAAAAUAAAAAUUAAAAAAAUUAAAAGACAACUACUCCCUUAAGUAUAAUAAGUGUAUUUGGUAGCACAAAUUUCCUACCACUUAUUAUUUUUUUUCUUAAAAAAUCAUUUACUCUAUUAAAUAAACUAACCUUGGCUUAUCACUUAUAGCAAAAUAGGUUAAGUAGUUUUUAAAAUUUUAUAAUAUUAGAUUUACAUUUUUAUCCUUCAAAAUUUCAUUAAUGCUAGAUUCUUCUAUAUGCUUAACUAAUAAAUAAUUUUUAGCAUUUUUCUUUUCUUAUAAACAUAAAAAAAUAAAAAUAUUAUUAACUUAUUGGUAUAUUUUAAAAUUUUAAUUAGAUUUAAGCUUUUAUUUUUUUGGAUUACCAAUUAUACAUAUAAAUCCUUUAUUAUUAUUGUUAUUAUUGAAAGAAAGGGGUUGAAUAGGUAGUCCCUCAAUCCCCAAAUUAAAUUCUUUAUUGCGUACUUUUGGUUUAUUCCUUUACAUGAAUUCCUUGGUGAGAGUAAACAUUUCAUUAAUGGAUAAAUAAAAUUGAUUCCAUAUCACAGGGUAUAAUGUGGAAAAAUCAUCGGUCUCAUGUGUUCCUUAGUGGAUCCUUUGGAGCCCUUAUCAAAGUUUCAUGAUGAAACCAUUGACUUUUGUUUAACCCAAAUGUGCUUUCAAGACAAAUCUUGAAAGAUUUGAGAGAUGGAGGUUCAAGUCUUUUAUGAACGACCAUGUUCUCUUAGGGUUCAUGAAAUUUCACACCUUUUGAUAAAUAAAACUUAUUUAUUUAUACGUCUAAAACCUAGUAUUUAUUUAUUUAAUUAUAGAAAGUUUCUUAGUUUUAAAAACAUUUCAAAAAUCAUUUUUAGAAUCAAAUAACAAUUUUAGAGAUAAACACAAUAUUAAAAUUUAACAAAAACAAAUUUUUGAAUUAAAAACACAAUAUAAACUAAAUUACAAAAUAUAAAGUAAUUUUUAUCCUAAUUUCUUCUUGCAAAACCAAAUAGAACACCUAGAAGGGGAGUGAAUAGGUGAUUUUAAAUUUUUUCAAUAAUGAUUUAUAAGUUAUACCCAAUUCUUUUACCCUGCGAGUUGUUAGGGACUAUCAAUUCUUUCCUUUUGGCAAUUCAAACAAUAUAUCAAAUAAUAAAAAGAUAUAAAUAAUGAGACAUAAAGAUUUUUACAUGGAAAACCCCCCACACUAACCAUGGAGAUAAAAAGCCAUGGAGUCUAAGACCUAUUAAUCUAAAUUCACUAUACGAAAUCAAGUUACACAAAUUUAUUUGGUAGCUUUACCUUAAAGACUUACUCUCCGGUACUGACAACUUGAUUCACGUCCAUGACGUAGCAACCCUCGAUUACUCCAAUGUAUCACUUCAAGCUUACUAAAAGGAUGAAGGCCUUCAAACCAAGAUUCAAAAAUCAAUUCCUUGAAUGAGAGAUUAGGAAUGGUGUGCCACUUUAGGCUUUCUCUCUAAGAUCUCUAAAAUGAUCUCCUCAAUGAAAACCUCUUAAACAAAAUGAGAUAUUUCUCCACAAUCUCUAACCCUUAAGGGGUUAUAAUGAGAUAUUUAUAGGCAACUAAGUUGAAAGUUUCAGUUUUGGAAGGUUUCUCAAUUGAAUUUGUGUGAAAAACUCGGCAGAAUCGACAUGAUCGCUCGAGCCAACACACUUCCCACUUGAGCGUUUUGGGCACUUGAGCGGUAAGGCUCGCUUGAGUUGUCUUAAGCACUUGAGCAUUCUAGGCUACUUGAGCAAUCUUGCUCUAUUUCAAAAGUUAAUUUUAAAUCAUUUUAAGUUCAAAACAAAAUUGAUUCCCUUUAUACCUCAAAGAAGCCUAACUUGCCACAAACCAAACCUUUUUAGAUAUACUUGUGACUUCCUGGUUGGACGAACAACAACUCUUAAUCUUCAAUGGAGAGCAAGUCACUAUCUAAAAAGAUUUAUAUGGUCAAACAUAAAAAAACAAAAAAAUUGCCAACAUAACAACAAGACUCAAUGUCCUAACAAUCUUCCCCUUUGGCAAUUUUGUGACAAAAACAACGUUACAUAAACCCACCUGAACUCUCAUAAUGGAGUUUAAUAAUACACAUUAACGUUCAAUUAAAAAUAAACUAAGGGAAUACUUUAUCUCACUUUGUAGUAUUUGUCUUCCAACCUUGUAACCUACACACAUAUAGAAAACUAUACCAAAGGUAAAACAAUGUGCAGGAUAAGAUAUGAUCAAGAAAGCAAAAUAGGAUAAUUGGAAAUUUUGCUUGAUGCCUUGUGAAAGCAUGAAAAAAGAACAAAUUCAUAUAGUAAUAUCAAGGGACAAAGCAAAACUCGAGAAGAAUAUAUAUGUAUGCAAAUCAACCAAACAUAAUAAAAGCUAAAUAAGAUGCAAUAGAUAAAAAAUAAUGCCUAGGGGUCUAUCUCCAACCAGAAAAUAGGGAGUGAAGAUCAUAGAAAGAACCUUCUGUGACUUAGAAAGAUUCUAGAGAGAUAGUAAAUUCAAACAUAAAUAUCUUGCUGGAAACAUCUAUGUUAUGUAUCUCUCUAAACCUUUUAAGUUAUGCUUUCAUCAGUUGAUUUGGUUUUUCUCCAAUGUCUCAGGUUUAAUUUCCUCUAUUAUUUCAAUUAGAGAAAUUAGUAGUCGAUUGACUUAGUGGGUGUUUGGUAAAACUUAAUACUUAUUAUUUAAUGAUUAACUUUAAGUUAAAUUGUUCUUAAGUUAUUAAUUUAAAAUUUAUUACUUAUUUUGUAUUUAAGUAUUAAGGUUAUUUGUAAAAAUCAACUUAAAAUUUAUUCUAAAUCAUCAAAUUAACACAUUUACCCUUAUUAAUUUUAACUUAUAUUUAUUUUCAUUAAUUUUAAACAAUAAAUUUAUUCAUAAAACAUCUAUAUUUUUGUAGAUACAUAAUAACCAUAAAAUAUUUACUAUAAAAAAUGAGUCAUGGAUGUAGAAUUAUAAUUCUAAAAUAUACACCUAUAAGUGUGGGUAAAUAAGACAAAAAUGAUUUGAGAUUAAGAGUAAAGUUAAUUAUUUUGACUUAAGACUUCAAGUUAAAAAUAACUUUAAGUUGCAAUAUUAAGUUAUUUUAUCAAACAUGCUUAAUUUACUUAACAACUUAAAUUAACUUAUUAAGUUGAUUUAUCAAACACCCCACUAGUAAUAUGUUGAAAAUGAAGAGCAUCCAUAGCAGAUAAUGUAUAUGUAUUUGUGUUUAGAGUAGAAGGGCACUACAACAAUGGACUUGCAUGUGAUUUGGUCGCGAUAUGAUUUUGAUGAGAAUAUUUUAUUGUCUUUAAAAUAUUGUUAUAUGAAAUGCCACACUAUGUUAGUAAAUGAUAGUUAUGUUAGUAGAAAUGAAAGUUUGUUUUAUAAUGCAUUGACCAUCCUAACACAUGCACUUAAUUAUCAUUAGUAGUUAGACAUGUAUUCCCUUUUUUCAAUUUUUUUUCUUCUUUUUAAAUACAUUCUAGUGGUACUUUGCCUUAUGACUUAAUUUUUGUUACACUUACUACUUUUGGUUUUAGUCAUAUUUCAUUUUAUUAGUAUUUUCAUUUUGUGUUACAAUUUUAUUUAGUUUCUCUAUAUUCUCUUUUGGAUGGUGAUUUCACUUCAAAUUUUAAUUCAAAUUAGGCUUAUUGUCCUCUUAGUAAGCCUUUUCUAGGCGAGUUGUUAUAGAAAAUUAAACAAACCUCUCCUAAGGUUGGCCUUGUUACAUAGACUUCUUUUCUAUUUUGAAAUAUUAUAUUGACCUCCCUUGUUAGAUAUUGGUUUUUACGAUUACUAAGAAUAAUGCUUCUUAAUCAUUAUUAACGAUAAUGCAAAAUGAUAUAACUACUCUUAGUUAAAUCAAAUCAUAAUGACAAUAUUUUCAUCUUCUUUUUCCAAUUUUCUUCUUCUUCCUCCAUACAUGCUAAUUUGCAAAAAUUUAUACCCAUUAUUUAAAUGAAAUCUUUUGAAAUAAAUUAAAAUCUUCCUUAUUUGAUAUUAUAGAAACCUAAUUUAAAUAAAAUAUUUUGAAAUAAAUUAGAUAAAAAAAAAACUUGUCAUCAUUCUAACCCAAAUCAAAUUUAAAAGAAUAACUAAAUAUUUCAAGUCUCAUUUUGUCUCAAUAUCACCUUUGCUAAUCAACCUAUCCAAUCUUAGAUCAAACUCAAAUUGCAAUCAAAUUUUGACAAGAAAAAAUCUACUUAAGACUGAAUAAGAAAACUUGUGGAAAGAGUCUUAUCAAGAAGGUGCAUGAAACCCUCAGUUCAAAAACUUCUUCUAAAAUAAAAUUAAAAAAAGAAAAGAAAAGAAAGAUAUUCAAUGUUAAAGGACUUUUAAGAUAAAUCAAAAUUUGAAAAUGAAUGUUAAUACUUGCGAUAGAUUCCACAUUCAUGAACAAAUUACCAUUGCACCACUUAUUUUCAAUUCACACUUUAAUUUACUAUCCAUAGAAACUUUCAUUAAAUUUUCCAUAAAACAAACAAAGAGCCUUAACCCCCAAAUAUUUUAAUUCUUAAAAAUACAUCAUUUCAUCAAUUUUUGAAACCCUCAUUUUAACACAAAUUAUUUUUUUUUACAAAUUAUUAAAAGAAUAAAAAGAAAAUUAAGAAGAGGUUGUCAUUAUUAUUCUUGCAAAGUCACCACAAAAUAAAUUAUAACAAAUAUAGAAAAUAAAAUAAUGUGACGAUGAAGAUGAUGCUUAGAAAGUUAGAAUGAAGAAGAUAGUAUCAUUUAGAUGAUUUAGGUUAAGAUGAGGACUAGAUAAGGAAAGUGACAUCAAUUGCCUAAUUAUUUGGGGUUUUAGACAUACAAAAUGAGGGAGAUGACUAAAAUUAUGGUUUAAUUAUUUUUGGUUAAGGAUUAUUAAGUUAUUUUAAGGAAUUAAUUAAUUAAUUUAUAAUAAAUUUAGAAUUAAUUAAAAGUUAAUUAAAAUAAUUAUUGAUUCAUAGUUUAAUUUAAAACUAAUUUGAAUAAAAGAUGAAAAACUGAAAGUCCAUUAGGGUUUCACCUAGAGAGGGGAGAGGAGGUGGAUGAUUUAAAAAAUUUCAAUAAAGAUCUAUAUGUUAUAUCCAAUUUUAUUUUACCCUGUGAGAUGUUAGGGAUAACCUUUUCUAUCAACCUUAGGCAAUUCAAACAAAAUAUCAAAUAUAAAAGAUAAGAACAAUAAGGCAUGCGAUUUUUAUAUGGAAAAUCCUCACACUAACUGUGACGAUAAAAACCACGAGAUCUAAGACCUAUUAAUCUAAAUGCACUAGAUGAAAUCAAGUUACACAGAUUUACUUGACUGCUUUACCUUAAAGAUUUACUCUCUGGUAAGUACAACUUGAUUCAUGUCCACAACAUAGCAACCCUUGAUUGCUCCAGUGGAUCACUUCAGCUUCCUGGAAGGGAUGAAGGUCUCCAAAAUAAUAUUUAAAGAACAAAUCCUUGAAUGAGAAAUUGAGAAUGGUGUGGCAAUCUAGGUUUUGUCUAUAGGAGACCCUUUUUAGAGAAUAAAGUCUCUCAACAAUCUAUCUCCAAUCUCUUCAAUAUCUCUAACCCUCAAGGGGUUAUAAGGGAGGUAUUUAUAGGCAAAAGUUUGAAAAGUUUUGAUUUUGGAAGGUUUCUCAAUUGAAAUUUUGUGAAAAACUUGGUAGAAUCAACAUGAUUGCUCGAGCCAACUCACCCAUCGCUUGAGCGCCUCAAGCACUUGAGUGGUAUGGCUCACUUGAGCGGUCUUAAGCGCUUGAGUAGUCUUUAGUGCUUGAGCGCUCUAGGCCACUUGAGCAGUCUUGCUCUCUUUCAAAAAUCAAUUUUAAAAUCUUUUUAAGUUCAAAACAAAAUUGAUGCUCUUUAAUACCUCAACAUAGCCUAAUUAACAUAAGUCAAGCCUCUUUAAACAUGUGACUUCUCAAUUGGACAAACAACAACCCUUGAUCUUCAAUGAAGAGUAAGUCACUAACUAGAAAGACUUCUAUGACCAAACAUUACAAAGAACAAAAUUGCCAACAUAUAGGAAGGACUUACUGUCUUAACAAUCUCUCCCUUUGACAAUUUUGUGACAAAAAAUUGUUACAUAAACCCACUUGAACUCUGAUAACGGAGUUUACAUAACACACUUUAAUGCUCAAUUAAAACUAAAUUAAGGGAAAGCUUUGUAUUAAUUUAUAGUACUUAUAUUUCAACCCCGUAACCUACACACAUACAAAAAACUAUACUAAAGGUAAAGUAGUGUGAGGAAUAAAGUAAUGUUGAGAAAACAAAACAGGAUAGUUGGAGGUUUUGCUUGAUGACUUAUGAAAACAUGAAAAUGGAACAGAUUUUUGUAGAGACACUGAGGCACAAAGCAAAGCUUGAGAGGAAUAUAGAUACACACAAAUCAGGAAAACACAAUAGAAGCUUGAUAAGACACAAUAGAUCAAUAAUAAUGCUUAGAAGUCUAUCUCCAACCAGAAAAUGGGUAGUGAAAACCAUGGAAAGAAACUGCUAUGACUUAGAAUAGUUCUAGAGUGAUAAUUAGUUUAAACAUAAAUAUCUUAUAAGAAACAUUUGUGUCAAGUAUCUCUUUAAACCAUCUAAGUUAUGUUUUCAUCGGUUGAUAUGGUUUUCUCCAAUUUCUCAAGUUUAAUUUCCUUUAAUAUUUCAAUAAUUUCCCUUAAUGGAUGAAUGAAUGAAUGAAUUGAAUUAAAGAAUUCAAAAUUUUUAACUCAUAGUAACUUCCCUUAAAUUACAAUCAAUACAAUAAUUCAAAUCAAGUAUACAAAAACAUAAAUAAUAGAACAUUUAUGCAUUAGGUGGCGGUAGAGGGAUAGAGCUUGAAGCAUCGUGAGAAUGGGUACAAGAAAAGAUGUAGUUAAGUUAUCCCUAAAUCUCUCGGAGUUGGAGAUCCUAAGAGUCCAUCUUCUGAUGAAGUCGGGCCAUGGAAUUUAGAGCCUCAUGGGCGUUGGGUCUACAAAAGUAAAAGCCUUGUGUGUAGCUCGGGAAGAACUAACACAACCUCAACUUUAGAGUGAGUCCUCGGAGCAGACUCUAAAUAGUCUGCCUCUAGAAUUCCACCAUGCUCCAUAGCUCGAAGCUCAUCCUCCUAGACAACUACCUUUGCAUGCUGGCCUACAUCAUGUGGUUCAUAAGUUGGAAGAGCCAUCAAACUAUAUACAUGAAUGUAGUGCUUGGGCUAGGAACUCCCAUCUAAAAAGGCAUGGGUAGCCUAGACCCCUAGUGUAGGAUCAAUCUUAAAUCCCACAUCCUCGAGUAUCCGCGUCAUGAGGAGGGUAAAAGGGAAAGUGCCUCCUCUAAAGGAUAAACCACGAAGGGGAAUGAUUGUAUCCAGGAUGACUUAGCCAAUGUCAAAUUGUUGGCUUGAGAGAAUGACGUGAAUAAAGUGAGCAGAUGGUCAAUGGAUUUGGGUGCAGUGUGUAAAUGGGUAGAAGGAGUAAGUGAAGAAUGUGGCAAACAACCAUGUUAGCUUGAAGAAGCCAACAAUCAAGAUAUAAGAAGGAAAGGGGCAAAGACCCCCAUAAAGAGAAGUCAGAAUGGUGUCAAGUUUCUCUCGGGUGAGAGCCUGAACCUCUAGGGAAAAUGAAGAAAUGAGAGCCUCAAUUUGCGACAUGCUAAGGACACAUUGAAUGUAAUGGGAGAAAAUAAGGAAAAAUUGACCAUGCAUGGUCAAUUGAAAGGUGACUCCGACCACAAUAUAAUGCAUGUUCUCAUAGAACAUGUGAACAAGAUGGGGAUAGGAAGUCCCCUAGAGAGAAAACAAAGUCUCCUAACUUUACUCUUGAAUGAUGAUAGGGAAGACAGUGUCCUGAAAAGCUUAGAGGUUAAUGGCAUGCUCAGGCUCGACACAUUGAUAUGUGAAAGAAGCGUAAUAAUGGUCUCGUGCCACCUGGCAGUGAAAACGCUCAACCGAAAGUGCAUCUAGGUUAAAAAGACCCUGGAGUGGGAUGCCCUAGACGGUUUCAGUGACCUAGGAAAGGUCACCUCCCUCUGACAUCUAUGACUAGCCAUAUCUAAGGUAUAUAAUAUGAAAAAACAAAAGCUAAAGAAGAACUAAAGAAAAUCCAAAGAAAAGCUAAACCACUAAAAAUGUUAAACUCAAUGCGUCGAACAAUACUAUACAAAUGGAAAUGAAAAAUAUGAAGUGAACUGACCUCAGAAGACAAAAGGACAGUAACCUAGAGGGCUCGAAGAUGAAUAGGAAAGUUUGAAAUGAAUAUGGCGUGCUGGAUGACCUUUAUAUAGCCUAUAGGAGUGCUUGAUGCAGAUUAGCACUCGAGCGUCAUGACUAACUUAAAUCAAAGUAUUUAUUACUAUCAAAAUAUUUUAAAAGUUUCAAAGGAAGUAUUCAAUUUAGAACCUUUUUAGAAAUUUUUUUGAAAGAAACAAAAAUAAAACGUGAAAUAUUAUGUGUUAAAGGUGUUAGAAGACAAUAUUGUCUAAUCCAAAGCCUUACACAUUCCACAAAAAAAAAAAAGGAAAAAGAGAGAUAUUAUAUAAGAUUUUGAUCACAUCUAAUAGAAACUAAUAUUUAGCAACAUAUCACCAAGCACUAUCUUAUCAGAAAGCUCUAACAUGUUGGAAAUUUAUGUAAGGUUCCAUAACAACUAACAACUUUUUCUGACGACUUGGCAAUGGACCAUUUGCACUUUAACUACAUUAUUGAAUUUAAAUCAUAUUAGAAUAGUAAUUGACUUCUCUUUUGUGAGGCUACAUAUCUUGUAGGAUGGGAUAGGUGAUUCAUUUCAUAUAUGAAAUUUACUUAAUUUAGUAAUGCAUCCAAGUUCAUUAUGAAUAUAAUGGUACCACAACUUUUUGAAUAUUUGUAAUCUGUAAUCUUUGUUUCAACUUCUCAAGUCUAGUCAUUUUAUCGGCAUAACUAGUUUGCUUCAAUUAUCUCUCAACUUUAUUAUAAAACUAAGGGAAAUGAUUAUCACGCAUUUUAUAUUAACUUAACCAAACAUCUUUAUAUAUCUUACAUAUAUAUAUAUAUUGUAAAUUUAGGAAAAUUUCAUCCAUUAGCCAUAGUAAGUAAGAAUCAAAUAUGGGAUAUGUAAGCCAAUGGUGAUAUUGAUGGCGUCAAAUCAAUGACAUAGUAGAAACGUGGAUUGUCUAUUUUCAAACCUUUAUAUUUUCAUCCAAUAGUAAAAAGGUUUAGGCAUCACUUGAAAAGUAGUUUGUUUUUUACCUUGGACUAUGAUUUAUGAAUAAAGUUCUUCUGUUGUAUACCUUUUGUGAUGCCCCAAACCUAAUUUAGGGGUAAAAAUAAUAAUUUAGAAACAAAUAAAUAAAAAUUUAAAUAAAUUUAAUUAAGGUAAAAAUGUAUUUUCGUAUUUAAAAUUCCUAGGGAUCAAUUAUAUAUUUCUUGUCUUCUCUAUUCAAAAAACCCUAUUACACAAAAAUCAAAGAUCAGAGAACAUAGGACAACGUAGGGUUGAAGAUUUGGAGGUUUAGGGUUGAAGAUUAGUUUUCCAGGUAAGAUUCUAACCCUUAAAUUAGUAUUUUAGAUUCGUUAAUUAGUUUGAACACUUUAGAUAUUCUUUGAAAAAUCUGAAUCCACGUUAGGGUUUGUUAAUUUAAUUUUUAAAUAAAAAAGAUUGAAAAUUUAUGAACAUAAGUAGAGUUAUUAUUAAAGAUUGAAAAUUUUUGAAUAUUUGAAUUAAAAAUCUAGAAAAAAAAAAAGAAAAUAAAUUAUAGAUUUGGAUGUGGAAAAAAAUUAAUAUUAAUAAAUAAAUAAAACCUAUGAGUAUGGAGGUAGAAAAAUAUGAAAGUUGAAAGCAAAGAAAAAAAAAAGGAAUAAGGUUUUGUGGUUGUAUAUGCCUCCUUAGUGGAAAAAAAAUACAAGGUUGCUUGCAAUAGGAUAUGAUAAAGAGAGAGAGAUAAAUGCUUCGAUAUUGAUUUUUGUGGGGAAAAAAAGAUUGGGUAAUGCAGGAGAGAAAUAGGUAGCAUUUGUAGAGUUGGUGGAGUUGUUGUAAAAGCUCGUAGGGGUAAUUGUUAGGAAACAUUAGGACUUGAAAUAAUAAUAAUUGCUUCUAGUAAAAGUUUUAAUUUAGUUUAAGUAUAUAAAAGAAAUAGAUGAUUAGAAAAAGAUUUGGAAGGAAUAUGAAUUCAUAAAAUUUCGAAAUUUACUAAUUUAGAUUAUUAUUGUUUUGGAAGUUGAAUAUAAUAUAGGUGAUAAUAUUAUUAAUAUAGGAAAUGAUUAAGAUUCUCAAACCUACAAUUUUAGAUAAAUAGUUAAUAGUAAUAGAUGAUUUUUUAUUUUUUUUAUUUUUUAUUUUUUAUGUUAUGUUAAGUGAAUAAUGGAUUCUUUGAUUAAUUCUCUAAGGUUUCUAAGUGCUUCUUUAAGGUAAGGGAUAUUAAUACUGAUUUUGUAAAUGAAAAUAUUUCUUUUUAUAAGUUAUUUUAAAUUAUGAAAAAUUUUAUUAUUAUUUAUGCAUGGAUCAAAUAUAUAUUUUUUCAUGAGAAACAUGUUUAGGCAAUUUCUUUGUUUAUAAAUAAAUAAAUAAAAAAUGAGAACCUUGGAAAUAUAAUGUUUUGUUUUGUAAGUUUAAAAUAAUGAAAUAAAGUUUUUGACUCUGGUUUAUAUGACCUUAGUUAAUGGGUUAUAAUUGUUGACAUUUUUAGCUCCAAUCAACAAUUAUAAUUGUUGACAUUUUCAGCUCCAAUCAACGAUUAUAAUUGUUGAGAUUUUCAACCCUAGCCAAUGGGUUAUAAUAGUUGACCUUAUAGCCCUAGUCAACAGAUAUAAUUGUCAACCUUUGGUUUUGCCCAUCUUAAAAAGAACAAAUUUAAGGCUAGCCAUUUAUUUGUAAAGUCCCACCUAACUAAGUACCAUUUGUUAUUUAAUAACCAGAGUAAAGAUAUUUUGAAUGUAUUUGAUAUGAAAUUGUUUUGAUAUAAAUAUGAAAAUGUUUGGUUGAAAGUUCAAAUGUUUAAUGCAUGUUGAACUCAAAAGUUUUAUUAAAAUGAUUAUAUGUUAUAUAUCCUAUUUGUAAGCUUGAUCCAUGAAACUGUAUUAAUAUUCCUUAUUGGACUUUGAGCUCAUUCCCCUUUGUUGAGAAUUUUUUUGGUAUUCUCAGUUUGGGCAAGGAGUGAUGACUGGGUUGGGGAAUUUUCUUUGCUAUGAUUUUGGUUCAAUCUUUAUUUUGGACAUUGUUUAGAUGUUAAAAUUUAAUUCCCAUUUAAAUUAUUUGAGUUUGGAGUUAUUUGGACGAUAACACUUUGAUUGAUGUGUUAGUUUUAAAGUUGAGAAUUGAAAAUUAUAGAAUUUAUUUAUCUUACUACUUUGAACAGAAAUUUAGUAAUUGGAGAUCAUCCAGUUACAAGAUGAAUAUUUGUGUCAUUUCCACUUUGAGAGUUCAGACUUGGGGUGUGAAAUGACCGUUAUGCCCUUGGAGUGGGUAUAUUGUUUAUUUGAAUUUAAUGGUCCCCGAACUCCUUAAUUACUCAUAACUUUAUAUCACCUUCUCAAAGUUAAGUUGUUUUACAACUAUUAUCUAGCUACUUUUCUCUACUAUGACAACUUUAUUACAUAGUGAUUAAUUGAAAGAAUCUACAUGUUUUAUUUCAUAGGAUAGUUGAUUUUUUUACUCAAUGAAUCUUGCUUUUAUUAUUGAAAUUUCAAAUCAUUGUAGUCCAACAAUUUCCUAUCCAUUGGUAAUUUCAUAUUACAUUUCCAAAGUCUAAUCAUUUAAAAACACUUGUAGUUAAUAUAUUGGCAAUUGCAUUGUGGGAAGUUGUUCACUUGAUUUUAAUGUUGAAACUUUCAAAUUAUUGUAGUCCAACAAUUCCCUAUCCAUUGGUAAUUUCAUAUCACAUUUUCAAAUUAUAAUCAUUUACAAAUACUUGUAUAUAGUAUAUUUGGUGAUUGUAGAGUGGAAAGUUGAUCGUUUUCAUGAAGACCUCUAAAAUAUAAAUUUUUUUCAUUCCAUUUAAUAAAGAAUUUCAUUAAUUGAACAUAUAUGUUUUUUUUAGCUGGAAAGUAGAGGCCACAUUAUACGAGGCCUUAGGUGACAAUACUAGGUGAGGGUUUUUUUUUUAAUUUAUUUAUUAUGAAAUAUAAAUAAUAUUAUUUAUUGUAUAAUAAAGAUUAUUAUAAUAUAUUUUUUAUAGAUGAAAAAAAUAUUAAUUGAGUUUUAUUUAUUUUUUAAUAAUUGUUUUCAAUAAAUAACUUAUUUGUAAAAAGAAAACUAUAAAAUAUAUGCAUUUGAAAAAUAUUUAAUUUUUAUUUGAUUUAGUAUCAAUUAAUAUUUGUAAUAUUUUUUAAUAUUAUAGAAGUUAACAUACUCAAUCAAGAUAUUCAAGAUCAAGAGAACAUUUGAGAUUGAAUUAAUUUCUUUAUUGUUUAUGUUUUAGAAAAUUUUUAUAUCCAUUACAAAUUUUCUAUUGUUUAUUUUUCAUUCAAUUUUUGCAUUUUGUAAUAGAUAUUAAAACGAAUUUUUUUUCCUAUAUGUUAAAAAAAUAUUUCAAUGUCUUUAAAAAUAAAAUAUUGCAGUAAAAUCAAAAUUACAUUGUGAAACUUUAAGCGAAUGUUUUAUACUUAAGAAGUGCCAAUUAAAGUAAGCAUGCAUCUACAAUUGUAAUUUAGAUGUCAUACUGAAACAAUAGUUCUCUUCGACUAUAUCAUAAAAUUUGGUUCGAAUUACUUUAAGUCAUCUUGUAGAUUUUCAAGUUCUAAUGAUAUGCAUCAAGUAUGUGCAACAUACUUGAUAUAACUAAUAUUUUCUUAAGUAAUUGGACACUUUUUUUCUAUAAAUUUACUUGAUUAUCAAUGAAUACUUUUAUGUAGGGUAUUGAUAUAAUUCGAUAAAUAUUUUAAAAUAGUAUUAGAAUAGCUUUGCUCUUUCCCAAUUAACAAAUUUACCAAAUUAACUUAUAUAUAUUUGUUUAUUUGAAUUUACUGGUAUUUGACUCAAAUUGUUAUUAUUUUUAAAAUUAUAGGAAAACCAUUAUUUAUAGAGUUUAAUUAUAUUUUGGUAAAUUAUCUUUUUAAGUUUGACUAGGAUUAGGAAACUAUUAAUUUAAGAUUAAUCCAUAAGGCUCUAUAAAUUUGCAGUUUUAUAUAGGAUUUAAAAAAAGAAAGAAAAAGUAAGAAAAAGUGAAGAGAGAUAGGCAAAGAGUGCAUUGGGUUUUAGAUAGAGAAAGAUUGAGAGAGUUUUGAUUACUACUAAAAAAGAACAUAUUUUAGAUAGUAAUUCUCAUGAGUUUCGCAUCUUUUGAGCAUUAAUUAUGCCUAAAAAUGCUCAAUUAACAUGUUGUUGCCCUUGCAAAAGUUACUAACAAGUUUUAUAAAGUUUUGGAGUCAUUUCAAGUUAUGAUUUUAAUAAAUUGGUGACGAAAGAAAUGAAUUGAUUUGAAGAAGGCAAAUAAUAUUGAUGAUGAUCAAAUGCAUAAUGAAAUAAGAAAUAUAAUUAGUUUGAUCGGGAUUUGCUGCUAAUUUGGAGGUAGUUAAGGUGGAGUCAAAAGAAGAAAAUGGAAGAAAUGACAAAAAGGAGCUUAAAAACCAAAUGUUGCAGAUUUGUAUGAUCAUGCAAAAAUUUUACAUGACUAUGCGAAAUGGAUUAGAGAAGGAAAAUUGACUAUAGUAUAAGGAGGAUGCUUAAGUUGAUUUCGCAUGAACAUGAGAAAAUUUCGCAUGAACAUGCGAAAAUUUUGAACAAUCAUGCGAAAUGGUCCAGAAAGCUCUCUAAUGUUGUUGUUGCUCCACUAAUUUCGCACCACCAUGCGAAAUCGAUAUUUUCAUGCAAAAUGGCUGAAGCUCAUGUGAAAUCAUGAUUUUGAGGCUAAACUCCAGAUUUGUGAAUUUGGAAGGCUUUAUAAGACCAAUGAGAGGUUGCCAAGUGUUCACUUGACCUUGGCCUAUAAAUAGAAACUUGAAUUUCCCAUGUAAAGAGCUUUGUGAUACUUUUAAUUUUAGAUUUUUCUAGAAACUCUUUUUCUAAAUAGAAUUCUAUAUUUUCUUUAAUUUUCCCUCAUUUUCUCAUUAGCCAAACAUGCCUAGUGAGACCAAAUCUCCAAGUAUGAGUGGCUAAAUUUCGUUUUUCUCAAAGGAAGGAGGAUCUAGAGGCAAGAUCUAUGGUGAAUUAUAGAAAUGAGUUUUAAUUGCAAAUGUAAUUUGAUCCAAUUGAUUGAUUAAUUGAAAUUUGAGGAUUUCUCUCUUCAAAUUGUCUUGAAUGACUAUUACAUUGCAAACUAGGUAGAUUCAUUAAAUUCUUAAAGCUAGAUUUAAUGAGACUGAAUAGUUGCAUUGUAUGAAUCAUUGGAAGAUGAUUUAAGAUGAAUUGAAUAUAUAAUUUAAAUUGAUCUCUUGGAUUAAAUAACCUAAUUUGAAGAGAAAUUAGGUUUAGACUUAAAGGUAAAUCCAAAAUCGGUUUAGAUAAGAAUUUAGGUUUUCAAUAUAACUUGAUGAAAAAUAAAUCUCAACAUCUAUUCACUAUGGAAAUUGUUUUCUAAAAAAUAUUAACUCCGAGAAUUCCUUUUCCUUAUCAAUUUUCUUAUAUUCUACAUUAUAUUGUUCUUUUCAAUUAGAAAUCAUUGUUAUUUUGAUUUUUCAUGAAUUGUCAAAUCAAUUUCACUUGACCACAAUCAUUUCUUUUCCUUCCAUUUAAACCUUAAUUAUCGAGAAUAAUCCAUCCCAAUGGAAGACACCUAAGACCACUAUACUACCGUAGCUUUUGCUAAAAAACCUUUUUGAUCGGGCAAGAGUUACCUUAGCAUAGUUGAAUUAUGUUAUAAUUUUUUUUAUCCAAUAAACAACAAAAAAAUCAAUCGAUCAAGUUUGCAUUGUGUAUUCUUGAAUUUUAUUAAUAAAUUUAAUCCCCCUUUUUGAAGCGAUUACACCAAACCAAGUAAAUAUUUUAUAUACUUCAUUUGCUUUAUUUUUUCUAUUAAGUUUAGGUGUUGCAAUUUUCAAGAGUCAUGGUGAGAAGAUUGUGGGAAAAAUUAUUUUAAGGAUGGAGUCGAACAUAAAAUAUGAAAUUGAGUCCUUUGAUGGAAAUAAUAAUUUUAAUAUUUGAUAAAGUAUUAUUAAAGAUGUUUUGAUACAACAAAGACUUCUCAAAGCAUUACAAGGCAAAAAAACUAGAGAGCAUGACAAAUAAAGAAAUGAAAGAAUUAGAAGCAAGAGUUGUAAGUACUAUUUGUUUAAGUCUUAAAAAUGAAAUACAUUGUUUUGAAUGAAAAAUAUUCUUUCAGGGGUGUCAAUUGCUCUUUUAGAGACCAAAAAUAUUAAGCAAUCAAGUAGUUCAUCUCAUAUUGGACAAACUGUUAUGAUGAAUUCUAAACCACAUCAUCAUAGGAGUAAAUCGAAAGAAAAGUAUCUGAUAGGAGGAUGAUCAUUCCAUUCACAUUUAUGGAGGAAUAUGAAGUAUUAUUACUAUGAAAAAAAAAACAUAUCAGGAGAUAUUGUAAAGAAUUGAUGAAGUACCUAGAAGAAAUGAAAAUUUUUAAAUCCCAAGAGACUUCAAAUUCUACUAAUAUUGUUGAUGAAAAUUUUGAAAUAUUGUAGUAAAUUAAAAGUUACAUUAUGGGACUUUUAGUGAGUGUUUUGUGUUGAAGAAAGGCUAAUUAAAGUAAACAUGCAUCUAAAAUUAUAAUUUAGAUGUUGUACUCAAAUAGUUGCUCUCCUCGAUUAUAUCAUAAAAUUUGGUUUGAAGUAGUCUAAGUCAUCUAAUAAUUUUCUAGUUCCAAUUACAUGCAUCAAACAUGUGUGUUAGGAAGUGUUGCAAAUUACUAAUUAGUAUAGAUCCCUUUUUUUUUUUAAAGAAUAUUGUAUUGAAUAUUUCUAGGUUGAUAUAUUAUUGUAAUAUUAGACUUCCUUAUAGAAUAAGGAAUGUUGUUGAAAAUAUCCCUAUAAAUAUUCUAGUUCAUAAGGGGAAAAAGUUAUGAGAUGAAGAUGGACCCAUAAAGACUAUACAAGGUGGAUAGAGAUGUGAGGAAGAACAGGAGGUACCCGGUGGAGCGAGAGGGCUCGUGGUAAGGUAUAGGUACGAAGAGUGAGGAAACAUGGGAUGUUUUGGGAACCCAAUAGUUAUAUCUAGUUAUAUCAUCUAUAAGUUCUAGUUCUGUCCUUUGCAUUGUUCUCUAUUUUAUAGUGGAAUGAUUCUCUCUUAUCUGUGGAUGUAGGCAUGGUUUUCGAACCACGUUAAAACCUUAUGUACCGUUUGUGUCGAAUUUUUUUAUCUUUAUUUUCUUGAUUAAUGAAGUUUGCAUCAAAGCUUCCGUCAACGGAACAAACUUGUAUCAAAGCUUGGGUUAAAGAUUUCUGGAAGAGUAAAAGAUCACAAAGCACACAAGAUGAAACCAAAAGGAUUUUUUAGUGAAAAUGGAGUCGAUUGCUCUCUUGUGGUGAUAUGAUAUAAAAAGUUUGUCUCAUGGAAAGUUUGAAGAUUGACUUCAUGGAAUUUGGUCCAAAAUGGAGAUUGUUAAUAAGUGUCCCAAAUUCCUAAUUAGUAUAGAUUUUUUUUUUUUUUGUAAAGAAUAUUGUAUAGAAUAUUUCUAGGUUGAUAUAUUAUUGUAAUAUUAGACUUUCUUAUAGAAUAAGGAAGGUUGUUGAAAAUAUCUUUAUAAAUAUUCUAGGUCAUGAGGAAAAAAAGUUAUGAGAUGAAGAUGGGCCUGUAAAAACUAUAUGAGGUGGAUAGAGAUGUGAGGAAGAACGGGAGGUACUCAAUGGAAUGAGAGGGCUCGUGGUAGGGUAUGGAUACAAAGAGUGGGGAAAUAUGGGAUGUUUUGGGAACCUAAUAGUUGUAUCUGGUUCUGUCAUCUAUAAUGUUCUAGUUACGUCCUCUAUAAUGCUCUCUAUUGUAUAGUGGAAUGAUUCUCUUUCAUCCAUGGACGUAAGCAUGGUUGUCGAACCACGUUAAAACCUCAUGUACUGUUUGUGUUAUUAUUCUUUAAAUUUUUUAAUAUUUGUUUCUUGAUUAAUGAUGUGUGCAUCAAAGCUUCCACCUACAUAACAAACUGGUAUCAGAGCUUGGGUUGAAGAUUUUUGGAAUAGUAAAAGAUCACAAAGCACACAAGAUGAAAACAAAAGGAAUUUUUAGUGAAUGUGGAGUCAAUUGUUUUCUCGUGGUGAUAUGAUACAAAAAGUUUGUGUCAUGGAGGGUUUAAUGAUUGACUCCGUGAAAUUUGGUCCAAGGUAGAGAUUGUUAGGAAGUGUCCCAAAUUCCUAAUUAAUAUAAAUUCCUCUUUGUAAAGAAUAUUGUAUAGAAUAUUUCUAGGUUGAUAUAUUAUUGUAAUAUUAGACUUCCUUAUAGAAUAAAGAAGGUUGUUGGAAAUAUUUUCAUAAAUAUUUUAAGUCAUGAGGGAAAAAAGUUAUGAGAUGAAGAUGGGCCUAUAAAGACCAUACGAGAUGGAUAGAGAUGUGAGGAAGAAUCGAAGGUACCCAGUGGAGCGAGAGGGCUCAUGGUAGGACAUGAAUAUGAAGAGUGGGGAAACAUGGGAUGUUUUGGGAACCCAAUAGUUGUAUCUAGUUCUGUCAUCUAUAAUGUUCUAAUUCUGUCAUCUAUAAUGUUCUGGUUUUGUCCUCUGUAAUGUUCUUUAUUGUAUAGUGGAAUUAUUCUCCCUCAUCUGUGUAGGCAAGUUGUUAAACCACGUUAAAACCUCGAAUACCAUUUGUGUUGAUUUUUUUUUAGUUUUGUGUUCUUGAUUAACAAUGCUUGCAUCAAAGCUUCUACCAACGUAACAAUGUGCAACAUAUUUGAUAUAACUUAUAUUUUCUUAAGUAAUUGAACACUUUUUUUCUAUAAAUUUACUUGAUUAUCAAUGAAUACCUACAUAUGCGGUAUUGACAUAGUUUGAUAAAUAUUUUAAAAUAGUAUUAGAAUGGCUUUUCUUUUUCCCAAUUAAAAAAUUUAUCAAAUAUAUACAUACACACACACACACACAAUACUCAUUAGUAUGUCUUUUAUGAAAAAACUAUAUUUGUUUAUUUGAAUUUAGUAGCCAUUUAACUCCUUAGUUACUCAUAAACUUUAUAUCACCUUCUUAAAGUCAAGUCAUUUACAAUUAUUUCUAUCUAGCCUUCUCCAUUAUGACAACUUUAUAAGAUAGUGAUUGACUGGAAAAAUCUACAUGCCUUUGUUGAUAGGAUAAUUGUUUUUCUUUUUUUCGUAUUCAAAGAAUCUUGCUUUUGUUAUUGAGACUUUCAAAUCCUUUAUGUCUAGUGGUCUUAUAAUUCCCUAUUCAUUGGUCUUUCAUAUUACCAAUCAUUUUGCAAAUGAGUUAAUUUCAUUCACAUCCUCUGAGAUUUGAUGUAAAUUCGCUUAGUUACCAAUGAUUUCAAAUUUCAUUAAUUAGUACCCCUAUAGAUGUAAUUUGUGUACAAAAUUUAUUUUUUAAAAGAAUUUAGGUAAAAAUAUUUUAGGUUUAUGUCUUUAACAAUUCUCUAAAAUAAAUUUUACUUGCUAAAAAAUAACUUAUAUAGAUAGAAUACAUCUACAGGAGUUCUAACUGACGAAAUUUAAAACUAAUGGUGGUUUAGUGUAUUUAAACUAAACAUUAAGAAGGGUGACUGAAAUUAACCCUCUAGGUAUAUAUGUUUAACAAAAUUUUUAUUGUUUAUUUUUCAUUUAAUGUUUGCAUUUUUCAAUAAACAUUGAAAAGGAAUUGUUUUUCCAUAUGUUAACAAAAAGAAAUUUGAGCACCUAUAAAAAUGAAAUCUUGUAGUAAAAUUGAAGUUACAUUAUCAAACUUUUAACGAGUGUUUAUGUUUAGAAAGGCCAAUUAAAGCAAGCAUGCAUCUAGAAAUUAUAACUUAGAUGCAUCAAACAUGAGCAACAUAUUUGAUAUAACUAAUAGUUUCUUAAGUAACUAAACACUUCUUUUUCUAUAAAUUUACUUGAUUAUCGAUGAAUACUUACAUAUAUUUACAUAGUUUGAUAAAUAUUUUAAAAUAAUAUUAGAAUAACUUUUUUUUUCUCAAUUAUAUUAGAAAAUAAUAUAAAGUUACUUAUAAACUUUAUAUCAUUUUCUCAAAGUCAAGUCAUUUACAAUUAUUUCUAUUUAGCCUUCUCCAUUAGGACAACUUUUAUAUGAUAGUCGUUGAUUGGAAGAAUCUACAUGUCUUUUUUGAUAGGAUAGUUGUUUUUAUUUUUUUUAUUUUUUUUAUUCCAAAAAUUUGCUUCUAUCAUUGAAACUUUCAAAUCUUUUAUGUAUAUUACCAAUCAUUUUACAAGUGAGUUAAUUUCACUUAGGGUAGAUAUACUUAGCCACACCCCUAUAGAUGUAAUUUGUGUUUAAAUUUUAUUUUUUAUUCAGGUAAAAAUAUCUUAGGUAUAUGUGUUCAACAAUUCUCUAAAAAAUAAAUUUUCUUAUCUAAAAGUUUAUAUAGACAAAAUACAUCUGUAGAAGUCCUAACUAAUGAAAUUUAAAAUCAAUGGUUGUUUAGUGUAUUUACAUUAAACCUUAUGGGGUAUGAUUGAAAUUAACUCUCUUACAAGCACUUGUAGCUAAUAUGUUUGUAGUUGUAGUGUUGGAAAUUGAUCAUUUUCUUGAAGGCCUCUAAGAUAUUGGAAAUAUUGCCAUAGUUUUAGACUUUUUUUUAUUACACCUAAUAAAAAAUAUUAUUAAUUUAACAUAUAUAUUCUUGACUUAAAAGUAAAGUCUCUCCAUAUUGUAUAAGCCCUUAGGUGACAAUAUUAGGUGAAGUUUUUCUUUCGUUUAUUAAAAAAUAUAAAUAAUUUAUUAUUGUAUGAUAAAAUUUUAUGUAAUAUAUUUUUAUAGAUGUAAAAUUAUUAAUUGGGUUUUAUUUUAUUUUUUUACUAAAUUGUCAUUUCAAUAUAUAAAACUUAUUUGUAAAAAGACAAUUAUAAACUAUAUGAAAUUGAAAAACAUUUAGUUUUUUUAUUUAAUUUAUAAUUUUGUUUGGAUUAAUAAUUGAUAUUUGUAAGAUUUUUUAAUAUUAAAAAAAGUUAGCAUACUUAAGAAAGAUAUUCAAGAUCGGGAGUGUUUGAUAUUGGAUUAAUUUCCUUAUUUUCUCUAUUUUAAUAAAUUUUCAUGUCCAUUACAAAAUUUUUGUUGUUUAUAUUUUACUUCAAUAUUUUUAUUUUGUAAUAGACAUUUGAAAAGAUUUUUUCCUACAUGUUAAAAAAAAAAAAUGAACACUCCUAAAAAAGAAAUAUUGCAAUAAAAUUAAAGUUUACACUGUAGGACUAUUAGCAAGUGCUAUAUACUUAAAAUAGACCAAUUAAAGUAGAAAUACUUCUAAAAUUUUAAUUUAGGUAACAAUAAUAUAAAAAGAUAAUAUUUUUGAAACAAUAGUUCUCUUGGAGUUUUGGGUACGAUGGACUAGACUUUAUGUAACAAUAGAUAUAUGAACUUUCCAUUAACAUCUUGAGAGACAUGAUGAGGAGCAAAGUCAUCCUAGAAGGUACCAUAGAGGUACCUUAGCUCCAUUCAUCUAGACUACAUAAUGUUUAAAGAUCAAAUUCAAUGACUAGAUUUCAAAAAUCAAUAUAAGCUUUCUCAUAUUCUACUCUAUAUAAGACAAUGGUAUGAUACAUCUCUUGUGUCGUAGAAUGCACCAUGAAAACCUUAUCAUUUUAACAUCAGUUUGAAACUUAAAAGUCACUUAGCACAUUCUAGUUAUUAAUGUAAGAACAUUAAAAGAAAAUAUAAAAAAAGUUACUUUAUUCUUGUGAUUUUGAUCUAGGACUUUUAAUGAUAUUAAAAAAAAAAAAAAAAAACAGAAAAAUAAAUGGAAAUAAAAUCAACAAAUUAAACAAUUGAAUUAAGUUAGUUUAAUUUUUGCAUCGUUAAAUGGGUAAAUAAAGACUCUUAGAUUUGAUAUUAAUAUGAACAUCAUGACUUUAGUGAAUCUUACAAGAAAAUUUUAGUUUGAAAGACUUCAUUCAUUAAACGUGUGGCACAUAUUAAAGUAAAACUAAGUCUUCUCUAUAAUUUGUACCUAUCAUAGUUUCUUUCCUCAUAAAUAGCCUUUUUUGAAUAUAAUAUAGACUUCAACAUGUAUGGUGGGGCCGAUCAAACUACUAGUCAAGACAACUCAUGGGCAACAACGAUGUACCAACUAUAUUAAAUACUCUUCAUCUAUUUGCAUAUCAAGAGUAAUUUAGUAGUGUCUUUCUUAUGUACCUCGUAUCUAGACUUUCAAUGGAGAGUUCUUCAUCUAAAAAUUUGACUUGGGUUUUCAUAUUAGUUUUGGUUUAGACAUAUGGAUGCAAAGGUUGCAUCAAAGAAGAGAAGUAGGCUAAAUCAUCUUACAAAUUUUCAAGUUCAAAUUAGAUGCACCAAACAUAUGCAAUAUAUUUGAUAUAACUAAUAUUUUCUUAAGUAAUUGAAUACAAUUUUUUUUAUUUUAUAAAUUUACUUGAUUAUUAAUGAAUAACUACUUGUAUGAUAUUGACACAACUUGAUAAAACUUUUAAAAUAAUAUUAGAAUAACUUUGCUAAAAAAAAGUAAAAAUAAAAAUAAAAAUAUGUCUAUAUAUAUAAAAUUAAAUAAAAUUAAAAAUUAAAAAAGAAUAUAUAUAUAUAUAUAUAUAUUGUGUGUGUGUGUGUGUGUGCAUGGUCCCACAACUCAUUAGCUACUCAUAAGCUUUAUAUCACUUUCUCAAAGUCAAGUCAUUUUGUAAUUAUUUCUAUCUAGCCUUCUCCAUUACGACAACUGUAUAAGAUAUUGAUGGGUUGGAAAAAUCUUCAUGUCUUUUUUAAUAAGAUAGUUUUAUUAUUAUUAUUAUUAUUAUUAUUAUUAUUAUUAUUCAAAGAAUUUGAUUUUAUUAUUGAAACUUUCAAAUCCUUUAUGCCUAGUGGUCCUACAAUUCCCUAUUCAUUGGUAUUUCAUAUUACCAAUCAUUUUACAAAUAAGUUUAUUUCACCCGGUAAAUAUACUUAACUACUAAUGGUUUCAAAUUUAAUUGAUUAACACACUUAUAGAUGUAAUUUGUUUUUAAAUUUUAUUUUUUUAGAAGAAUUGUAGGUAAAAAUAUUUUAGGAAUAUGCGUUCAAUAAUUCUCUAAAAACAAUUUAUAUAGAUGGAAUACAUUCAUGGAAGUUCCAACUAAUGAAAUUUAAAACCAACGACGAUUUAAUGUAUUCUCACUAAAUCUUAGGGGAGGUGUACUAAAACUAGCCUUUUUACAAAUAUUUGUAGCUAGUAUAUUUGUAGUUAUGGUGUUGGAAGUUGAUCAUUUUCUUAAAGGCCUCUAUGAUAUUGGAAAUAUCGCCAAAGUUUUGAACUUUUUGUUUCAUCUAAAAAAAAUAUCAUUAAUUUAAUAUAUAUACUCUUUGCUUGAAAGUAUAGUUUCUUCAUAUAGUAUGAAGUUGUAGCUAGGUGACAAUAUUAGGUGAAAUUUUUUUGGUUUACUACAAAAUAUAAAUAAUAUAUUUAUUAUAUGAUAAAAUUUUGUAAAAUAUAUUAUUAUAGAUGCAAAAUUAUUAAUGGAGUUUUAUUUUUUACUAAAUUAUCAUUUCAAUAAUAAGAACUUAUUUGUUAAAAGAAAAUUAUAAAAUAUAUGCAGUUGAAAAAAUUUUAAUUUUUUUAUUUAAUUUGGUAUUUUAUUUGAAUUAAUAAUUGAUAUUUGUAAGAUAUUUUAAUAUUAAAAGAAGUUAACAUACUUAAAAAAGACAUUCAAAAUCAAGAGAGUAUUUGAUAUGAAAUUAAUUUAUUUAUUUUUUCUAUUUAAAUAAAUUUUUACAUCCAUUAAAAAAAUUUUAUUGUUUAUUUUUCACUUCAAUAUUUUUAUUUUGUAAAAGAAAUAGAAAUAAAAUCAACAAAUUAAACAAUUGAAUUAAGUUAGUUUAAUUUUGCCACCGUUAAAUUGGUAAAUGAAGACUCUUAUAUUUGAUAUUAACAUGAACAUCAUGACUUCAUUGAAUCUCACAAGAAAAUUUUAGUUUGAAAGAUUUUAUUCUUUAAUCAUGUGGCACAUAUUAAAGUGAGACCAAGUCUUCCCUAUAAUUUGUAUCUAUCACAAUUUCUUUCCUAAUGAAUAGCCUUUUUGAAUAGAAAAUAGACUUUAGCAUGCAUGGUGGGGCCUAGCUAUCAAACUACUAGUCAAAGCAACUCAUGGGCAAGAAUGAUGUACCAACUAGAUUAAGUAUUCUCCAUCUAGUUGCAUAUCAAGAGUAAUUUAGUAGUAUCUUUCUUGUGUACCUCAUUUCUAGACUUUCAAUGGAGAGUUUUUUAUCUUAAAAUUUGAUGUGGGUUUUCAUACUAGUCUUGGUUCAGAUAUGUGAAUGCAAAGGUUGCAUCGAAGAAGAGAAGUAGGCUAAGUCAUCUUACAAAUUUUCAAGUUCAAAUUAGAUGCAUCAAACAUGUGCAACAUAUUUGAUAUAACUAAUAUUUUACCAAGCAACUAAAUACUUUAUAUAUAUAUAUAUAUAUAUAUAUAAAUUUAUUGAUGAUCAAUGAAUACACAUGUAUGGUAUUGACACGGUUUGAUAAAUCUUUUAAAAUAGUAUUAGAAUAACUUUGCUAAAAAAAGUAAAAAUAAAAAUAAAAAUACAUAUAUAUAUAUAUAUAUAAAAUAAAAAAUUUUAAAAGAAUAUAUAUAUAUUAGUGGUCCCACAACUCAUUAGCUACUCAUAAGCUUUAUAUCAUUUUCUUAAAGUCAAGUCAUUUACAAUUAUUUCUAUCUAGCCUUCUCCGUUGCGACAACUGUACAAGAUAUUAAUUGAUUGAAAAAAUCAUCAUGUCUUUUUUGAUAGGAUAGUUUUUUUUUUUAUUCAAAGAACUUUCAAAUCCUUUAUGUCUAGUGGUCCUACAAUUCCUUAUUCAUUGGUAUUUCAUAUUACCAAUCAUUUUACAAAUAAGUUAAUUUCACUCGGUAAAUAUACUUAACCACCAAUGGUUUCCAAUUUGUAACACUCUUAUAGAUGUAGUUUGUUUUUAAAUUUGAUUUUUUAGAAGAAUUGUAGGUAAAAAUAUUUUAGCUAUAUAUGUUCAACAAUUCUCUAAAAACAAUUUAUAUAGAUGGAAUACAUUCAUGGAAGUUCCAACUAAUGAAAUUUAAAACCAAUGAUGAUUUAAUGUAUUUGUACUAAAUCUUAGGGAGUGUGGACUAAAAUUAGCCCUUUUACAAAUAUUUAUAACUAGUAUAUUUGUAGUUGUGGUAUUGGAAGUUGAUCAUUUUCUUAAAAGGUUUACCAUUGAAGUUAGUUGAAUAUAAAGUUAGGUGAACUUUACCAUUGUUAAAUUGGUAAAUGAAGACUCUUAGAUUUGAUACUAACAUGUACAUCAUGACUUCAUGGAAUCUCUCACAAGGAAAUUUUAGUUUGAAAGACUUCAUCUUUUAAACAUGUGGCACAUAUUAAAGUGAGACCAAGUCUUCCCUAUAAUUUGUAUCUAUCACAAUUUCUUUCCUCAUAAAUAGCCUUUUUGAAUAGAAUUAAUAUAGACUUUAGCAUGCAUGAUGGGCCCCGUCAAACUAUUAGUCAAGAUAAUUUGUAGGUAAGAACGAUGGACCAACUAUAUUAAAUACUCUUCAUCUAUUUGCAUAUCAAGAGCAACUUAAUAUUGUCUUUCUUUUGUACUUCAUGUUUGAACUUUCAAUGGAGAGUUUGUCAUCUAAAUAUUUGAUGUGGGUUUUUAUACUACUCUUGGUUCAAAUAUGUGGAUGCAAAGGUUGCAUCAAAGAAGAGAAGAUGGGUUUGCUUGAAUUCAAGGCUUUUCUUAAAUUGAAUAAUGAGCAUGCAGAUUUUCUUCUCCCUUCAUGGAUAGAUAACAACACUAGUGAAUGUUGUAAUUGGGAGCGGGUUAUUUGCAAUCCCACCACAGGUCGAGUUAAGAAGCUUUUCCUCAACGAUAUAACGCGACAACAAAAUUUCUUGGAAGACGAUUGGUACCAUUAUGAAAAUGUCAAAUUCUGGUUACUAAAUGUCUCCCUAUUCCUUCCUUUUGAAGAACUUCACCAUCUAAACUUGUCUGCAAACUCAUUUGAUGGGUUUAUUGAGAAUGAAGGUAUGUUACCUCUCACCUUUAAAAUUUCUUUUCACUUAUACUCCAAACAUUCUAAAGGAACUACUAGCAUAUGUUCUUAAAAGUGUUCAGGUGGAGACCAAAUGGUCACUAGUAACUAUUGAAUUUAAUAUAAGAACAAUUACUAAUUAUUAAAAUUUAUAAUGUAAAUUAACAUUUAAACAAAACAAUAAAAAAAUUAUUAUUUUAGAAAACUAUAGAUUACAUUAGCCUUAUAUAUAUAAGCAUACUUGUAAUUUAUGCCAUCAUUUCACACUCAACCCAAUUAGUGGGAUUCAACUAAGAGUGAGCAAUUUCACAAUUAUUAAUUAACAAAAACACUUAGGCUCCCAUAUCCUUAUCCUUUUUGCUGAAUUGUCUUUCCUUAUCUUCCAUUCCUAAAAAGCUUGAUUUCUAUAUUCCAAAUUGAUAGAGAUUGGUUAAAGAAAGGUGAUCACAAAAUUUGACUAUUGCUUUCAAAUGAGGAAUCACCAUCUUCAAAAUUUCACAUUUAAAAAAAAAAAAAAAAAAAAAACUAGCCUCGGGUAAGGUCCAAGCCUUAUUGUUUUAAGCUGAUGUCGGGUUGGUUUAAUAAUGAACAGAGUAAAUCCCAACCCAUGACCAUCUACGCAUUUCCAAAUUCCACCCAUCCACAACCCAUUAAUAUGACAUUUUCAGGGACAAAAUUUAAUCAAUUAAACCUAUUAGAUGGAUUCUCCAUACAAUGUUAAAAUGAAUAUAAAAACUUUAAUUCAAAAAAUAAUUUCCUUUAUUUAGUUAGGAUUCAAAUUAUAGGGGCACAAAACAUGAAAAUUUUCAUGUUUAAAAUUCACAAAGAUCACAAAAGCUCUUUGAAGCUCUAUGGACUUUUUUAUUUCUAACAUUUAAACACAAAAAUCACCAAAUUGAAUUAGAAACUUGGAUGCAUAUUCUUAUAUUAAAGACAUGUAAGCUUACAUAUUUAAAUAUGAAGAUCUCAACUUGUAAUUACAUGCUUCUAAUUAAAGUUAUAUUACUCUAUUUUACAGGAUUUAAAGGGUUAUCAAGUUUAAAGAAAUUGGAGAUCUUGGACAUAAGUGGUAAUGAGUUUGACAAAAGUGCCUUAAAAUCUUUGGGCACAAUAACAUCACUCAAGACAUUGGCUAUUUGCAGCAUGGGACUGAAUGGAUCUUUUUCCAUUCGAGGCAUGUUAUAUGUCCACAUUGUUUCUUUGAAAUUAAGUAAAAUGUAUUUCUAACUUUUAAUGUUCCUUAGUUAAUCUCUCUUUUGAUUCAUGUUUGUUGCAGAAUUAGCUAGUUUGAGAAAUUUGGAAGUGUUGGAUCUAAGCUAUAAUGAUUUGGAAAGCUUUCAACUAUUGCAAGGUACUUCAUUAACUUGCUAAAAAAACUUAUGAUAUUUUGUUAUUAAAUUAAAGGUAAGAUUAACAAACAAUUUCUUCCCAUUAGUUACUUUUCUUUGUAAUAUCAUUAAAUUUGAUAUAAAAUAGUCUAAAUCAUCCUUUCAAUUUAUAAGUUUUAAUUAAAACGCAUCAAGCAUGCACAAGGUGUUUAAUAUAACUAAUAUUUUCAUAAGUAAUUGAAUUUUUUUUAUGAAUUAAUUAACUUGAUUAUCAAUAAAUACUUACAUGUAUAAGAUUAAUAUAGUUUCAUAAGUAUUUUAAAAUUGUCUUACAACACACACACACACACACAGAGGGAAAAUGAAAGGUAUGUGAUACAUUUAUGCUAUGUUUGGUUCCCAAAAAAAUUGAGGGAAAAUGAAAGGAGAAAAAAGUGGAGAGGAAAAGUAAAAGAAAAGAAAAAAAGUGAAGAAAAAUAUAAAAUUGAUUAAAGUAAAUACAUGUUACUUUAAACUUUUUUACUUAUUUUAAUUCUUCAAUGUAAGGAUGAAAGAUUUGAAAAUGCAUAAGUUUCUAAUUUUUUUAUUUUAUUUUAUAGUUUUUACAAUACAACCAAACAUACUAAAAUCAUUUUCUUUAAUUUUUUUUUCUUUUCUUAAUACUUUUCACGAACCCUUAAGUUAUGUUUGGUUUGCAGAAAAUAUGAGGAAUAGCAAAUAGAAAAGAAAAUUAGAAGGAAAGAAAAAAUGAAGUAAAAUAAAAAUAAAUUUAAAUUUAAUAAAUUAUUUUUAUAUGCUACUUUAAGCUUAUUUCACUUAUUUUAAAUUAUUUAAACUCAUUUCUAAUAAAUAAUAAUGGAAAUUGUAGAGAAGUUUGUGUUAUUCAAGCUUUGCAAUGACUUUUCAAGGUGAAGGAAAAUAUUCUUGCUGAAAUUGAAAAAGGAAAUACCUUCUUAAAUAGCCUAUUGACCGAAAACACAUUACCCUAACAUAUACACACACCUUUAUUAUUUAUACAAUCAUGUAAUACUUAAUCCAGUUAGUGGGAUUCUAGUGGUUGUUUCUAUCUUGGUUUCCAAUAUUUCUGAUUGAUAGUGUUCGAUUAAUGAAAUAUCAUAAAUUUUGACCCCAAUAAGGACCAAUCCCUAUUAAAUGUAAUUGGGUUAACCUAAGACUAAAUGCUAGACCCAACUAAUAAAAACCCAUCUGUUUGUUGGAGUCUAAAUAACCUGGCCUUAGGUAGAGCCCAUGCCUUAUUAUUUUAAGAUGUAGUCCAACUGGUUUAACACUAGAUUGAGUAAAGCCCAACUUAUGAGCAUCUGUGCAUUUCCAUCCAUCCACAACCUACUGGCAUGGAUAAACUUUGGUCAAUUAAACCUAUUAUAACUGUAUACAAAAUUUUAAGUUCAAAAGAUAAUUUUCCUUAUUUAGUUAGGAUUCAUAUUAAAAAGGCACAAAACAUGAAUUUUCAUGUUUAAAUUCACAAAUACCACGAAAGCUCCUUCAAGCUCUAUGGACCAUUUUAUUUGUAACAUUAUAUUACUCUUAAUUAUCAAAUUAACCAACAAAUUCUUCUCAUUACUUAUCUUUCUUUUGUAAUGUCAUAAAAUUUGAUGUAAAGUAGUAUUGGUCAUCAUUUCAACUUUCAGGUUCCAAUUAGAUGCAUCAAGCAUGUGCAACAUAUUUGAUAUAACUAAUAUUUUUAUAAGUAAUUGAAUUUUUUUUUUCUAUAAAUCAAUUAACUUGAUUAUCAAUGAAUACUUUCAUACAUGAUAUUGAUGUAGUUUCAUAAAUAUUUUAAAAUAGUCAUAGAAGUCUUUUAUCUGAUUCACUAGAAAGAAAAAUAAACUAUUCUAAUGAAAAUACUUGAUGAUUUGAAGUGAUUGCUUUUGAUUUUAUUUGAUUGCUACCAUUAUUAAUUGUUAGAAAUUGGCAACAAAUACCCAUUUUGCAUCACUUCUAUAUGCAUCGGGGGAAUGAAUUAUAUUUCAUAGAGCUAACAGGGCAAAACUCAAACUUUUGGAAUUAUGGAAAAUGUUGCUAGAAAGCUAAUUAACCAUUUAUAUUAUGAUUAAGACUAGUUGGGUUAGAAAUAAUUCAUAUGGAGAUUAAAAAAAACUAUGUAAUUUAGUUUAGUAGCUUGGGUGCUAUUGUAAUGAUUAAUGAUCUGCAACUUGAACACAUCUACUAGUGCUUUCUACUUGUAUAGCUAAAUUUAUGUUACCACUUUGAACUAGAGUACUUACAUGAGAAGAAAGCUUUUCCCUAGUGAUAAUGCAAAAGAAAUUAAGUAUCAAUUUUUGUUAAAAAUAACAAGUGAUAGUUUAGAUAUGGUUUGAAUACACUUUCUUUCUUCUAUUUUUUUAUUUUGAAAAAAAAAACUCUUUAAUGAAAUAUAAGAAAUCUUAUAUGUAUAAAAAUUAAAGACUUAAACAAAAAAAUUUGAAAUUUUGAAAAUUUUCGAGAAGUAUUUUUAAGAAUUUGUAUUUUUAGUAUAAUAAUUCCUAUAUUUUGUAUAAAAGUUUUUGUUUAAAAAAAUAGAAGUGUAUCCAAAUUACAAAUUAAUUGUUAAAUUAAGAAUGUUUCUCAGAUCAAGAGAUAAUGAAAGUUGUAGAGAGUUUGCAUUACUCAACCUUUGCAAUUACUUUUUGAAGGUAAAAAAAAAAUACCUUCCUACAUAACAUACAAUGGUAGGUUCUGGUUUGUAAGAAACUAAUAAAUGAUUAAGAAUAUGAAUAAGACUUCCUUUAUAAUAGAUAUGUAGAGAAGAAUAGUGGAUGAUAGGUGGUGAAAAUCUUGUAAUAAAAUAUCAAUAUCGGUUAUAAGAUAAUCAACAUUUUCUCUAUUUCUUGUACCUAUGUGAUUAAGAAUCUUGUAGCUCCCUUAUUGAAAUAUAAUAUAAAAAUAUAAAUAAACUAUUUAGAAGUGCAUGUAGUUUUCAACAUGAGGAAGUUCAAAAGCAAGUUAAUUAUGAUAAUUUUCCAUAGUCUAUAUUGAACACAAAUUAUUUUUACUAAAGGUUCAAUCGUUCUAUGAAGGUUAAAAGUUUGAAUUGUUUACAUAUGCAAAUGUGAAAUUUGAAAGUUUAUAAUUUUUUAUAAUUUUCUUGUAGAUUCAAAAAGCUUGUCCAUAUUCAAAAAGCUCGAGACCUUGAACCUCAAUUACAACAAGUUCAAAAACACUAGCCUACAACAAUUGGAUAUAUUUACAUCCCUUAAAAAUCUUUCUCUAAGAUGGAACAAUGUUGGAGGAUUUUUUCCUAUCCAAGGUAUGUGUAAUUAUUAUUAUUAUUAUUUUUAAUGAUGAAAUAUUAGAAUUGUCAACAUCUUUUAUCUUUUUUUCCCCUCAAUGGUGUUGCAGAAUUAUGCACUCUGGAAAACUUGGUGAUGUUAGACCUAAGUGGGAAUUUCUUUUUUGGCAUGCAAGGUAAAUACAAAGUGAAGUUUUGGUUAUAUAUAUAUAUAUAUAUAUAUAUAUAUAUAUCAUGUAAGAACAUAACUAAAAUCAACAUUAUUUGCCUAUCAAUUUGUGCAUGACUAUUAUUUAGUUAUUCUUCGUAACAUAAUUGAAAGAAUGUCUAGGUGUACAACAUUUAAGAAUUUUACAUGGCACAAUGAAAAACAUGGUAAUCAAUGUGUGCAAUAAAAUUCUAAUAGUUGAAAAAGAAUUUUCUUGUAAUUUUAUGUUCAUGUAUAGUAAUCAAAGAGAAAAUCAUGAAAAUGUAUAUUAGUUAGACUUUAUAUAUCAAUAGACAAAAAAGAAAGAAAAAAAAAGAUUAGUUCCUUAACUUAUCCUAAAAUUUUCUAGAUAACAAGGAGUUUUUUUAUUUUGGGCUAUAAGGUUUACAACCUGAAAAGUGAAGAUGAUUAAUAUUAGUAAUAAAAUUUUAAAAUAUAAAAAUUAGUGAAAUAAUGUUCUCUAUAACUAUAACUCCAACUGCAACUAUUAAUAAAAGAUAAUAAAGGUACUUUAGACUUUGAAUCCAUGGUUAGGUUUGCAAUUUUUUGAUGAUCAAUAAAGCUACAACUUAUGCUGCAAAAGGCUAUACAAAAUGUAUUAGGAGCAUUGCUAAGCUCAUUUAUCAAUAAAGGAAAUCCAGUAAUACUUUGAUUGGAAAAAACCUAGAAUCAUGUUUGAUAUAUAAUAGGUGAAGAAACAAAAUAACAAUUCCAUGGUAUUAGUUAGUUUGAUAUCUCUUUUGUUAUAUGGAAUAACUAUUCCAUUUUAAAAUAAUUAUUUCAUCUUAUCGCUAGAACAAAAAAUUUCAGGCGAUUAUAUGGGCUUUUGGGUUUCUUAAGAAUUUAAGCAUUUAUGGGUCACCCAUAUAUAUAUAGGAAGAAUAAAAAAAAAAAUAUUCUAUGGAGACAAGGGUAGACACCCAUAAAUGUACAUAUAAUUAUUUAAAUAAAAAUAUCAAUAAGAAACAAUAUACAACAAAAUAGAAAAUUUUAAUCUUCCUAAAUUUUAAAAAUAGAAAAUAAAUGAAAAAAAAUUAAAAAGUAAAAAAAAAAAAAAAAAAAGGUCAAGAAUACAAAUAGAUAAGUAAACAAAAUAUAAAAAAAAUACAUAAAUUAAAAUUAAAAUUUUUUUAAAAAAAAUACAUAGAUUAAUAUGAACACUAAAUGAGGUUUUUUGAGAUAGACUUAGUUAGACUUGAACUAGAUGGAUAUUAAAAAAAAUAAAAAUAAAAAUUCAAAGAAAUAAAAACUAAUUAGAUGCUAAAUAUUGGAUUAAAAUAACCAAAUGAAUAAAGAGUAAUUAUUAAUUUUUAACAUUUUUUAUUCCUUAGAAUUAUUAUUUUGUGUAUUAAAUGUAUUAUGAGUGUAGUGGUAUAAAAAAUGUAGUUAAGAAUACUAUGAAGAAUAAUAAUGGUGAUGAUAAUGGUGACGACACUUAAUACCUUUUAUUGUACAUUUAGAAAAAAUGAGGUUCUUGAUCUUUAUGAAGAUUAUCAUUACUCAUCCGCAAGCAUGUUGAUAGUUGAAACUACUCAAUUAUCAAAAAUUGAAUUUCUAACCUUCAAUUUUUCUCUCUCAAAUGUAUAUGUGGGUGAGAAAGCACUAGGUAGGUUAUAAGGUCUCACAUGUAUAUGAGUCAUAGGAUAAAAAAUAUAGAGACAAUACUAGCAUUUAUUUGAUCCAGUGGCAAAUAGAGAAAUAUAACAUAACCAUAACCAUAAUGUUCUAACCUUAUAUAUACCAGAACCAUGUUUCCUUCAUUCAAUUUUGCAACUUUUUCUUUUCAAAUUAGAAUGUAACUCGUAGGAUCCAUUGUCCAUCAAAAUUUUGAAUCGAAUAUUAUAAGAUAUUUCACAUUUCUACCUACUAAAGCAUGAGCUUCAAUGUUCUCAUGCACUUUUGGCUACUAAGUUAAAGAACUCUUUGAGGGUUAAUGGAGUUUCUAUGAGUAGCAAAGCAUUAUAAUCACAAAGUCUUAUCAGUGAUAUGCAAUUUAACCAAGAACUUAUUCCCAACUAUUUUAUGACUUUUCUUGGCUACUUGUAGGCAAGCUAAAGAAAUUUUCUGGUUUGUUCAAGUCUAAAAAGUGGUUUCAAGUUUAGGGCCAAGCUUGGGCUGCACCUAGGUCCUUGGGCCUUAUUCAGCUCCACGUUUAAACCAACCUUGAGUCCAUCUUUGUAAUUUUUCUCCCAAUUCAUUGAUUUAUAUUAGGAUUUUAUAAAGCCUAUAAAUUGACCAACUAAAUAAAGUAGGUUCAUAAACUUUUAGGUGAAAAUUUUCUCUCUAAUAAAUGUUAAUUCAAGAGUCUCCGUAAUCUUUUUAUAUUCAUAUUAAUUGGUAUUUAAACUGACCUUACUAUAUUAAAGUCAAAUACCAAAUAGUGAACACUAUAUCUGCUACUACCACUAUGAUGGUCACAAACAUAGAAUGCUCCUUUUUUUAGAGUCAAUUGAUGCUUAUAAACAACAACUUUGUUUGAAAAUAAAAUACAUCGAGUGAUUGCAUCAAGAGAUUGAUGUAAUAAUUGCAUACUUGAUCUUGAUAAUGCUGAGUUGACUAAAUAAAUGAGUAUUUACUUAUAAGGUAGCCCAUAGAACAUUAUUUGUGGAAAUAUUCAUGCACCUCUACAUAUGUUCAUGAUAACUUAGGUUGAUAAAUUUAAGAAGAACAAAUUCAUAACCUUGGGCAUAGUUAGUAAGAAAUUUCACCAAUAGAGUUUGGUAUCAUGAUUCUAAUUGUUCAAAUUGUUUUAAAGGAGUAUUUUAAAUUGCAUGUUAAUUUGCUUCUAAUAAAUGGAGAGAAACCAAUUCAAGAAGAGAAUUGUACUCAAGCUAUGUAUAACAUUCAUGAAGAUGUAGAAAAUAUUGAUGAACUUACUUUUGAGCAAGUUGAAAUCAUAAUUAAAUAAAAGAACAAACCCAAGGGUUAAGAUUGUCAAGUAAAACUUUAACUAAAAUUUAUUGAUUUUUUAAAUGCCUAUUAGAGGGACAAUAGAAGUUCUAGAUAAAAAGUAAGAACUUUUCUAAGGAAUCACUUGUUAGAUUUUAAGUGAUCAAUAAAUAUAAUGUCCAAUUUAAAACUUUUAUAAAAGCAAUGCUUCUAAAGAAUAACUUGAUUUGAAUUUAAAGUUAUUAUUGAUAUUUGUUUAUAAUGGAUGUAGUUAAUCAACUGAACAUAGUAAAAAACACAUAAAUUUUUCAAAAUACCUUCUAGUUGUUGGGUAUAUUUAAAUAGUCAUCCAUAUCUCAUUAUCUUUUCACUCACAUACUAAUCUCCUUAUUGAGUAUUUACCAAUUACAAGUAGGUUGAAAGUUACUUGAAUUUAAGUCACUAAUCAAUGUUAACUUGAUAACAAAUAAGUCUCUCUUUGAAACUUGUUUUACAAGAUAGCGAAAUGUAGUCGAUCAAUCAUCAAAACAAUGUUCAAGCAUUAGGAUUUAGUUGUUAAUUUUUAUUUUUAUUUUUUGUGCUUAAACAAAGACAAAAAUGAUAAAAACUCCUUAAAAGUACAUAGUAAUUGAAUUUAAUUUAUACAUCAAACAAGAACAAACUAGUCUUGGAUUUAAAAUUCAUCAGGUUUUGUAAUUAUAAUUCCUAAAAAUUUGUAAGACAACAAAAUUAUUGGGCACUAGGUUAUUGGGUGUGUAUGACUAAGAGGUGAAGGAGGGUUCAUCUUAUACAAAGGAUGAUUUGAUUAAUUUUAAAGAUUGGAUAAACAAUAAUUGCAUAUUCAAGUAAAAAUAACAUUGCUAAAAAGGAAAAUAAGUAUUUUAGUCCUCAAACCUAAAAUGGCUAAAAAUUUUAAUUAAUACAAUACAACUUCACCUACAAAAGAAAAAAAAAACCCAAAACUUUUCAAUAGCACAACUAAGUCCAUUUAUCAAAAAAAAGAAAUAUAAGGAAGUUGGACUCAUUUACUAGCAAUUUAACAUAUGACUAAAACCUAUUGAAGAAUUUGCAAUAGCACUUACUUUGGUCAUGUCCAAACUUAUUGCACAUGGUGCAAAAAGGGGUAGUGCUCGAGGAUGCUUCCACAUAAGAAAGACCCUACUUAACUGUUACAAAGGUUAUUUUCCCACUUGUGGGAAUGCUAACCUUGCUAAUAUAUUAUAUGCCAUGUUUAUCAUAUACAAAUUUUUCUUUACUAAAUAUUUCUUUAAUGAUCUUGGACCUAAAAUUAAAUAUUUCAUUAGUAUUGGUCAUGUCGUUCCUCAACUUUUCAACUUUUAGAGUUAAAUCUUUAUCUUUAUCAUUGAUAGUUUUAUGUUUAGUCCCUAGAAACUUCACCUUAUUAACAAUAUGUUCAUUUAAUAUUUUGAUAUUUUUAAUUUUCAAAGAAUCAUAGAGCUCAUUAAUUUUAAUGUCUUUUUAUUCACUUUUAUGCUUUCAACCUUUGUUUUUAGUUUUCCUAUAAUAAUGCAUCAUAGACCCCAUGUAUAUCAUUAAAAUAAAACUCAUUUUUUUCAUUAGGAUUCAAUUAACCCAAUGGAUCAUAAUCAAAAUUAGUUGCAUAUGAACAAAAGCAAUAAGAUUAUCAUUUUGUACAUCUUUACUUUCAUUUGAGUUCUUAGCCCUACAAUCAUCAAACAUGGAAUUACUCCAAGUUACCUACAUAGCCUUCAUACCUAAUGUUUUUAAGGCAAGGACAAUCAACAACCAUGUGUCCCAUUCCCCCAAUGGUUCACUACGAAAUCAAGGUACAUAUGUUAUGCUUUCUUUGUUUCAUAGUGAUUAGAGAGGAUAAACAUUGUAAAAAAAAAAGUUGUCAUAGUUAAUGUAAGCUAAAACUAAAAAACUUGCUUUUUCAAUUGUGUAAGCAUGUUUUGUUCUUGAUGAAUAUUUACAACAUUCAGAGUUACUAAUGUUUAUAAUUCACAGAGACCUCAUUAACAACAAGUAACAACUAAUUGUAAGUAACCAUGAAAAAAAAAUAAGGAGAAAAAUAAAGGAAAAUCAAGGAAAGUGUCAAAUUUUUUCAUCCCCAUAAAAAAUGCUAAGGAAGAAAAAUGUGAAGAAAGUUUAAAGAAAGUAUAUUUUUCAAAAAUUGAAUUUUCUUUCCCUUAAAGUUGGUAUGGACAACCAAACAAGAAAAUGAUUUUUAAAUUCUUUUUUGACCUUUUUCUAUCAUUCUUUUUUUUUUCCCCCUACUCUAUUUCCUUUCCCUCAAACUUUCUAGGUAGUAAACAUUACCUAAGAUAAAUAGGGAAGAAAAUAUUUUAUCAUUUAUUUAUUUAGUAUUUUUCUUACCUUUUUUUGUAUUUUAUCCAAAUAUAAGAAAACUACUUUUCUUUAUUUUUUCUUUUCCUUGUUGCUUUUCAAGAAUCAAGCAUACUUUAAACUCUAAUUAAGAGUUACAUAGAUUUACAGAGAAACAAUGCAACUAGUAACAAAAAAUUAAGGAAAUUUAAUUUUUUAAUUUUUGAGAGUAAGUAUAAUAAGAUUGGUUUGUUUGAUACAAAAUUUGAAUAAAAAUUAUUUUAAUGAAAAUUCAAGGAAAGGAAAAAAAAAAAAAAAAACUUGAUCUCUAGACUAUAAUACUAAAUCAAUUAAAAAAUCUCCUAACAUCGUUUAUGUUCAUCUUUUUUUUUUUAUGGAUUUGAAAAACCCAAUAAUUUGGAGAAAACUGAUUCAAGGAAGAAUAAUUUUUAGAAUAAAAUAUUAUUAUUUAAGAAGAUCAUAAAUUUUAUAGUCAUUGUUGAAAAUGAUAAAUGAUUAAAAAAAAAAAGGUAGUUGGAAAUUUAGAUACUUUUAUAAGACAAAUGCAUUUUUCUAGUCUGGUAUGAAAAAAGGUAAAAUGAUAGGCUUUGAUCAUUUUUCAAGUUAGUUUGUUUAAAUCAUUUUAAUUUAUUUUGAUUUAAGAACAAUAACUUUUAUUACACUAGUUAUUUUGAUUUUCUUUUGAUAGAUUUUGCAAGCUUAAGCAAUUUGGAGCUAUUGGAUUUGAGUUAUAAUUUAUUUAGUGGGAGCAUUCCAUCAUCUAUAAGAUUGAUGUCUUCUAUCAAGUCUUUAUCCUUGGCUGAAAAUUACCUCAAUGGUUUCUUAGCAAAUCAAGGUACAUAUAUUGUGAUUACAGGUUUUUCUAUUUUCUUUUUUAAUAUCUUGUUUGUUCUUUAUGCCAAUUAAGUCAUGCAUGUCUAUUAAUUUUUGGUAUUUAAUGAAAAACUUUAUUCUUAAUUCAUAAAGACCUCAUCAACUAUAAGUAACAGUUAGUUCUAAGUUUGGGGGCAUUGACAAGACGAGGAGAUGAUUGGUUACAUGUCUUAUUCUCUUUUGUUGGCUUUUGCCAAUUGAAUAAGUUUCAAGAAUUAGAUUUUUCUUACAACUUAUUCCAAGGAAUCCUUCCUCCAUGUUUGAAUAAUUUGACAUCUUUGAGGUUAUUGGAUCUCUCUUCCAACCUAUUCUCCGGAAAUCUUUCUUCCCCUCUGUUACCUAAUCUCACAUCCCUGGAGUACAUCGAUCUCAGUUACAAUCAUUUUGAGGGUUCAUUCUCUUUCAGCUCUUUUGCUAAUCACUCCAACUUUCAAGUGGUCAAACUUGGAAGGAAUAACAACAAAUUUGAGGUAGAAACUGAAUAUCCAGUUGAUUGGGUUCCCCUAUUUCAGUUGAAAGCUCUUAUGCUAUCCAACUGUAAGCUCAUCGAUGACCUUCCUGGUUUUCUUCGACACCAAUUAAGAUUAACCGUGGUUGAUCUCUCCCAUAAUAACUUGACUGGAAGUUUCCCCAUUCAGCAGCUUGAAAACAAUACAAGACUAGGAUCUCUAGUUUUGAGGAAUAACUCUUUAAUGGGUCAACUACUUCCCCUGAGACCUAAUAGUCGUAUCACUUUAUUGGAUAUCUCAGACAACCGACUUCAUGGGGAACUUCAACAAAAUGUGGCCAAUAUGAUUCCAAAUAUUGAGUUUCUAAAUUUAUCCAACAAUCUUCCCCUUCAUUUCAUCCAUAUUUGGAUCUACCUUUAAAUCUCUAUUGCAUACAACCCAUAUAUGAUUCCCUCUAAAUUUAGCCUUCAUUUCUUGUUAAGAGGUUUUAAAAGCCAGCAAUUUAAUUUACUUUCAUCCUCUAUAUAGAUGAGAACUCUUAUAUUUAUCCAAUGAUAGGUAACAUUUUUGCAAAUGCUUUUAUUUGAUUUUUUUAAUUGGUCUUAAAAAUAAGUGUUAAUAAAGAUCCACAAUAUAAAAUAAUAAAUUAUAUCUCAAUUGACCUCAAGAUACUAUUUACUUCUACUAACUCAUUUUACAUCUCAAUUGUUCUUAAAAAGUCUAUAAUGGUAAUUAACUAUAGAAUUCAAGUUUUAAUUAUGCAAAAAAUAUAUAAAGGUUUUUAAAAUUAAUAGAAAAAAAGAUUCUAAUAAAUAAUAAGUAGAUUGAAACAUUUAUUUCUAGAAGUAGAGAAAGAUGGAGGAUCAUAAAAGUUGAAAAAAGAAUAAUUUGGAAGUCAUAAAAUUUUGGAAAAAGAAUAAUUCAUAGAGACCUCAUUAACAACAAGUAACAACUAAUUGUAAGUAACCAUGAAAAAAGUAAGGAGAAAAAUAAGGGAAAAGCAAGGAAAGUAGCAAAUUUUUUCAUCCCCAUAAAAAAAUGAUAAGGAAGAAAAAAGUGAAGAAAGUUUAAAGAAAGCAUAUUCUUCAAAAAUUGAAUUUUCUUUCCCUUAAAAUUGGUAUGGACAACCAAACAAGAAAAUGAUUUUUAAAUUCUUUUUUGACCUUUUUCUAUCAUUCUUUUUUUUCCCCCUACUCUAUUUCCUUUCCCUCAAACUUUCUAGGUAGUAAACAUUACCUAAGAUAAAUAGGGAAGAAAAUAUUUUAUCAUUUAUUUAUUUAGUAUUUUUCUUACCUUUUUUGUAUUUUAUCCAAAUAUAAGAAAACUAUUUUUCUUUAUUUUUUCUUUUCCUUGUUGCUUUUCAAGAAUCAAGCAUGCUUUAAACUCUAAUUAAGAGUUACAUGGAUUUACGGAGAAACAAUGCAACUGGUAACAAAAAAUUAAGGAAAUUUAAUUUUUGAGAGUAAGUAUAAUGAGAUUGGUUUGUUUGAUACAAAAUUUAAAUAAAAAUUCUUUCAAUGAAAAUUCAAGGAAAGGAAAAAAAAACAAAUUUAUCUCUAGACUAUAAUACUAAAUCACUUAAAAAAAACUCCUAACAUCGUUUAUGUUCAUCUUUCUUUUUAUGGAUUUGAAAAACCCAAUAAUUUGGAGAAAACUGAUUCAAGGAAGAAUAAUUUUUAGAAUAAAAGAUUAUUAUUUAAGAAGAUCAUAAAUAUUAUAGUCAUUGUUGAAUAUGAUAAAUGAUUAAAAAAAAAAAAGGUAGUUGGAAAUUUAGAUACUUUUAUAAGACAAAUGCAUUUUUCUAGUAUGGUAUGAAAAAAAGGUAAAAUGAUAGGCUUUGAUCAUUUUUUAAGGUAGUUUGUUUAAAUCAUUUUAAUUUAUUUUGAUUUAAUAACAAUAACUUUUAUUACACUAGUUAUUUUGAUUUUCUUUUGAUAGAUUUUGCAAGCUUAAGAAAUUUGGAGGUAUUGGAUUUGAGUUAUAAUUCAUUUAGUGGGAUCGUUCCAUCGUCUAUAAGAUUGUUGUCUUCUCUCAAGUCUUUAUCUCUGGCUGGAAAUCACCUCAAUGGUUCCUUAGCAAAUCAAGGUACAUAUAUUGUGAUUACAGGUUUUUCUAUUUUCUUUUUUAAUAUCUUGUUUGUUCUUUAUGCCAAUGAAGUCAUGCAUGUCUAUUAAUUUUUGGUAUUUAAUAAAAAACUUUAUUCUUAAUUCAUGAAGACCUCAUCAACUGUAAGUAACAACUAGUUGUAAAUUUGGGGGCAUUGAUAAGACGAGGAGAUGAUUGGUUACAUGUCUUAUUCUCUUUUGUAAGCUUCUGCCAAUUGAAUAAGCUUCAAGAGUUAGAUUUUUCUUACAACUUAUUCCAAGGGAUCCUUCCUCCAUGUUUGAAUAAUUUGACAUCUUUGAGGUUAUUGGAUCUCUCUUCCAACCUAUUCUCCGAAAAUCUUUUUUCCCCUCUGUUACCUAAUCUCACAUCCCUGGAGUACAUCGAUCUCAGUUACAAUCAUUUUGAGGGUUCAUUCUCUUUCAGCUCUUUUACUAAUCACUCCAACCUUCAAGUGGUCAAACUUGGAAGGAAUAACAACAAAUUUGAGGUAGAAACUGAAUAUCCAGUUGGUUGGGUUCCCCUGUUUCUGUUGAAAGCUCUUGUCCUAUCCAACUGUAAGCUCAUCGGUGAUCCUGGUUUCCUUCGACACCAAUUAAGAUUAACCGUGGUUGAUCUCUCCCAUAAUAAUUAGACUGGAAGUUUCCCCAUUUGGCUGCUUGAUAACAAUACAAGACUAGGAUCUCUAGUUCUGAGGAAUAACUCUUUAAUGGGUCAACUACUUCCCCUGAGACCUAAUAGUCGUAUCACUUUAUUGGAUAUCUCAGACAACCGACUUCAUGGGGAACUUCAACAAAAUGUGGCCAAUAUGAUUCCAAAUAUUGAGUUUCUAAAUUUAUCCAACAAUCAUCCCCUUCAUUUCAUCCAUAUUUGGAUCUACCUUUAAAUCUCUAUUGCAUACAACCCAUAUAUGAUUCCCUCUAAAUUUAGCCUUCAUUUCUUGCUAAGAGGUUUUAAAAGCCAGCAAUUUAAUUUACUUUCAUCCUCUAGAUUGAUGAGAACUCUUAUAUUUAUCCAAUGAUAGGUAACAUUUUUGCAAAUGCUUUUAUUUGAUUUUUUUAAUUGGUCUUAAAAAUAAGUGUUAAUAAAGAUCCACAAUAUAAAAUAAUAAAUUACAUCUCAAUUGACCUCAAGAUACUAUUUACUUCUACUAACUCAUUUUACAUCUUAAUUGUUCUUAAAAAGUCUAUAAUGGUAAUUAACUAUAGAAUUCAAGUUUUAAUUAUGCAAAAAAUAUAUAAAGGUUUUUAAAGUUAAUAGAAAAAGAGAUUCUGAUAAAUAAUAAGUAGAUUGAAACAUUUAUUUCUAGAAGUAGAGAAAGAUGGAGGAUCAUAAAAGUUGAAAAAAGAAUAAUUUGGAAGUCAUAAAAUUUUGGAAAAAGAAUAAUUCAUAGAGACCUCAUUAACAACAAGUAACAACUAAUUGUAAGUAACCAUGAAAAAAGUAAGGAGAAAAAUAAAGGAAAAUCAAGGAAAGUGACAAAUUUUUUCAUCCCCAUAAAAAAUGAUAAGGAAGAAAAAGGUGAAGAAAGUUUAAAGAAAGUAUAUUUUUCAAAAAUUGAAUUUUCUUUCCCUUAAAGUUGGUAUGGACAACCAAACAAGAAAAUGAUUUUUAAAUUCUUUUUUGACCUUUUUCUAUCAUUCUUUUUUUUUUCCUUACUCUAUUUCCUUUCCCUCAAACUUUCUAGGUAGUAAACAUUACCUAAGAUAAAUAGAGAAGAAAAUAUUUUAUCAUUUAUUUAUUUAGUAUUUUUUUUACCUUUUUUUGUAUUUUAUCCAAAUAUAAGAAAACUAUUUUUCUUUAUUUUUUCUUUUCCUUGUUGCUUUUCAAGAAUCAAGCAUACUUUAAACUUUAAUUAAGAGUUACAUAGAUUUACGGAGAAACAAUGCAACUGGUAACAAAAAAUUAAGGAAAUUUAAUUUUUGAGAGUAAGUAUAAUGAGAUUGGUUUGUUUGAUACAAAAUUUGAAUAAAAAUUCUUUCAAUGAAAAUUCAAGGAAAGGAAAAAAAACAAAUUUAUCUCUAGACUAUAAUACUAAAUCACUUAAAAAAAACUCCUAACAUCGUUUAUGUUCAUCUUUCUUUUUAUGGAUUUGAAAAACCCAAUAAUUUGGAGAAAACUGAUUCAAGGAAGAAUAAUUUUUAGAAUAAAAGAUUAUUAUUUAAGAAGAUCAUAAAUAUUAUAGUCAUUGUUGAAUAUGAUAAAUGAUUAAAAAAAAAAAAGGUAGUAGGAAAUUUGGAUACUUUUAUAAGACAAAUGCAUUUUUCUAGUAUGGUAUGAAAAAAAGGUAAAAUGAUAGGCUUUGAUCAUUUUUUAAGGUAGUUUGUUUAAAUCAUUUUAAUUUAUUUUGAUUUAAUAACAAUAACUUUUAUUACACUAGUUAUUUUGAUUUUCUUUUGAUAGAUUUUGCAAGCUUAAGCAAUUUGGAGGUAUUGGAUUUGAGUGGUAAUUCAUUUAGUGGGAUCGUUCCAUCGUCUAUAAGAUUGUUGUCUUCUCUCAAGUCUUUAUCUCUGGCUGGAAAUCACCUCAAUGGUUCCUUAGCAAAUCAAGGUACAUAUAUUGUGAUUACAGGUUUUUCUAUUUUCUUUUUUAAUAUCUUGUUUGUUCUUUAUGCCAAUGAAGUCAUGCAUGUCUAUUAAUUUUUGGUAUUUAAUAAAAAACUUUAUUCUUAAUUCAUGAAGACCUCAUCAACUGUAAGUAACAACUAGUUGUAAAUUUGGGGGCAUUGAUAAGACGAGGAGAUGAUUGGUUACAUGUCUUAUCACUACUACAAAAAUUGAAAUUAAUGACGCUUUAUUUUAUGACGCUUUCUAAAAGCGUCAUUAUUGAGGGUAUACAAUGACGCUUAUAAGAAGUGUCAUAGUUGUAUUAUUUAUCUUGAUACUGAUUAUAAGUGUCAUUAUUUGAUGUCAUCUUUUUCCUUGUAACUGUGUAUAUAAUGACGCUUAUAAGAAGCGUCAUAGUUUUAUUAUUUACCUUGACACUUAUUAUAAGCAUCAUUAUUUGAUGGGUAUGUAAUGACGUUCUUGAGAAGUGUCAUAGUUGUAUUGACUUUUAAAAUUUUUGUUUUUAAGUUAACUUAUACAAAUUUUGAUAUUAGAAUAUUAUUCUAUAAAUUAAUUAUGGUAAAUUGACAUUAAUAUUAAUGACAUAAAGUUGCUACAUUAAGGUUUUUUUAAAAAAAUUUGGAUAUAAAUAAAAUAAAAUCCUAAUAAAUUAUUUUUUUAUUGUUUGAUAUUAAUUUUUUUAUAGUUUGUAUCAAUACAAUCUAUUUUCAUAAACUAUUUUUCAUUUUUAUUAAAUUAGAAAUUAUCUUAUAUUUCAUUUAAAAAUAAUUUGUUAAUUUAUUUGUGGACCACAAAAAAGUGGCCUAUUUUGAGCACUUGUUCGAGCCUUGGGCCACAUUUAUUGGGUUUAACCCUUUUAUUUGAGAAGGUUUUAUAGUUAAUGAAUAUAAAUUUGAAAUUAUUUAACUAAAAUGAAAUAAAUUAAUAUUUAAAUUAAUUUAAUGAUGAUUAGACUCACAAUAAAACUAAAUGCAAUAAGAAUAUUUAUAAAAACUUUCUAAUAUUUAUGGGAAUUAAGCUCAUUCUAUUAAAUUAGUUUUUUUUUUAAAUAUCAAUAUUCAAAUUAAACCAAUAUCAACCUAAAAUAUCAAAUAAUUAAACAAUAUAAAUUUAUUAUGAGUUCAAUAUAUAAAAAUUAUUAUUGGAAGAUGAAAUAAAGAAUACUAUUUUAAUUUAUUGAAAAAGGACAUGCAUGAUAUUUUAGAAUUUGUUAUAAAGUCUCCAUUGAAAACCCUAACUUUUGGAAGACAAGAAAGAAGGGAGAGAGCCACCGUUUUUAGUGAGAAAGAAGAGAAGAGAGAAAAAUGCAAGUUUUUCUCAUCAGGCCCAGAUUUCAUCAAAGGUCUGAUCCCACUUUGUCCGUGGUCCGAUCGAGCUGAAAUUUGGAGGAGAGUUUCGUGACUCAUUUAUCUUCAAUCUGAACGGUGAAGAUCGGAUUUGGAGUUUCGGAAAGUCAUUAGAAAGAAAGAGGAGAAGAGAGAAAAACGUAGGUUUUUCUCAUCAUGCCCAGAUUUUAUCAAAUGUCCGAUCCCGCUUCGUCCGUGGUCCGAUCGAGUUGAAAUUUGAAGGAGAGGUUUGUGGCUCAUGUAUCUUCAAUAUGAACGGUGGAGAUCUGAUUUGGAGUUUCGGACAGUCAUUAGAGAGAAAGAGGAGAAGAGAGAAAAACUUAGGUUUUUCUCAUCGUGCCCAGAUUUCAUCAAAUGUCUGAUCCCGCUUCGUCCGUGGUCCGAUCGAGUUGAAAUUUGAAGGAGAGGUUCGUGGCUCAUGUAUAUUCAAUAUGAACGGUGGAGAUCGGAUUUGGAGUUUUGGACAGUCAUUAGAGAGAAAGAGGAGAAGAGAGAAAAACAGUGGUUUUUUUAUAUCAUGCCCAGAUUUCAUCAAAGGUUCAAUGCCGCUUUUUUCAUGGUCUGAUUGAGCUGAAAUUUGGAGGAGAGGUUCAUAAGUCAUUAAUCUUAAAUUUGAACGGUGAAGAUCGGAUUUAGAGUUUUGGAAAGUCAUCUUUCAGCCAAAAACAAAACCUUUAUUUUAUCAAAGAUGGCGCUUCCUGAAAGUGUCAUUGUUGCCUAAGACAUACAAUGACAGAGGCGAAGAGGACGCUUUAGAGAAGCGUCAUCUGUUACCUUUCUUGACGCUUAAAAAACGUCAUAGUUUCCCAUUUUUCUUGUAGUGUAUUCUCUUUUGUAAGCUUCUGCCAAUUGAAUAAGCUUCAAGAGUUAGAUCUUUCUUACAACUUAUUCCAAGGGAUCCUUCCUCCAUGUUUGAAUAAUUUGACAUCUUUGAGGUUAUUGGAUCUCUCUUCCAACCUAUUCUCCGAAAAUCUUUCUUCCCCUCUGUUACCUAAUCUCACAUCCCUGGAGUACAUCGAUCUCAGUUACAAUCAUUUUGAGGGUUCAUUCUCUUUCAGCUCUUUUACUAAUCACUCCAACCUUCAAGUGGUCAAACUUGGAAGGAAUAACAACAAGUUUGAGGUAGAAACUGAAUAUCCAGUUGGUUGGGUUCCCCUGUUUCUGUUGAAAGCUCUUAUCCUAUCCAACUGUAAGCUCAUCGGUGAUCCUGGUUUCCUUCGACACCAAUUAAGAUUAACCGUGGUUGAUCUCUCCCAUAAUAAUUAGACUGGAAGUUUCCCCAUUUGGCUGCUUGAUAACAAUACAAGACUAGGAUCUCUAGUUCUGAGGAAUAACUCUUUAAUGGGUCAACUACUUCCCCUGAGACCUAAUAGUCGUAUCACUUUAUUGGAUAUCUCAGACAACCGACUUCAUGGGGAACUUCAACAAAAUGUGGCCAAUAUGAUUCCAAAUAUUGAGUUUCUAAAUUUAUCCAACAAUGGUUUUGAAGGUAUUCUCCCAUCCUCAAUAGCCGAAAUGAGUUCCUUACAGUCAUUAUAUUUGUCUGCUAAUAGUUUCUCAGGGGAAGUACCAAAACAAUUGCUUGCGGCAAAAUAUUUGUGGCUUCUGAAAUUAUCAAAUUAUAAAUUUCAUGGCGAAAUAUUUUCAAGGGACUUUAACUUGACUCAGUUAGGGUUUUUGCAUUUGGACAAUAAUCAGUUCAAGGGAACACUGUCAAAUGUAAUCUCCAGAAUCUCUAGGUUAUGGGUGUUGGAUAGGUAACAUGACCGAUUUGACUACACUGGUGUUGGGCAACAAUAGUUUUAAAGGCAAAUUACCACCUGAGAUUUCUCAAUUGUUGGGGAUGAUAUUUCUUGACGUUUCUCAAAACGCUCUUUUAGGAUCUCUUCCUUCUUUGAAGAGCCUGGAGUAUUUAGAUACCCAGAGAUUGAUACCCAGAGAUUUUCUCAAUUCCUCAUAUCUAUUGACUUUGGAUAUCAGAGACAACAGGUUAUUUGGAAGUAUUCCCUAUUCAAUCUCUAGACUUUUAGAGCUAAGAGGAAACCUUUUAAGUGAUUUCAUUCCAUAUCAGCUUUGUCAUUUGACUAAAAUAAGCUUGAUGGAUAUUUCAAACAACAAUUUUUCUGGGUCAAUUCCCGGAUGCUUUGGUCAUAUCGGAUUUGGAGAUUUCAAAACUGAGCACAAUGUGUAUAUACCGAUGUUGGAUUCGUAUUCAGAAAGCAAUCCUUCUAUAUAUACGGGUUACUUAAUAAAAUAUUUAUUUUUCUCUAGUGAACUCCCUGAUGAAGUAGAUGAAGUUGAGUUUGUUACCAAGAAUAGGUAUAGCUCCUACAGAGUAGAUAAAAAUAUUUGUUGGGAAUUUAGAUAUUUUUAUAGGAAAGUAGACAAGUAUUCUAAUUUAUAAAAACAAUGCAUUUCUUUAGUUUGGUAUAAAAAAAAAUGAAACGAUAGGUAUUGGUAUUUUUUUUAAAGCAACAAACGUUUUAUUUUAUUUGUAUUUAAGAACAAUGUCUUUUCUUAUACUAGUUAUUUUAAUUUUCUUUUGACAGAUUUUGCAAGCUUAAGCAAUUUGGAGAUACUAGAUUUGAGUUCUAAUUCCUUAAGUGGGAUUAUUCCAUCAUCUAUAAGAUUGAUGUCUCAUCUCAAGUCUUUAUCCUUGGCCGGAAAUCAGCUCAAUGGUUCUUUACAAAAUCAAGGUACAUAUGUUAUGAUUUGUUUGUUUCAUAUGGAUUAGAGAAGAUGAAUAUUGUAAAAAAAAAGUUGUAGUUAAUGUAAGCUAGAAAUAAGUAUCUUGCCUUAUAAAUUAUAUGAGCAUGUGUUUGUUCUUAAUGAAUCUUUACAACAUUUAGAGUUACCAAUGUUUAUAAUUCAUAAAGACCUCAUUAACCGUGAGUAACAACUAAUUGUAAGUAAUUGUGGAAAAAGUAAGGAAAACAAAAUGAGGGAAAAGCAAGGAAUUAGGAAAUUAUUUUGUUCCCAUUAAAAAAUGCUAAGGAAGAAAAAGGUAAAAGAAAGUUUAAAAAAAGUGUAUUUUUCAAAAAUUUAUUUCUCUUUCCUUUAAUUUUGCUAUGGACAACCAAACAAGAAAAUUAUUUUAUAAUUCCUUUUUUAUUUUUUUCAUUCUCUCUCUCUUUUUUCCCCUACUCUAUUUCUUUUCCCUCAAACUUUCUUGGUAGUAAACACAACCUAAGAUAAAAUGGGGAAGAAAAUUUUCAGUUUUUUUUUUAUUUUUUUAGAAUGUUUUCUUACUUUUUAGUAUUUUAUGCAAAUAUAGGAAAAUUAUUUUUUUUUCUUUUUUUUUCUUGCUCCUUUUCGGACAUGAAUCACACUUUAAAAGAAAAUUAAUUUUUAAUUAGGAGUUAAGAUAAAUUUAAGGAGAAACAGUGAAUCACGAAUAACAAAAAAAUAAGGAAAUUGAAUUUUUGAAAGUAAGUAUAAUCAAAUUGCUUCAUUUGAUACAAAAUUUGAAUAAAAAUUCUUUCAAGGAAAGGAAAAAACAUUUUUGUCUCUAGAUUAUAAUACUAAAUCAUGUAAAAAAUCUCUUAACAUCAUUUAUAUUCAUAUUUAUUUUUGUAGAUUUGAAAAAUUCAACAAUUUGGAAUAAACUUAUUCAAUGAAUAAUAAUUUUUAGAUUUAAAGAUUAUUAUUUAAGAUCAUAAAUAUUACCAUGAUUGUUGAUGUCUAAGAAGAUCAUAUUCAACAAUUUUUUUAAUAUGUUGUUUUUUUAUGGUAAUUAAUUGAUGUCUUGUAAUUUUUAAUAUUUAAUGAAAAACAUUAUUUUAAUUCAUCUAGAGCUCUUAAUUCAUGAAGACCUCAUUAAUGGUGAGUAAUAGUUGGCUGUAAGUUUGGAGUCAAAGACAUGUCAAGGAGAUGAUUAGUUACAUGUCUUAUUCUCUUUUGUAGGUUUCUGUCAAUUGAAUAAGCUUCAAGAGUUAGAUCUUUCUUACAACUUAUUCCAAGGGAUCCUUCCUCCAUGUUUGAAUAAUUUGACAUCUCUAAGGUUAUUGGAUCUCUCUGUCAACCUAUUCUCCGGAAAUCUUUCUUCUCCUUUAUUACCUAAUCUCACAUCCCUGGAGUACAUCGAUCUCAGUUACAAUCAGUUUGAGGGUUCAUUCUCUUUCAGCUCUUUUGCUAAUCACUCAAAGCUUCAAAUGGUCAAACUUGGAAUGAAUAACAACAAAUUUGAGGUAGAAACUGAAUAUCCAAUUGGUUGGGUUCCCUUGUUUCAAUUGAAGGCUCUUUCGCUAGACAGCUGUAAGCUCACCGGCGACCUUCCUAGUUUUCUUCAAUACCAAUUCAGGUUAGUGGGGGUUGAUCUCUCACAUAAUAACUUGACAGGAAGUUUUCCCAAUUGGCUGCUUGAAAACAAUACGAGACUAAAAUCUCUAGUUCUGAGGAAUAACUCUUUAAUGGGUCAAUUACUUCCCUUGGAACGUAAUACCCGUAUCCAUUCAUUGGAUAUCUCACACAAUCAGUUGGAUGGACAACUUCAAGAAAAUGUGGCCCAUAUGAUUCCAAAUAUGAAAUAUCUAAAUUUAUCCGACAAUGGUUUUGAGGGUAUUCUCCCAUCCUCAAUAGUUGAACUAAGAGCCUUAUGGUAUUUGGAUUUGUCUACCAAUAAUUUCUCUGGAGAAGUACCAAAGCAAUUGCUUGCAGCAAAAGAUUUGGGGGUUUUGAAAUUAUCAAAUAAUAAAUUUCAUGGUGAAAUAUUUUCAAGGGACUUUAACUUGAUUAGGUUGGAAGUUUUGUAUUUGGGCAAUAAUCAGUUGACGGGAACUCUGUCAAAUGUAAUCUCUAAAAGCUCUUGGUUGGGGGUGUUGGAUGUGAGCAACAACUACAUGUCAGGUGAAAUUCCAAGCCAGAUAGGUAACAUGACCUAUUUGACUACACUGGUGUUGGGCAACAAUAGUUUUAAAGGCAAAUUACCACCCGAGAUUUCUCAAUUGUGGGGUUUGGAGUUUCUUGACGUUUCUCAAAAUGCUCUUUCAGGAUCUCUUCCUUGUUUGAAGACCAUGGAGAGUUUAAAGCAUCUACAUUUGCAAGGGAACAUGUUUACAGGAUUAAUACCCAGAGAUUUUCUCAAUUCCUCACAUUUAUUGACUUUGGAUAUGCGAGAUAACAGGUUAUUUGGAAGUAUUCCCAAUUCAAUCUCUGCACUUUUGAAGCAGCUAAGGAUUUUUUUGCUGGGAGGAAACCUUUUAAGUGGUUUUAUUCCAAAUCAUCUUUGUCAUUUGACUGAAAUAAGCUUGAUGGAUCUUUCAAACAACUCUUUUUCAGGGCCAAUUCCCAAAUGCUUUGGCCAUAUCCGAUUUGGGGAGAUGAAAAAGGAAGACAACGUGUUUGGACAGUUCAUUGAAAUUAGGUAUGGAAUGGAUUCUCAUCUUGUAUAUGCAGGUUACUUGGUGAAAUAUUGGGAGGACUUAAGUUCAGUAUAUAAGGGAAAAGAUGAAGUUGAGUUUGUGACCAAGAACAGGCGUGACUUCUACAGAGGUGGCAUCCUUGAAUUCAUGUCUGGAUUGGACUUAUCAUGUAACAACUUGACAGGCGAAAUACCUCAUGAACUUGGAAUGCUAAGUUGGAUUCGUGCAUUGAACUUGUCUCACAAUCAAUUGAAUGGCUCCAUUCCAAAGAGUUUCUCCGAUCUUUCUCAAAUAGAGAGCUUAGACCUUUCUUAUAAUAAAUUGGGUGGAGAAAUUCCUCUAGAGCUAGUUGAACUCAAUUUUUUAGCGGUGUUUAGUGUGGCUUACAACAACAUCUCUGGUAGAGUUCCAAAUGCCAAAGCACAAUUUGCAACAUUUGAUGAAAGCAGCUAUGAAGGUAAUCCUUUCCUUUGUGGGGAACUAUUAAAGAGGAAAUGCAACACAAGUAUUGAGUCACCAUGCGCACCAUCACAGUCUUUUGAAAGUGAGACAAAAUGGUAUGAUAUCAAUCAUGUUGUUUUCUUUGCAAGUUUUACUACUUCAUAUAUCAUGAUCUUGUUAGGAUUUGUUACCAUCCUUUACAUCAAUCCUUAUUGGCGUCAUAGAUGGUUCAAUUUUAUUGAGGAAUGUGUAUAUUCCUGCUAUUAUUUUGUUUUUGAUAGUCUU
rnacentral:lncRNA from 1 species